CGUAGUGUAUCCGGUUGGACCCAUACUCAACACCCGAAGGGGAUCUGAUGGGGGUCAACAAGAUGCUAGUGCCAUCAUGAGCUGGCUUGAUGAUCAGCCUCCAUCAUCCGUGGUUUUCCUGUGCUUCGGGAGCAUGGGAAGCUUUGGUGCGGAUCAAAUCAAGGAGAUAUCACAUGCGUUAGAGCACAGUCGGCAUCGCUUCUUGUGGUCCCUUCGCCAACCUCCCCCAAAGGGUAAAGUGAUUACAAGCGACUAUGAAAAUAUUGAGCAAGUUCUACCAGAAGGAUUUUUACAUCGGACGGCUAGAAUUGGAAAGGUGAUUGGAUGGGCUCCACAAAUAGCGGUUUUAGCCCACUCAGCUGUUGAAGGAUUUGUAUCUCAUUGUGGAUGGAAUUCUUUACUAGAAAGCAUAUGGUAUCGUGUUCCAGUAGCCACAUGGCCAAUAUAUGCAGAAUAACAAAUCAACGCAUUUCAAAUGGUGAAAGAUUUGGGGUUGACGGUAAAAAUUAAAAUUGAUUACAAUAAGGAUCAUGAUCAUAUUGUAAGUGCUCAUUGUAGGGACCCCUCCCCUUGGGAAACACGUGGCACGCGGCUCAUGGUGACGCGUGGCACGUACUAUCGGCCGGACCAUCAUCAUCCGGAUUCCCCUACAGAUAUGUAUGGUGCGGCUAUCCUAUCCGGAACCCCAAAGGAAAGACAAACAACGUUUCAGCUUCUCCUAUCCAAGGAAGAGCAAACGACGCUGGCAGAGCGUAGACACCCGGAUAGUCUCCACAAACACAUCCGGAUAUUCAGCAUGAUCCAUCCGGAUAUAAAUCGUCUGGAUGAUCAAUUAAAGUAAAGCGAGUCUUACACGCAAUCACAACAAGCAGCCAUGGCCCACAUCCCAUCACCUGCAGAAUGAGAAGACAAGAGGAAGUGACAGCAAGUCACUUCCCACGAUCAUUCUACAUAAUCGCUUCCCACGAUCUCUGACAGCCGCAUCAUCUACCAUGGUCUCUGACAGCCAUUCGUAGGAUGAUAGUGCUCCUACUAACACCUAUUGUCAUCAUCACAACAGAAAAUAUCUCCCCACCAUUAAUGAGAGGAACAGUACCCCUGAAGCUGUAUAUAUAUGACUUCACACGAAGAAGAAAGGGAUGAUCUCCUAGUAACCUCUUGAUACCUAGUAAAAGGCCAACUGCCUCAUAUAUCUUAUUCUCUUACUAUGGCUAACAACAUCAUCGGAGGGUGCAUCCGGACACCCUGUCCGGAUGCCUUUUUGCAGGUACAACCACUGAAUCAAGAACCCCUUGUGUGUUGAGAAUCGCGUGUCCAUCCAUCUAGCAGCAACGCGGCCCACCUGAUACGCGAGGUGACAACACUCAUGAGAUUGAAAAUGGAUUAAGGAACCUAAUGAAUACCAACAGUGAAGUGAGGCUGAGGCAAAAGAAGAAAGAAAUGCAAAAAAUAAGUAGAAGAGUCAUGAUAGAUGGUGGGUCCUCGCACUUUUCUUUAGGCCAUUUUAUUGAAGACAUGGUGGCCAACAUUUCAUACAAGCAACAAAGUCGUGAUACCUAUUGUAUGAAUUAUUUUGUACUAGUAUGAAAGGAAAAGGUGCAUUGUAGGCUCUAAUAAAUUAAUUUAUCAUAUGCUUUAUUUUAAUGCUCAAAUAAUUUCUUUGAUAAAGUCAAGAAAUUUGACCUUUCAAACUAGGAAAUGUGUUAUCUCUUUAUUAUUUAGUAAAACAAGUUUACAAGUGAAUGAAUUUAGUAAUAUGUCGAUCUCAUUGAUCAAUGAAUACACAAUUGAACAUUUUCCGGUACUAGUAAUAAAAUUAACUAUAUAAUUACAAAUCAACAAACCCUAUUGGUUUGAGACAAUCUUCAUAAGUGUUUUUUCUAAAUAUUUUUUAUAUUCUUAUGUGAUUGAAUAUAUUUUGGAUUAUGACUUAUAUAAUUUCUCACAUUCUAAUCAAAAGCAAUAAUUAAAUCUCAAUAAUCAACCUAUAUGAUAACGGAAUCAGUUUAAAUAGGUUUAAAAGUUACUAAUUUAAUAUAUCCUAUUUAUGUACAAAAAAAUUGUGAGUAUUGUCCCGAAAUAUGUUUCUAAUAUCAACAUAACAUUUCUUCCUCAUUUUGUUUGGCUAAUGAAAAGCCAUUAGAAAAAAAAUAUAUAGAUAUUUGAUUAAAAUGAUUAAAAUAGUCUCUAAUUCGAACAAUGCUCUUUUUUUUAAAAAAAAAUAUCGAAAAUGAUAAUAUUUUUUUAAUAAAAAUAUCAUUCAUUUAUGUUAAAGCAAUUUGAAAAAAAGAUAUUUUUAUUCACUUAUAUUUUUUAUUAAUAAAAAUAUCAUUCAUUUAUGUCAAAGCAUUUUAUUUAUUUAUAAGUAUUAAGAUAUUUUUAUUCAUUUAUAAUUUUUAUUUAGAACUUUAAACCAAUAGAAGAUGGCUUUACAAAUUUUGGCCCAAAGAUCCCCAAGAACUUUAUUUGAAAGGUGUAGCAUAUUCGAACCCUUCGUCCAGGGAACAUGAAUCAUAAUUUCGUUGCUGGUUUUAUAUUAAAAUACAUGGGAUACAUCGAGAACCACCCACUUUUGCCUCAAUCUUCAACCAAGACCAACCACAAUCAUACAAAAACGAUAAGGAAAAUAAAUUGAACCAGCAAAGCCCUGACAUCACUUCCUUUGUCCUCCAAUACUAUCCAGCCACAAGUAUAAGAGUGUCACACCACUGCAAAGCCCUCAAAACAUCCCAUUUUUCCUCUCUUUGCAGUAACUGCUAGUUAGUGAUGGAGCAAACUGAGCUGGUCUUCAUCCCAUUUCCUAUCAUCGGCCACCUUACGUCUGCACUGGAGAUUGCAAAGCUGAUUACUCAGCGAGACCCCCGAUUCUCAAUCACGAUCAUCAUCAUGAAGUUUCCGUUUGAGUCCAUUGAUGGUAUGGACACGGACUCUGAUUCCAUACGUUUCGUUACACUUCCUCCUGUAGAGGUCUGCUCCAGUACGACGCCGUCUGGUUUCUUCCUCUCUGAAUUCCUCAAAGCUCACAUCCCAGUCGUCAGAGACGCCAUCCACGAGCUCACUCGCUCCAACUCGGUUCGUCUCGCAGGGUUCGUUAUUGAUAUGUUCUGCACCCACAUGAUCGAUGUGGCCGAUGAGUUUGGGGUGCCUUCCUAUCUCUUCUUCACUUCCAGCGCUGCUUUUCUUGGCUUCCUGUUGCAUCUUCAGUUCCUCCAUGAUUAUGAGGGCUUGGAUUUCAAUAAGUUCAAGGACUCGGAUGCUGAGUUGGAUGUUCCGAGUUUCGCGAACUCAGUUCCGGGUAAGGUCUUCCCUUCUCGGAUGUUUGACAAGGAAGGCGGAGGGGCUGAGACGCUUCUUUAUCACACGAGGAGAUUCAGAGAAGUCAAAGGUAUUCUGGUAAAUACAUUUAUUGAGCUUGAAUUACAUGCUGUUCGAUCACUUUCUGACAGUACAGUACCCGAGGUGUAUCCCGUUGGACCCAUACUCAACACCCGAAUGGGAUCUGGUGGGUGUCAACAAGAUGCUAGUGCCAUCAUGAGCUGGCUUGAUGAUCAGCCUCCAUCGUCAGUUGUUUUCCUGUGCUUCGGGAGCAGGGGAACCUUUGGUGCGGAACAGAUCAAGGAGAUAGCGUAUGGGCUAGAGCACAGUGGGCAUCGCUUCUUGUGGUCCCUUCGCCAACCUCCCCCAAAGGGUAAAAUGGAUUUUCCAAGCGACUAUGAAAGUAUUGAGGAAGUUCUACCAGAAGGAUUUUUACAUCGGACAGCUAGAAUUGGAAAGGUGAUUGGAUGGGCUCCACAAGCAGCGGUUUUAUCCCACUCAGCUGUUGGAGGAUUUGUAUCUCAUUGUGGAUGGAAUUCUUUGCUAGAAAGCGUAUGGUAUGGUGUUCCUGUGGCCACUUGGCCAAUCUAUGCAGAGCAACAAAUCAACGCAUUUCAAAUGGUGAAAGAUUUGGGGUUGGCCACAGAAAUUAAAAUAGAUUACAAUAAGGAUAAUGAUUAUGUUGUAAGUGCUCAUGAGAUUGAAAAUGGAUUGAGGAACCUAAUGAAUAUUGAUAGUGAAGUGAGGCAAAAGAGGAAAGAAAUGCAAAAAAUAAGUAGAAGAGUCAUGAUAGAUGGUGGGUCCUCGCACUUUUCUUUAGGCCAUUUUAUUGAAGACAUGGUGGCUAACAUUCCAUGCAAGCAACAAAGACGUGAUACCUAAUGUAUGAAUUAGUUUAUACUAAUAUGAAAUAAAAAGGUGCAUUGUAGGCUCUAAUAAAUUAAUUUAUCAUCUCCUUUAUUUGAAUGCUCAAAUAUUUCUUUGAUGAUGUCAAGAAAUUUGACCUUUCAAACUAGGAAAUGUGUUCUUUCUUUAUUAUUUAGUGAAACAAGUUUACAAGGGCAUGAAUUUAGUUAUAUGUGGAUCUCAUUGAUCAAUGAAUACACACUUGAGCAUUUUCCUGUAGGAAGCUGGACUAGUGAUAAAAUCAACUACAUAACUAAAAAUCCACAAACCCUAUUGAAUUUGGUUUGAUGGGGAUGAAUAGAUAUAAGAAUUUUUAUAAGAAUUUGUUCAAUUGGAUCACUAUUAAUUUGAUGCUUGCCUUCAGAUUAGAGACAACUAUCCACUUGAGAAAUUUAAUUAAUUUCUGGGCAGUGUUUAUCUUCUUUUCUACAAGCAUGAUGCUCGAAGAGCAAAUUAAUGUUCUCAAACUAUUUGGUGUGUUGGUAUGGAUUUAAGAAACUAACGUCUCAUCAAUGCAUAUCAAGGCAUCUACGCAUGUGAGAGAUCAAUAGAUUCAAAAUGAUUCUAAUUGGAGCAUUUUUUAAUUAAGAGGUAGCUACCUUGAGUCUUGUGAGAAAGAAAAUAAUUAGAUGAAGAAGGUAAUUGGUAUGGAGAUGAGGAUUUAGAAUUAUAAGUUCUUUAGAUUUGAUUAUGGAGAGAGUUGAGAGAAUAUAAUUUUUUUUUUUAUAAGAAAAUUACUAAGAGAUGUGAAAAAAGUCUUUAAAAAAAUGAUAAUAAUAAUUUAAACACAAAAAUGAUUAUGUAUAUAGUAUUGAAUUAUGAAUUUGUCCUUUCCUUUCUUUUAAUGAAAAAUAAAUACAUAUGGAAAUUGAUAAUUGAAGUUGUUAUUCAAUCAUCUAAAGAUUAGCUUAGAUGGAAUAUAUUGUAAUGAUCUACUCCUAAUCGUGUAAAUAUUGUUUACUUUGAAUCCAACCUAUCAUAUCCCAUAAGAUUAGGGUGGUCAAACAAAUUCUCACACUGGGGGGUCAAGGAUCAACUUUAAUACUAUUUGUAAUGGCUCACUCCCAACAGUAUAGAUAUUAUCCUCCCAACUGUAAAUAUUGUUCAUUCUAAACCCAAAAAUCUCUCACAGCUUUAAAACGUGUGUAUAAAAUUAAAAGGAGCUUAUACAUAUAUGAUGUCAGGAUUUUUUUUCCUCAUUUGAUGAAAGAUGCCACAUGUAUUCCCUCAAAAUACUGAUUCCAAUUAGAUGUGAAGAGGAACCAUUUAGUAUUAGAAAGAAAAGAAAUACAUAGAUGGUAAUAUGUAUUAUUUCUAUUCCUUAGUCUUGUUGCAAGGACACUCAUUGCUAUAUAAUAUAUAUAUAUAUAUAUAUAUAUAUAUAUAUAUAUUUAAAGAACUUUGAAAAUUAAUUUUGUUAUAUACAAAAUUAACUUAUAAUUAAAAUAAAAUCAUUUAUAAUACAAAUAUUGGAUUGAUAAAUAAUUAUAUAAGUAAUUAUCUUAAUUUAGCUCAAUUUUAAGUCUUAAAAUACAGAUUCGAAAUAUAUUAAAUAAAAUAAAAUUUCACUUAAAUCUUACAUGGAUAAAUAGAAAUAAUAACUUCUAUACAAAAAAUAAAAAAUUUUAUAGAAAAAAUUGAAAGCUUAUCUUAUUUUCUUUCUACAACUAAAAUUCGAGUGAACAAAAAACUAUUAACUUCAAAUUUUUAAGCUAUUUUAAGAUAAAUCUCUAUUAUUUACCUAAGAACUCAUACUAUCUUUAAUUUUCAAAAAUAAAAAUAUAUCCAAAUGUGCACCUAAAUUUUGUAGAAAAUGAACCUUGAGCAAACUCUCCUAAUCACGUUAUUUUAUCAUUUACCCAAAGAUUUAUGCUUAUCAAAAAUCAAUCAACCACAUUGAGAAUUGAUAAUUUUAGCUAGCUAGUAACAUGUGCAAUCAGAAGAAAGUCAAUGAAGAGUACAUAUAUUCACAUCUCUUCUUUUCUGAAUUCCUCAAAAGACAUCAUCCAUGAGCUCAUUAAUCACACCCAUAAAACAAUGAACAAGAAGAGACCAAGAAAAUAUCAUAUUGUAGGCGCAUCGCCAAAAGGUUUGUUGAAAUAACUUAUACCUUCACCCUCUGAGCUCUAGAAUAGUGUCGAAAAGAACAACCUAAUCUUUCUUUCUUUUUUCUGAACUACUUUUUACCAAGAUCCCAAAGCCUUAGAUGCUAUUUAUAUUUGGACUUGGAGAAUACUUAAAAAUAAAUAGCCCAACUAUGGGCUUAGAGAACUUUUCAAGGGUUGGAUAAACAUAGCUCAACAAAAUUAGCUUAAAAUAACCUUUAAAAUUACCCAUUCAAGACCUAUCAAAUCAAAAGAAAAUUAAAAUAAAAACUUUUGGAAACCUUUUCUAUGCAAAAAUUUCAAAAAAAAAAUAUUAUAUAAAAAAUUGAAAACUUAUCUUAUAUGCUUUCGAUAACUUAAAUUUUGAGAGAACAAAAAACUGUAAAAUUCAAAAUUUUCAUCUAUUUUUCAAAACAUUUGUUUUUAAGAUAAAUCUCUAUUAUUUAUAUAACAACUUAUACUAUCUUUUAUUUUCAAAAAUAAAAAAUUUAUUCAAAGUCCACUUAAAUUUUGUUGAUAAUGAACCUUGAGCAAACUCUCAUGGUCACAUUAUUUAAUCAUUUACCUAAAGAUUUAUGCUUAAAGAAAAUCAAUCAACCACAUUCAGAAUUGAUAAUUCUAAGUAGUUAGUAACACAUGGAGUCACAAUUCCAUACAACAAAUACAUAUAUAUAGAAAAAUUUGAAAUCUUAUCUUAUAUGCUCUUUAUAACUAAAAUUUCGAGUGAACCAAAAAUUUUUAAAUUCAAAAUUUUAAGCUAUUUAAAAGUUGUUUAUGUUUAAGAUAAAUCUCUAUUAUUCAUAUAAGAACUCAUACUAUCUUUUUAUUUUCAAAAAUAAAAAAUGUUUUGAAAGUCCACUUAAAUUUUGUAGAAAAUGAACCUUGAACAAACUCUCUUAAUCAAAUUAUUUUAUCAUUUACCUAAAGAUUUAUACUUAUAAAAAACCAAUUAACCGCAUCGAGAAAUGAUAAUUCUGGAUAGCUAGUAACACAUGGAAUCACAAGAAAGAUGAUGAAGAUUAUGUAUAUUAAUUAUGGUCUCUUCUUUUCUGAAUUCCUCACAACUCACAUCAAUUGGUCUUUGAUGUUGUCCGUGAGCUCACUUGUCACACCCAUAAAACAAUAAAUAGGAAGAGAUCAAGAAGAUCAUACCACAAGGGCUUCCCUAAAAGAUUGAUGAAAGAACUUAUACCUUCACCCUUUGAGCUCCAAAACAAUGCCCAAAAACCAACCUAAUCUUUUUUUUUUCCCUUUUUCUGAACUAUUUCAUCAAGAUUCAAAAGCCCUAGAUGUUAUUUAUAUUUGAACAUAGAGAAUACCUAAAAUAAACAAUCCAACGCAUGGGCGGGAUAAACUUAGCUCAAUAAAUUUAGCUUAAUAUUAACCCUUAAAGUUACCCAUUCAUGGUCUAUUAAUGAAUAUAAAUAAAAUUUUUUGAAAACCUUUUCAAUACAAAAAUAAAAGAUUUGAUAACAAAAAUUGAAAACUCACCUUAUAUGCUUUCUAUAACUGAAAUUUCGAGUGAACAAAAACUAUUAACUUCAACUUUUUCAGCUAUUUUUAAAAUUAUUUAUUUUUAAUAUAAAUCUCUAUUAUUUAUAUAAACACUCGUACUAUCUUUUAUUUUCAAAAAUGAAAAAUAUACUCAAAGUCCAAUUAAAUUUUGUAGAAAAUGAAUCUUGAGCAAACUCUCUCGACCACGUUAUUUUAUUAUUUACCUAAACAUGCUUAUCAAAAAUUAAUCAACCAUGUUGAGAAUUGAUAAUUUUGGGUAGCUAGUAACACAUGGAAUCAUAAGAAAGUUGAUGAAGUUGUUUUCCUCUCUAAAGUCCUAAAAGCUCACAUGCCACUCAUCUCUGAUGUUGUCCAUGAGCUCACUCGUCACACCCAUAAAACAAUAAACAAGAAGAGAUAAGGAAGAUCAUACCGCAAUGACUUUCACAAAAGGUUGAUGAAAUAACUUAUACCUUCACCCUCUGAGCUCUAGAAUAGUGUCAAAAAGAACAACCUAAUCUUUCUUUCCUUUUUCUGAACUACUUUUUGCCAAGAUCCCAAAGCCUUAGAUGCUAUUUAUAUUUGGACUUAGAGAAUACUUAAAAAUAAAUAGCCCAACUAUGGGCUUAGAGAAUUUUUCAAGGGUUGGAUAAACAUAGCUCAACAAAAUUAGCUUAAAAUAACCUUUAAAAUUACCCAUUCAAGAUCUAUCAAAUCAAAAGAAAAAUAAAAUAAAACUUUUGGAAACCUUUUCUAUGCAAAAAAUUCAAAAAAAAAAAUUAUAUAAAAAAUUGAAAACUUAUCUUAUAUGCUUUCUAUAACUGAAAUUUUGAGUGAACAAAAAACUGUAAAAUACAAAAUUUUCAUCUAUUUUUCAUAACAUUUUGUGGACCCCGCAUUUCGAUUGCUCGAUGCGUUUCCCACUGGAUGGCGAGCUCGAUUUUUAUUUUUAUUUGAAAAAUUGAUUUUUAUUGAUUAUUUGAAAAUGACUUGGAGUCGCCACUUAUUUUUGUUUUAUUUUUAAAAGGGUAAACAAAAUAAGAAAGAAAGACCCUAAAUGUGACUCCAUAUUUUGGAAAAGACGGUCUGCGAAAAACCGGAUCGGGUUCGGGGGUCAGGUUACUUGUCGGGAAGGUACGGUAAAGACCGUAGCACCCCUCUAAGCCCCUAAAAUAGGUCUCUACUAAUAAAAUGAAGCAGACAUGACAAUCGAUUAGGCAAAACAGUGAAUACUCGGAACUAUCAUGCACAUAUGAGAAUCAGAAUAUGAAUAGCGAAUGAUCAGAAUGAGUGAAUACGUACCUGGGCAGCAAACAGCAAUGCGCUAUCAUGGAAUGGGGUUAGUGAAUAAACACAGAAUGAUUAUAUACAUAUCAUGGAAUAUAGCAAAACGAUCAUGCGUGGUAAAUAAAUCAAUCAAGCGAUCAAUCAGUCAUGAAUUCACAUAUGUAGGGCCCCCACCAAAGCCCGAUCAAUCUUGCAUGAAUUAAUCUCACAAAUUCCAUUAUUCUGAAAUUAUGAAAGUGACAUUCACGCUUAUAUAAAACCAAGAGGAACAUGAGAUUACUUGAAAACCGGAAUGGAAUUAAAACUGUUCAAGUGAAGACUGGAUUUUUGAAAUUUGUUUGAAAAUUGGAGUAUCGAAAAUUAUUUGGAAAUUGGAGUUUUGGAAAUUAAAUUUAAGAAUUGGAAUUUUAGGGAUUAAAUUCGAAUGAAAACAUAAUUUUGAAAAUUAUUUGGGAAGUAGAAACCAUGAAAGUUAAUUUAUAAAAAAAACAAAUUAUGAAAAUUGGGACUUUGGAAAUUAAAUUUUGAAAGAAAUUAGAAUUAAAAAUUAUUUAAAAUUUUGAAAAUUUGGAAAACUUAUUCAAUAAUAAAGAAACUUAGAAAUUUGAGGAAUUAAUUAAAAAUUGUUUUAAGACAUCCCUAAAGAAAGAAAAAAAAAAAUGGAAUAAAAAAUUUUAUUUGAGAGAUUGAAUCUUAUUGGCGUAAAAGAAAUAUCCAAAUUUUUCAUGCAUCAAGAAAUUAGGUGGGGCCACAUCUCCAAGUUUUUCUACUUAUGGAAAUAUCUCACAAUAUGGCACAUGGCAUGGAAGGAAAACACACGGCCAUGCAAUGAGGGUGGUUGGGCAUAAAGUGGUCAAAAGGUCAUCCAUAUGGGACCCAUGAUCAUGCUUAAAUAUUAAACAUUAUUCCAAAUAAACCAAGGCAGUAUGCCUUUUCAACUGUGUACGCUACCUCCCACUAACUCCCAGAACUUCAAGAAGCUCCUGACUCCUCAGUCAGCCCAUCGCGUCUUAGAAACCCAUGAAAACUACACUGCCCAAUUGUAAAACAGCUAAACAUACUUUCUAGAGCUUCAUCUUCUAUUUGGAUUAAUUUUAAUGGCAUCACUCAGCGAAGGGGACCAUCCUAUGAACCCCGAUACCACUAGCAUACUCUUCUUGGGGCCUCUUAAUUCAGAACCAAAUUCAGAUAUAGAGACCCCCUGCCUGGGCAUGAUAUACUCAUAUGGGAUAAGGUUCAUUCCACCCCUGACAGCUGUCACCACGACACACUUGGCAAUGGUGUGAAAUGCAGCUUUCUCACUAAGAUAAAAUGACCUAUCAAUAAAUACAAUCGGGUCAUAAUCUGGCUGCCCAAAACUUUCAUUAAUUCUCUUACAGCUUUCCUGGAUUUCAGCCUGUACCACCUCGAGAUCUCUCCCAAAAACAUUUCCUCUAGCAGAAAUGAAACAGAAAACCCAUGAGCGCAUCUCCUUCUCUGCUUCUCCUCUGUUUCUCAAGUUCAGCAACCAUAUCUCCCCAUCUGCUUCUCUCUCUCAUUUUCUUACUUAGCUCAUUUCCAUUUCCGUCAAUACUCUAGAUCAAACAGCUCACCAAGCACAACACAAAUAUAGGAAUAACAGCAGAGACAUAGCCAGGGUGAACAACAGGUGUUAAACAAAUAUGGGAAGGUAAAACAUAUGAUGAUACAGAGUUCCACUUCAGGUGACAUCCAUGGGCUCGAAAUAGGUGAGAUUAACGUAUCAAAGAAAACUCAAAAACAGUUCAUGCAUUCAGAGGACUGAGUUCAACCAAAGCAAACAAAAUAUUGUCUAGAACUAGAGCUAAAAAUGUCAAGAGGAUAGGAGAAUAAUGGAAAAUGUAAGACUUAUAGUUCAUACCUGUAAAUGGAUUCCCUACCAGCAAGACUAGUUAGGCUUCUAGCUCUUUUCUAAAGCUCCCUCUCUUCCCUUUGCUGUCCGCCUUGGUUCCUCCUUCUCUCAACUUCUCUCCGUAGCCUAAGCUCCAGGAAUACCCUCCAGAAAAAUCCUCUCUCCGGUGGCUUCCCUAAACUCCAAAACUCCCUCUCUCUAUCCCCCAAAAAUAUCUCUAACGGCCUAGCCUUUUUCCCACCACCCUACAGCUGCCAACCUUCACGGUUUUCAACUUUUUCUGCUGAAAGAAAUCUCCACGUGUCAAGCUUCCAUUGGCCAUCAAAACCACUAACUUGAUACCCUAUCAACCAGUCCUGGAGUGACACGUGGUCAUCCCAGACGAUGACACUUGUCAUAAUCGGGCUGUAGAGAUGUCUCCCCAAAAUGGGGGUCUACACAUUUAUUUUUAAGAUAAAUCUCUAUUAUUUAUAUAACAACUUAUACUAUCUUUUAUUUUCAAAAAUAAAAAAAUUAUUCAAAGUCCACUUAAAUUUUGUUGAUAAUGAACCUUGAGCAAACUCUCAUGGUCACAUUAUUUAAUCAUUUACCUAAAGAUUUAUGCUUAAAGAAAAUCAAUCAACCACAUUCAGAAUUGAUAAUUCUAAGUAGUUAGUAACACAUGGAGUCACAAUUCCAUACAACAAAUACAUAUAUAUAGAAAAUUUUGAAAUCUUAUCUUAUAUGCUCUUUAUAACUAAAAUUUCGAGUGAACCAAAAACUUUUAAAUUCAAAAUUUUAAGCUAUUUAAAAGUUGUUUAUGUUUAAGAUAAAUAUCUAUUAUUCAUAUAAGAACUCAUACUAUCUUUUCAUUUUCAAAAAUAAAAAAUAUUUUGAAAGUCCACUUAAAUUUUGUAGAAAAUGAACCUUGAACAAACUCUCUCAAUCAAAUUAUUUUAUCAUUUACCUAAAGAUUUAUACUUAUAAAAAACCAAUUAACCGCAUCGAGAAAUGAUAAUUCUGGAUAGCUAGUAACACAUGGAAUCACAAGAAAGAUGAUGAAGAUUAUGUAUAUUAAUUAUGGUCUCUUCUUUUCUGAAUUCCUCACAACUCACAUCAAUUGGUCUUUGAUGUUGUCCGUGAGCUCACUUGUCACACCCAUAAAACAAUAAAUAGGAAGAGAUCAAGAAGAUCAUACCACAAGGGCUUCCCUAAAAGAUUGAUGAAAGAACUUAUACCUUCACCCUUUGAGCUCCAAAACAAUGCCCAAAAACCAACCUAAUCUUUUUUUUUUCCCUUUUUCUGAACUAUUUCAUCAAGAUCCAAAAGCCCUAGAUGUUAUUUAUAUUUGAACAUAGAGAAUACCUAAAAUAAACAAUCCAACGCAUGGGUGGGAUAAACUUAGCUCAAUAAAUUUGGCUUAAUAUUAACCCUUAAAGUUACCCAUUCAUGGUCUAUUAAUGAAUAUAAAUAAAAUUUUUUGAAAACCUUUUCGAUACAAAAAAUAAAAGAUUUGAUAACAAAAAUUGAAAACUCACCUUAUAUGCUUUCUAUAACUGAAAUUUCGAGUGAACAAAAAACUAUUAACUUCAACUUUUUCAGCUAUUUUUAAAAUUAUUUAUUUUUAAUAUAAAUCUCUAUUAUUUAUAUAAACACUCGUACUAUCUUUUAUUUUCAAAAAUAAAAAAUAUACUCAAAGUCCAAUUAAAUUUUGUAGAAAAUGAAUCUUGAGCAAACUCUCUCGACCACGUUACUUUAUUAUUUACCUAAACAUGCUUAUCGAAAAUCAAUCAACCAUGUUGAGAAUUGAUAAUUUUGGGUAACUAGUAACACAUGGAAUCACAAGAAAGUUGAUGAAGUUGUUUUCCUCUCUAAAUUCCUAAAAGCUCACAUGCCACUCAUCUCUGAUGUUGUUAGCUCACUCAUCACACCCAUAAAACAAUAAACAAGAAGAGAUAAGGAAGAUCAUACCGCAACGACUUUCACAAAAGGUUGAUGAAAUAACUUAUACCUUCACCCUUUGAGCUCUAGAAUAGUGUCAAAAAAACAACCUAAUCUUUCUUUCCUUUUUCUGAACUACAUUUUACCAAGAUCCAAAAGCCCUAAAUUUUAUUUAUAUUUGGACAAAGAGAAUACCUAAAAUAAAUAGCCUAAUGCAUGGGCUUAGAAAUAAACUAAGCUCAACAAAUUUAGCAUAUAAUAUUAACCUUAAAAUUACCCAUUCAAGGUUUAUUAAAUCAAAAUCAAAAUAAAUUUUCAAAAACCUUUUCUAUACAAAAAAUGAAAAUUUUGAUAGAAAAAUUUCAAAGCCUAUGUUAUAUGCUUUCUAUAACUAAAGUUUCAUGUGAACAAAAAAUUGCUAACUUCAAAAUUUUAAACUAUUUUAAAAAUUAUUUAAUUUUAAAAUAAAUCACUAUUAUUUCUAUAAGAACACAUAUUAUCUUUUAUUUUCAAAAAUGAAAAAUGUAAAGUCCACUUAAAUUUUGUAGAAAAUGAACCUUGAGCAAACUUUCCUAGUGACAUUAUUUUAUCAUUUACUUACAAAUUUAUGUUUACCAAAAAUCAAUCAACGAACUGAGAAUUGAUAAUUCUAGGUAGCUAGCAAAAUAUAGAAUCACAAGACAACUGAUGAAGAGUAUGUAUAUUCUGGUCUCUACCUCUCUGAAUUCCUCAAAGCACACAUAUCACUUCUCAAAGAUGUAAUCCAUGAACACGCUCGUCACACCCAUAAAACAAUCAAUAAGAAGAGAUCAUACUAUAAGGGCUUCCCCAAAAGAUUGGUGAAAGAACUUAUACCUUAACCCAUGUAGCUCUAAAGCAAUGCCUAGAAAACAACCUAAUUUUUCUUUCUUUUUUUUGCACCCAUUUUCACCAAGAUCCCAAAGCCCUAGGUGUUAUUUAUAUUUAGACUUAGAGAAUUCCUAAAAAACAAAUUAAUAGGCAAAUGCAUGGGAGGAGAAAACUUUUCAUGGGCAGGAUAAACUUAGCUCAACAAAUUAAGCUUAAUAUUAAACCUUAAAAUUACCAUUCAACAUGUAUUACAUAAAAAUAAAAUAAAAUUUUUCGAAAACCAUUUGUAUACAAGAAAUAAGAAAAUUUAGAGAAAAGAUUGAAAACUUAUAUUAUAUGCUCUUUAUAACUAAAAUUUCAAGUGAACUAAAAAAUGUCAACUUCAAAUUUUUAAGCUAUUUUUAAAAUUAUUUAUUUUUAAGGUAAAUCUCUAUUAUUUAUAUAAGGACUAAUACUAUCUUUUAUUUUUAAAAAUAAAAUAUGUAUUCAGAGUUCAUUAAAAUUUUGUAGAAAAUGAAUCUUUAGGGAAACUCUCCUAUUCACAUUAUUUUAUCAUUUUCCUAAAGAUUUAAGCUUAUUGAAAAUCAAUUAACCACAUUGAGAAUUAAUAAUUCUGGGUAGCUAGUAACACAUGGAAUCACAAGAAAGCUAAUGGAGACUAUGUAUAUUCUGGUAUCUUACUUUUUGAAUUCCUCAAAUCUUGCACACUAAUCAUCAAAGAUGAUGUCCAUGAGUUCACUCGUCAUGCCCCAUGAAACAAUGAACAAGAAGAGAUUAGGUAGAUCAUACCGUAGGGGCUUCUCCUAAAUGUUGAUGAAAGAACUCAUACCUUCACCCUUUGUGCUAUGGAACAAUGCCAAGAAAACAAUGUAAUUUUUCUUUUCUUUUUCUGAAACACUUUUAACAAAGAUCCAAAAGCCCUAGAUGCUAUUUAUAUUUGGACAUAGAGAAUAACUAAAAGAAAUAGUCCAAUGCAUAGGCUUAGAAAACUUAAAUAGUUAUCAAAGAGUUGUUAACACAUUAUCUAUAAUACAAAUGUCAACCAGAACACUUAAAUAGUUACUCAAAAUAUAACAUGUCAAUAUUUGAGUAUUCAUGAAGAGUUUUUCAUACUAAUAAAUCUAAAAUUCAUGUCUUUAUUCAUUUUGAAAAUUGGGAUAUGGUGAUUCAAAUUGAGCAUUUGAAAAACCAAAGUUCCCCAAAUCAACCACUUCUAGAGUCAUGUCACCACCAUCCUCGUCAUCUACAAAAAUAUUAAAUAUAUAUUAAUAAGAGAUCAUUUUUAAAGAAAAAAAUAGUAAUUAUUGAACUUUUAUAAGUUUACAUAUUCUACUAAUCAAUGAGAGCUUGCAGCUGAACUUGAACCUUCUACUUCAUUUAUUGGAAUUAAUCCUUCUUCAUAUAGAAGAUUUUCUAAUUCUUCCACAUCUAGCUCUCUUGGCUCAUCCUCAUCAACUAAACAAAAAUCAGUUUCAUCAAUGCAUGCAUAAUCAAUGGGAUCAUAGGUCAUUUUCUUGUUGUACAACCUAAAAAAGAAAAACAUAUAAUUAUUCAUAAUUGUCAAUGAAAAAUUUUAAAUUCAAAACAACUAAGAAAGUAUUUAUAUUGAAUUUUUAGCCACAAAUUGUAAUGAACGUAUACAAGAUCAUUAAGUCUUUCAUUUUUCAAUCUAUUCCUUUUUUUUGGUAUAUGUGUAUAUGUUCAAACACACUUUUCAUAACUUUUUGAUUAAUAACAUCUAUGACAUCUCCAAUAACUUCUUGCUUAUUACAAUUUUUUUUUUUUUUUUUAAUAUUGGAAACAUGGAUUCAACCAAUAAGCUACUGAAUGAAUGCUUUUCUUUGGUUGUUCAUCCUAACGUUCCUUUAUGAUUUGUGUAUAAGGCUUGUAUAGUCUUUUAUUGUGUUUAAAUAAUUUCUUGAUACCCAAACGAGCAUUAUACAUGCCUUUAUACACAUAUCCCAUCGAAGGCCUCUCAUCACAAUCAACAAUAUGUAAUAAGAGCACAAGUGGAGCAAUGAGAUUCAUAACCAUCAAACAAUCAUUUCAGAAUAUAUUAUCCAAGAUGAUAGAAACUACAACUCUGCUUUUAUUAUCCAUUAAAUACUUAGAGUCCACAAAAAACUUGCUAGUCACCAAAGCUUGCAAGUCAUGUUUAUGAUCAUGAAGACUCUUUAGUGCAAUGAAUGUAGUAGCAAAGUGAGUUGCACUAGGUCGAAGAAUCUCUAUCCAUCCUUCUCUUUUUCUCAACCAACUUAACAAAGCAACAUGAUUACACACAAAAAUUGUCACCUUUGAUGCAUGUCUUACAAGUUCAGCAACAUAGUCCAUCUUACUAAUAUCCUUAAAGAUCAAAUUAAGACAAUAAGUUGUACAAGGUGACCAAUUGAUUUGUUUAUACUUCUAAGAAAUCAAUCUCCUUAAGACCACAUAAUUUGUUGCAUUAUCAAUCACUACAUGAACUACAUUGAGUGAACCAACCCAUUCAAUCCCUCAUCAAAUAGCAUAAACAAAGUAGUUGCAUCAUUCACAAUAUUCGAAGCAUCAAUAGAUUUACAAAUUAUUUUCUCUUCUUAAAAACAUAAAAAAAGAAAAAAAAAUCUGACACUAUAUUUUAAGAGAACAUCUUUUGGUUAUUUUUAAUUGUUUUCACUUGUUUUUUGAAAUCUAUUUUAAAAAAUAAUUAUACAAAUAUGGGGAAUCAUUAAAAAUAAAAUAUUAUAGAUAAAAAAUUAUUUUAAAAUAUAGAAAAUAUGUUAAAACAUUUCAGAUUUUCAAAUAAACUUUGUUCUAUAAAACAUUAAAGAAUAAUUUUAAAAAAAAAUUGUUUUUCAGAUUUAGUUUUUUAAAAAAAAUACUUUUCAAACAAAACCUUAACAAUUUUGUUUAUCAAAUUCUAAUCCCAACUCUAAUCAUAAUCAUAAUUACUUUCCUUGUCUUUCCUUUCCUUUCUUUUCCUUCCCUUCUAUUCCCUUAUUAUAUAUAAGUAUUUAAAUUAAGACAUUAAAUCAGUUUAUCAAACCCAUCUUAAUCAAUCAGUUAAUCAUAAGCAUCAUGUCAAAGACUUUUAAACCACUAGGUGGAUCCACUCAUCCAUCAUUCACGAUGGAUUAAUCCAUGGAAAGAUAACAACAUCUUCUUAGACUUGUACAUGUGGAUAGCUAUUAGAAAAAAAAAAACAAAAUUUAAUGCACAAAAAUUGGGAUAAAGAAAUAAAAGAAACUCAUCAACAAAACCUAUCUUUUUCUAUUUUAUUUUAUUUUACUUCUAACACUUAAGUAAGGUCUUUAGGUCAAUGAAUAUGCAAAAUUUGAAAUGAUUUGCCUAAAGUUCAUAUGUUAAAACUCGGGUUUUAAUGGAAAUUUAACUUUGAUGCAUAAACCAAGUUUUUAAAGAUGCAUGAAAAGAUAUGAAAAUCCUAAGUGCACCCAUGCAUUCAUCUUACAUGUAUUUCCUAUGAUUAAAGGGUCUUCCAUUUGUGUUGAUCUUGCAUCCAUUGGGUCCUAUAAUGAAUUUCUUGAAUAUCCUUUUGAAUUUUAACUAAAACUUGAAAUUCUUUUUUAAUUCAAAACAAUUAGCAACUUAACCAUGAUUUGUUAUCAUCAAAACACAAUUAGGAGAACCAUUGGGCUAACAGCUUAAACACUUAUUUUGGUAACUUUCUUAAUUAUAAAUUAUAUAUCUUAAUUUCCAAAAUUAACUUAUUUUCUUUAAUUUCAAAAUCUUAUUCAAAAUAAGAAAAAUAUUAUUUUAUAAAGAUUUGGAAAAUAAAAGCUUUUCCUUAAAAGAAAGAUUUUAUUCUUAGAGAUCUCAAAGAUUUGAGAAGAUUUUAAAUAAAAUUAAAAUCUCUAAAAAUUAAUUUUAAAAGGGAAAUAAAGUUCUUGAUCCUUUUCGAAUUUAUUUUUUCUUAAAAUAAAAUUUCUAACCAUGCACAUUCCAAUUUAAAUAAGUUUUCUAAUUUUGAAAAAUUCAUAAAAAUUUAUUUCUAAUUAAUAAUACCAUUAUUAUUUAGGGUCACAUAUGUAAUUAAUAAAGAUAACAUAUAAUAAAAACAAGGGAAUAAUUAAAUAGAAAUAUUUCUCAUGGCCUUUAUGGAUUUUAUUGCAUAUUUGGUAAUUAAAAUUAGGACAAAAUCCAAAUUACUAAAAUAGCCUUAUAGCCAAAGAUUAAGUUUAGUAAAAAUUGAAAAACCCCAAAACACCCAAUUACCACAAAAUAAUGAGCCUAAGAAAAUGGCCAAACAACCAAAAACAAUUUGGCCUGAACUUAAUCCUAAAACAACUUGAUUUUUGCAUAGCCUUGCUUCAAUCGACUAUAUCUCUUGUUUCAAUUCCAAAUUGCAAAUCGUUUAAAGUGUUGGAUUCCCAACUUCUUAAGCUUGAAAACAAUAUAUGGCUUGCCCUAAGAAACUCAUGGGACUUAGCCCCAAUUUUGAGUCGAAGUCAACAUCAUUGUGUUAUCAUGCUCUUUGUGCAGCCUUGCUUCAAUUAGUCAUAUCUCCCUUGUUUCAACUUUGAAUUGUGAUCCAUUUAAAGCAUUGAAUUCCUGAAUUCCUAAGCUUCAAAAACCUCAUGAGAAAUAGUCUCAAGUUUGAGUUAAAGUUGAUGCCACCAUGUUGCCAAGAAUAUUUAUUAUUAUUUUUUUCUUAAAUCACAAUAGGAUUACAAAAAGAAACUUCAAGAUUCUUUCUUUUCUCUUGGGUCACCACAGAUGAAUGUAAAAAACUAAAAUUUUUAUAAUAAUAAAAAUUAUUAUGCUCCUUUAAUAGAGCUUACAACUCAUCUAUUGAGGAAAAAAAAAAACCUCUUACAAUCAAAUAAAAAUCUUUUACCCUUUAUGGAUUGUACAACCCAAUCUAGAGAAAACAAAGAAUCCAAUCAUAAUUAUAACCAUCAUGUUAUAUUGAAAACCCACAUAUAAUUGUCCUCGAGGCCAUGGAAUAAACCAAAAUACCCUAUAAAAUAGAGUUAGCAUGCCCUAGAGAUGAUCUAACACACAAAAACCUACCUUAGGGCUCUGAUACCAGUUGUUGGGAACCCUAAAUUUCUUCAUUCCCUAUCUUUAAAUCUCGUAGGGUGAAUACAUCUAUCCCUAACGAUCUUUAGAUUUAACACAUUGGAAAAAAAUGGCUUCAAAAACUAUUUUAGAAUAAAGAUAUAGAGAUUUGAAACUCAUACUUGGAUCUAGAUGUUCUCAUAUCAAUUCCUAGUUGUGAAGAACAUGCUUGAAGGUCUCAUACACCCAAGAUAUUCCGACCGAUGACUUAAACCACAAUCUUGACACUCUAAAUUCCCUAGCUUCAAAAUCAUAUGCGGCUUACCCUAAUAAACUCAUGGGAGAUAGUCCCGAUUUUAAGUUAAAGUUGAUGUCGUUGUGUUCCCAUGGAUCUCAAAACAAGAACUUCCAAGAAUAUUUCUUUUUUCUUAAAUCACCAUAGGAUUACAAAAAAAGAAACUUCAAGAUUCUUUCUUUUCUCUUGGGUCACCAUAAAUGGAUAUAAAAAGAUGAAAUUUUUACAAUAAUAAAAAUUCUUAUGCUCCUAUAAUGGAGCUUAUAACUCAUCUAUUGAAAAGAAAAUAUUAUUACAAUGAAAUAAAAAUCCUUUACCCCUUAUGGGGUGUACAACCUAAUCUAGAGAAAACAAAGAAUCUAAUCAUAAUUAUAACCAUCAUGUUACAUUGAAAGCCUACAGACAUUCAUCCCUAAGGCCAUGGGAUAAAUUAGAAUACCCUACAAAAUAGAGUUAGCACACCCUGGGAACAUAUCUGACAUGAAAAAACCCAUCUUAGGGCUCUAAUACCAGUUGUUGGGAACCUUGAAUUUCUCAAUUCCUUAUCCUUGAAUUUCGUAGAGUGCAUGCAUCUAUUCCUAACAAUCUUUAGAUCUAACAUAACGAAAAAAUGGCUUCAAAAACCAUUUUAGAAUAAAGAUCUAGAGAUUUGAAACUCAUACCUAGAUCUGGAUGUUCUCAAAGCAAUUCCUAGCGGUGAAGAACAUGCCUAUAAGUCUCAUACACCCAAGAUAUUCUAGUCAAUGACUUAAACCAUGAUCUUGACACUCCAAAGUGUGGGUUUUGGAAGGAAGGAAUCUUAGGCUCUCUCUCUUUCUCUCUCUAGAGGUGGAAGACGACUUUUACACUAAAAAGUGAUGGGAAUCCUAAUCCCUAAGAGGUAUUUAUAAGGUUCCCCUAUUAGGCUUAACUGACUUAAGCCACCAAGGCUUAGGUCACUUGAUCUAACUCAAAAUGGGUUUUAAUUGAUUAAUUAGCCACACAAGGUCAUCUAAUUAAUUGAUUAGCCCAAUUCAAAGAACUUGUUUAUUAUCCCCUGUGGAACCUUACAUAAUUACCAAAAUGCCAUUAUGCAUAAAAAUGAACUGAGAACCAAUCCAACCAUUAUAAACCAUGUCAUCAUGGUAUAUGAGCUCAGAAUAGGAACUAUUGGGACCCAUAGGAGUAUUAGCUCCUUCAUAAUCCAAUUUUGAAGUUGAUUCAACAUUCCACUAAAGAGAAUCAACUGCACUCUAGCACCCUUACGUAAAUAACAACGAGACAAAGCUUGGGUAUGUGACUUAUUGUCCAUUGUAUGUAGACUCCCUAUAAACUAGUGUUUGUAACCUAAUAAGGUAAUGCUAUCACCUACCAAGAUCACCUAUCAAAUUCUUGAGUUACAGAUCUUACUUAUUUUGUGAUCAACUAGCAUACUCUAACUCUAAGAAGCAUAUGUUAAAUUCCACUAAAGGAAGUAUUACAAUCAUAGAUUUCGUGAUCACAUUUCCUUUGGAUCACCCAAUGGGACACAUUGUCUCAAUCCUAUGAGAUAUCAUGGUGCCUCUAUUGAGAAUACCUGUUACCACCAGCCUUCAUCAACAAUGAUCAAUAAGAAUAUAUGACCAUUUUAGUAUCUCACUUAUAGGUCAAAGCCUCAUGUUGAUUUCAACACAAGCUCAAUAACAAUUGAUAGUCUUACGUCAUGAUUCAAUGUAGGUUCUGUCUAGUGUGCAUCAUAUACACUAGUGUGCUCACUAUUGGAAACUCAUCCCGACAGCUAAGACAAGUCUCAUUCCAAUUAGGAGGUAGUGUACUAACCUUUAUUGGACUGCCCAAAUCCAUGAACUGAAUAUAAACAAAUUAUCUACUUACAAGAAACUAAUGACUUAUAUCCUUUAUGCAACUCCUAAUGCACCUAAGUCGUGUAUAAUGUAAGAGAUAUGGACUGAAUGCUCAAAUUAAUUUCAAUGCAUAAAAGGGAUAGUAAGAAGAUAGUCAAGUUUGACUUCAUACAUCAUGUCUUUCUUUUAGGGGCUUAAUCCCAAUAGUGUUCUACCUCCUAAUUAGAUGGAUAACUUGUCUUGGUCAUCGCGAUAAUUUUCCCAUUGUGAGUGUACUAGUGUAUGUGAUGCACACUGAAUAGAACUUAUGGUGAAUCAUGAUGUAAGGGUAUCAAUUGCCAUAAUUCACUAAGCUACUAUAUUGUAUGGACUUUCAACCUUGAGAGGAUAUUAAGUUUGUACCAAAGUCAAUAAGAGACUUUGACCUAUAAGUGAGAUCCUAGGGUGCAUGGUCACAUAUCCUUGUGGAUUGGGUCAUUGUUGAUGAAAGUUGGUGACAACAGGAAUUCUUAAUAGAGACACCAUGAUAUCUUAUAAGAUUGAGACAAUGAGUCCUCUUGGGUAAUCUAAAGGACAUGUGAUUUAGAAGACUAUGACCAUAACUUUUCCUUUAAUGGAAAUUUAACAUAUACUCAUUAAAGCUAGAGUUUGUCAAUUGAUCACAUAAUAUGUGGGAUAUGUAACUCAAGGUUGGAGAGGUAAUCUUGAAAGGUGAUAACUCUACCUAGUUAAAUUACAAACACUAGUUCAUGGGGAGUUUACAUGCAAUGAAUGGUAGGUCAGGACCCUAACUUUGUCUCAUUGUUAUUUAUAUAGGAUAUUGGAGUAUAGUUGAGUCUUUAUAAUGGGAUGUUGAAUCAACUCUAGAAUUGGAUUCUUAGGGGGUUAGUACUCCUAUGGGUCCCAUUAGUCCCCGCUCUAAACUCAUAUACCAUGAUGACAUGGUUUAUAAAGGGUUGGAUUGGGUUUAGGUUCACUCUUGUGCAUAAGGGUGUUUUGGUAAUUAUGCAAGGUGCACAAGGAUAGUGAACAAGGUUUCUAGAUUGAGCUAAUUAAUUAAUUAGAUUGUCUUGCAAGGUUAAUUAAUCAAUUCAGGCCUAAUUUGGGUAAGAUUAAGUGGUUGAUGCCUAUGUGGGCUCAUGUCACUUAAACUUAGUGGGAGAAUCCUAUAAAUACCCCCUUUAAGGGUUAGAGUUUCUUAAUCACUUUUAACGUCAUAUUUCAUUUUAUAGAGUGAGAGUCAAACCUUCCUCUUUUCCAUUGCCCACCUUUUGGAGUGUCAAGAUUAUGGUUAGAGUCAUUGAACAAAAGAUCUUGGGCGUACAAGACCUCUAGAUUCUUCAAACUUCUUCACCACAUGGAAUGGAUUUAGGAAUAUCCAAAUCAGAGGUAAAGUGUUUUGUAGCCUUUAAUUUAGAUCCUUGAAUGUUAAAAAUGCUAUUUUUGCUUUCAUUGUAUAGGAUCUAGAGGUCUAGGGUAGAUUGCAUGUAGGUACGAUCCAAGGCACGAAAAUAGAGAAAUCCAGGGUUCCCAUCACUUCCAUUAUCCUUGCACAUAUAGCUUCCUUGCAAAAUUCCUCUAAAAGCUUGUCAUUUCGCUUUAUUUUGUUGCAUUUCUUCUCAAAUACGUGCACUAGCUCUCAAAAGGACUUAAGUUUGUAUUCAAGGUAAAAUACACUUUAAGUGUUGUUUGUUUGUUUUUAACUUAUUGUUGAAAGUAAUUUGCUUUUAGAAUUCAAUUGAUCUCUUUUUACUUUUUAUUUGACUUAUUAUUUAUUCUUAAAUGUUUUUCACUAAAUAGAAAAAAAUAUAUCAAAAUAUGACUUUUUUUAAAACAAGAAGUGAUUUAUUCGUCCCUCAUCCUCAACCUAGUAAAACACAAUAUCAACAUUCAUCCCUUAUCUCAUCUCAUCCUAGCCACUCAGUUUUAUACUUUGUCCCAUUCAACACCAUGCCCCUACUACCAUUAUCGUCACAAUUGCCUAUCAGCAUCCCACUUGCCACCACUCUCAUUAAAGUCACACAACAAUAUUUUAACCAUAUUUAAUUUUAAAAUAUUUUAUUUUGAUUAUAUAAAAUAAAAAUAAAAAUAAAAAUUAUUUUUUCAAGGAUAAUAAUGAUAAAUUAUUUAUUAUAAUAAUUGGUUUUAUUUUAAGAUUUGUAGAAAUAUGUUAAACUUUUUGGUCAAUAAGAAUUAGUAUAAAAAUUAUUUUUCUUACUGCAUUUAGAUGUUGAUUUUUAGCACAUGAAAAGCAAACAACUUAAUACUUAAUAAAAAAUAAAAUAUUAAAAACAACAACAACAACUUAACACUUAACACUCUUAACCAUUAUUUAUUCUUAAGUUAAAUUUGUUAUCUGUCCAACAUCACCCAUUAUUAUACACCCAAUUUUUACCCAAAUUUUACAAUAAGAAUUUACAAGUAACUGAACUUCCUUCUUGGCAUCCUUUAAAUUAUUAAACCAUAGUUGACGGUAAGUUGAACCCUUAUAUCCAAGACAAAUUACGAAUAUAGCAUCCAACAUUGGCGUGAAGUAGAAGGAAUUCACAACAUUAAUAGGAAUGCAUGCAUCAUAAAAGAAUCUCUCAACAACCAUAUCUACUCUCCAAAUAGCUUAUUUCCUAGCUAAUACACUCCUAAUGGAAGGUUGAGCUCCUUAAGUAGUUCUUGGUGCAAAAUACUUAUCCAUUGUUGAUUUUCUUCUUUUUCCACUACUAGUUGCCAUAGGAUUUUACAUAUCUUGAACCUCUUCUCCACAUUUUGGCAUAUCCCCUUCAAAUUGUGACACCUUAAGACCAUAAUUCAUAUGUUUCUUGGAUUUCACAAACUCCUACAAAGAAUUUUCCAUUUGAAAUCUACAUUAGGAGGAAUUGAUUUACAUGGACCAAUAUCUUGUUUCACUCCAACAAGGUGUUGUUUCAGUUUUAUGAAUUCCCCUACCUUUUGCAACUUUUUUACAAUAUAAACAAACAAGAACUUUCCUUCCAUUUGUAUUUUUUUCUUUAGAAACAUGCUCCUAUGUAGGGUUGGUGUUGUCUCUACUUGUUUGUGAAUUUGUAUUUGAAUCUUGACCAGAGGAUGGGGUCAAGUUUGAUUCCAUUUUGAUUUUUCUAUAAAAUUGUAAACAAAAACAACAAUUUUAAUCACCAUUCAAUGCAUUCAUCAAUAAAAAAUAUGACUUCAAUCAAGUCAUCCACAAUUUAAAAAAAUAAAAGAAUUAAAGAAUUUAUUAUAUAAAAUUCUUUCAAAAUCAGAAAUUUACUUUCAAAUAGAAAAUUUAUUUAAAAUUUUAAAACAAGAUUUUUAUUUAAAAAUUAGAAAAUUUAAAUUUAUUUAAAAUUAUCUAAAAAAUGCAACAUAAUGUUUGAUUCAUUGAUUAUUUCCAAAAAAUUAUUUUAAUUUCUAAUGUUUUUAAUUAUUUUAAUAAUUUAUUUAAACUCAAAUAAGAUAUUUUAAAAAUCAAUAUAAAAUUUAAAAAAAUAAAAUGAAAAUAAAGUAAAGAAAUAAAUAAAUCUAAACAAAUGAUUCAAUUAUUCAAAUGAAAUUUCAAUGAAUAUUGAUAUUGUAAUUUAAUAAAUCAAUAUGCAAUAAAAUUAUAAAAUAUUAAAUAUUAAAAAAAUUAAAUAAAUUGCAAGAUUCCAAAGUUUAAACUCAUAAUGGGAGAUUUGGAAUCCAGUGCGGUCAUCAGCAUGUGGAGGCGAUGGCUUCUCCAAUGUGGUGCGCAACUAUUGGAGACGUGCGUGCUAGUAAGGAGGGAAGGUAAAAAAAUGGCUUAUAUACAGAGCAAAACGACGUUGUUUCGAUGCCAAAUGCAUCAAAACAACGCUAUUUUGAUGGCAAAAAAAUAAAAAAGGUAUGAACCAUUUAGUUUGGGGGAAACCAGCUGAUUCACCAAUAAGACUGCUAAUUUCGAUGGUUGGAGGAUAGUCCAACCCUUCGACGGUUUAAAUCACCAAAGCAAACCGAAAAAUUGACUGAUCGAAAGUCAAACCGAUUGGAUCGACCGAUCUGGUCUGAUUUUUAAAAUCAUGUUCAUACCUUUAAAAUUUGUUUAGAAAAUUAAGAGAAACUCAUACAUAUAUAGUGUUUGAAACAUUUUUCCCAAUUCGAUGUGGAAUAAAUAUCACAUAUAUUCCCUCAAAAUGUUGAUUCCAAGUAGAUGGGCAAAUGAACAAUUUAGUAUUAAAAAGAAAAAAAAAAUACAUGGAUGGUAAUGUGUAUUAAUUCAUUUUUGACUCUCGUUAUAACACCCCACAUUUAUUGUUAGGGCAGUACUGUAAAUUAGAAUAAAAUAUAAAUAAAUAAAUUUAAUAAGGGUAUAAAGACCUUUUUUGCAUUAAAAGUCCUAGUUAUAAAUUAGAUUUUCUUUGUCUUCUUCAUUCAGAAAACCCUAUUAUACAUGGAUGGAAAUUCAAAAAUCAACAAAUCUCAACUUUUAAACCAACAUAUCAACAAUAGAAUUUUUUUGUCCAAGCAAUUUCAAACUUAAAACAAUAGCUAACAGUAAUCAAAUUCUAACAUUUAACAAAGUCCCAAAAAGAGAGUUUAAACAAAUGUCCUAAUAAAGCCAAAUUUAUCAUCCUAACUGUCACUCCUCGCCUGAAUUGAGGAUACUUGAAAUAUUAUCAAUAAAUGGGAAUGAGCUCAAAACUCAAUAAGGAACAUUAAUGUACAAUUUCAUGGAUCAAAUAGUUUCAAUCAUGCUUACAAAUGGGAGAUAUAAGGUUAAGUUCAAAUAUUCUAAUACAUUUUAAUCUGUUCAACCAAACAUUUUCAUAUAUAUCAAAACCAUUUCACAUCAAAUCCAAAUCAAACACAUUUAAAAUAUUUUCACUCUGAUUAUCAUAUAACAAAUGGUGCAUAAUUGGGUGGGAUUUUACAAAUGAGUGACUAGUUUCAAAUUUGUUCUAUUUAAGGUGAACAAAACAAAUGUCAACAAUUACAACCCAUUGCCUAGGGUCAUAUAAUAUCAAUUAUUAUAACCCAUUGACUAGGGUCGAAAAUGUCAACAAUUAUAACUCGUUGACUAGAGUUAUAAAAACUAGAGUCAAACACUUCAUUUCAUUAAUUCAAACUUACAAAACAAAAUAUCAUAUUUCUACAAUUUUUAUCUUUCAUAAACAAAGAAAAUGCUUAAACAUAUUUUUCAUACAAAACAUAUAUUUGAUCCAUGUAUAAAAAUAAAAAUAAAAAUUUUCAUAAAUCAAAAUAAAAUUUAAAAAGAAAUACUUUCUUUUACAAAAUCUAUAUUAAUUUCCCUUACCUCAUAGAAGCACUAAAAAACCUUGAAGUAUUUAAUCCUAAAGAGUUUUGCCCCAAAGAACCUAUUUCAAACUUAACAAAAAAAGACAUAACUAUUACUAUUAACUAUUUAUCUAAAUGAAGGGCUUGAGAAUCCUAAUAAUUUUAGGGAGCUCUCUACUACAAAAAUAGUUUAUGGUGUCACUAUUUACGGUGUCACUUUUAAAAUAAUGACACCAUAAGGUUUAUAAUUAAUAAAGGUGACACAUCAUAUAAAAAAUCUUCAAUUGAGGUAGUUAGAUGAUAUUAAUUUUAUAUUUAUAGUGUCAUUUUUUGGGAAGUGACAUUAUAUAAAAUAAAUUUUUUUAAGUACUAUAACUUAAUGAGCCCACUUUUAGAAUUAAUAAUGAUGGAUACUAUAUAAAAAUCCCAUUGUUUCCAUAUCUCACCCACAAUCCAAAAAAUCUCAAUAUAUAAAUCCUAUAUAUAAAAUCAUGAUCUUCUUCAACCUUUUCUCUCAUCCAUCCAUAGUCAACACGCUCAAAACCGACAUUCUUCACUUUAUGGACUCCCAGGUAACCCAAAAUCUCUUGGAUCUAUCAUUUUUUUUUCUUUUAUUAAUGCCAUUAUAUUAAUUGUUUCAACAUCUUUGUACUAUGGUUUUUGUGAAUUGUGUUUUCUUGAGUUGUAGGGAAGAAAAAUUUAGGUUUAAUCUUCUAGCAUGGAAGAAAAAACUAUAGAUUAAUUGAUUUUUUUAAUCUAAACCAAACACAUGAUCAAGUCCUUAAAAAAAAGUGAAAAAUAGGAAAAAAUGAAUGAUUUUUAAUAUGUAUUUGUGUGAGAAUGACAGGUACAAAUUUUUUUUAAGAUAUACUAUCACAUAAUCUUCAUCCUUUCUAAAAAACGAGAGAGGAAAAAAAAAAAGAAUGAUUUUUCUGUUUGUAUCUAAGUGGGAAUGAGAUAUAGAAUUUCGUUGAGAGUAUCCAACCCCAAAAGGACCAAUCCGGGAAGGCAUGUGUGGUAUUGACGGGAGAUGAUAAGAUGGAAAUCAUAACCAUAGCCAUGUUCUCUCUGUGUCUUUCUAUCCUCUUCAAUUAAUUUAUGGGCAUAGAUAUUUUAUUUAGUUUUUAUAUUUAGUUUAUUUAUAGUUUAUUUAGUUUCUAAAAUCCAAUUAGUUAGAUAUUUUAUUUGAUCUUGUUUUUAUAUUUAAGUAUUUGAGUUUUGGAAAGUUUUUAUAUUUUGUUAAUAGAAAUAGAAAUUUUUAUAUUUUUUAUUAUUAGGAAUUUCUAUUUUGUUAAAUUGUAAGUAUCUAUCUCAAUAAGAGAUUAUUAAUAUUCAAAUGAAAGUGAUGAAAGAGAGUAAAUAUUUUAAUGCUCAAUUAUAUUUUAAUGUUAUUUUUUUUUUUACAUAAGGGUUUAUUUAUGUUUUCAAUUUUGAAGUUCUCUUUCCAAGUCCAGCAACAAAAGUAGUGUCCAACCUUAAAAUGGGCAUGUGUGGUAUUGACGGGAGAUGAUAAGAUGGAAAUCAUAACCAUAGCCAUGUUCUCUUUGUGUCUUUCUAUCAUCUUCAAUUAAUUCAUGGGCAUAGAUAUUUUAUUUAGUUUUUAUAUUUAGUUUAUUUAGUUUCUAAAAUCCAAUUAGCUAGAUAUUUUAUUUGAUUUUAUUUUUAUAUUUAAGUAGUUGAGUUUUGGAAAUUUUUUAUAUUUUGUUAAUAGAAAUAGAAAUUUUAUAUUUUUUAUUAUUAGGAAUUUCUAUUUUGUUAAAUUGUAAGUAUCUAUCUCAAUAAGAGAUUAUUAAUAUUCAAAUGAAAGUGAUGAAAGAGAGUAAAUAUUUUAAUGUUAUUUUUUUUACAUAAGGGUUUAUUUAUGUUUUCAAUUUUGAAGUUCCCUUUCCAAGUCCAACAACAAAAGUAGUGUCCAACCUUAAAAUGGGCAUGUGUGGUAUUGACAGGAAAUGAUAAGAUGAAAAUCAUAACCAUAGUCAUGUUCUCUCUGUGUCUUUCUAUCCUCUUCAAUUAAUUCAUGGGCACAGAUAUUUUAUUUAGUUUUUAUAUUUAGUUUAUUUAGUUUCUAAAAUCCAAUUAGCUAGAUAUUUUAUUUGAUUUUGUUUUUAUAUUUAAGUAGUUAAGUUUUGGAAAGUUUUUAUAUUUUGUUAAUAAAAAUAGAUAUGAGGACUUAAAGGGUUUAUAUUUAGGUAGUGCUUGAGCCAAGGAAAAUGAUAGUCCACUGUCUUGACCCUAUGCAUCACAAACCAUGUGAGGACUUAAAGGAUAUCGUAAACAUGUAAGUUCUUCCUAUUAUUUUUCAUAGUAUUAUUUUUAAAUAAAAAAAAAUACAUUCACCUCAAACACAUUUUUUUUAUUAUUUAUAUAUAUUAAAACAUAUAACAUUUACCUAUUUUAAAAAUGUACCCAUUGAACUUAUUUACAUAGGGCUCUUCGAAUAUCUGCAAAGAAAACAUCUAAGAGGGAGCCAUCUUAGCAACUAGUGCAGGUGACAUCCAAAAAUUUUUCUUUACACAUUAGCUUAUGCAUUUGCACCAUUUAUAUAUGUGAGUACUAAUGUUAUUUUAUAAUUGAUCGAUUAGUGUCCAAGACAAGAAGGAGGGUUCGAAUGUGGCUACUUUGUUAUGAGAUUCAUUAAAGAGAUAAUUUUUUAUCCUACAAUUAUUGCUUCAAAGGUAUUACUUAUUUAAUGAAUUGUACAUAGUUUUAGGCUUCCAAAUGUUAUGCAUUUUAAUGUUAUUUUCUUAUUUGCUUUAAGUUUGGUAAUAAAAAAACAUAUUCUCAAGUAGAAUUUGAUGAAAUUAGAGGAGAAUGGGCUACUUUUGUGCUACAACUAAUCAUGAAUCAUGUUGAUGCAUCAUGAUCACCAUGCAUGGUGAGUCCCUUAGCUACUACAUGAAUUUUUCCAUAGGUAUUGUAUAGUAAUGUUUAUUCUUUGAAUAAUGUUUCUAUUUGAAAAAAAAAAAAAUUAAUUCUUAGAUUUGUUCAUUUAUGAUAACAUAGAUCCAUGUUUAUUUUCUUCAAUAAAAAUCUCUAAAACUCAUUAAAUUUUGAAAUGCAGGUAUACACUCUUGGGAGGGUGAAAUGGAGAAUAAAAAGAAAGAAGAAGGCAACAAGAUUUUGGGUUUUUAAAUGCAACUCUUAUGUCAUACGUUGUAGGACAUAAAUGUUACUUUAAUUGCAACUGAGAAAUUUAGAUUUUUAUAUGGGACUUCUAUGUCAUUUUAUGGUUAGUCGGUUUUAUGCUUAUGAAAUGGAGGUAUACAUGAAUCUUGGGAUCUUUAACAUUUCUAAAUCAUGUUUUGGUAUGUAUUCACUCUUCUUUUUUAGUUUUGAUGGGUUUGAUAUGUUGGACGUACUAUCCUUUUGUGAACAUUUGAUAUACAAAUAUUAUUAGAUGAUCAAUGUAUUAUGAGUUAUUCCAGAAACAUUACAGAAAAAUGAGUUAAAUAUAAUAUGAUUGUUAUAUUUAUGGACAAAAUAUAAACAGGUUAAUCUUAUUAAUUCAUAAGCAUUACAAAAAUCAACAACUAAAACCAAUCAUAUAUUCCACAAUAAUUUACAAUGAUGUGAUACCAUAACUGAAAGGUGAUGCAUUUAAUGUGACAUCAUAACUCAAAGAUGAUGUAUUUAAUGUGACACUCUAUCAUCACUAGAAAUAUAUGGUGUCACUUCUGAAUGGGUCACCAUUUAUCUACUUUGGUGUCACUUCCAAAUACGUCACCAAUUGGUACCCUCUAUGGUGUCAAUGGAGAAGGUGACGCUAUGUUGUAGUGACAUCUUAUGUUUAUGGUGACUCGUUAUAAAUGUCACCAUAUACCUUUUUCCUUGUAGUAGAAUUAUCUUUUGGGGGUAGAUGGACUCCCAAAUUAACAAAAGGUCAUAUAACUCUUCAAAUUGAGUUAAAGGAUAUGAAAUAGUAACAGAUAAAUAUACUCUUUAAGAACACAUAUAAAAUAUUUUAUAAAAUUAAGUUAAAUAAUUUUUUUUCAAUAAUUUUUUUUUCAAAAAUACUAAAUUAAAUAAAAGUAGUUUUCAAAAAUAUUAAAUUAAAUAAUUUUUUUCAAAAAUAUUAAAUUAAUUUUUUUUUCAAAAAUAUUAAAUUAAAUUAAAGUAUUUAAAAAAAAUAUUAAAUUAAAUAUUUUUUAAAAUAUUAAAUUAAAUAAAAGUAUUUUAAAAAAUAUUAAAUUACAUAAAAGUAUUUUUAAAAAAUAUUAAAUUAAAUAAAAAAAUAUUAAAUUAAAUAAAAGAAUUUUUCAAAAAUAUUAAUUUUUUUCUCAAAAUCAACAAAGGGCAUUUUUGGAAAUACUGAAGGAUGAUAUCCUUCAACUCAAUUUUCAUACUUUCAUUGGGUCUUGGGCUCAAUUUGGAGAGUUACAUGGACCUUUUGCUAAUUUGGGGGCCCAUCUACCCCCAAAACAUAAUUCUCCCAUAAUUUUAUAUGUUAUGUCAUCUAUAUUAUUUUUAACUUCUUAAUCAAUAACAAUUUAAUACAUAAGUUUCUAAAUUCUUAUAGAAGUUUGAAUCUUUCCAAAAUUUAUUCCUAAGAUUCUAUUAAUUUAUUAUUAUUUUUUAAAAAUUAAAUUUCUCAAAAAUAUAUUUUUUCUAUUUAUUACAUUAAACUAUUAUUAUUACUAAUAUUUCAUUUAUUAGCUUAAAAUUAAAUAUUUUUAUUUUUAUUAAUUUUCAGAUUCAUUACAUAACCAAGGCAUUACCCUCUGUAUUCAGUGCACACACAACCCAAAAUAAAAACAAGGUUUCUUCCUACUGUCAUCAUUAUCAUUUAUUAUUAUAAUACUUUUUAUUUUCAACAUCUAACUUCCUUUCCAGUGCACACGCUUUUUCUUUCUAUCUUGUUUUUUUUUUCUUCUCAAGCCUACACUACUCUGCCACUCCACGUCCCCUCAUGUCUUCUAUUUGUUUAUUUAUUAUUAUUAUUAUAAUCCAUUUGUUUUCUUUUUCAAAAACAAUCUCGUGGUCAAGAUUCAUUUUUCUUUCUUAUAUUUUUUUCCUCAAUCUAAAGCCCCCAUAACUGAACUAUUUUAUUUAUUUCGUUUAAACCUAUAAUUUAUUUUCUUCUAUUUGUAUUUAUUUAUUUUAUCUAUUCAAUUGAAUAUUCAAAAUUUUCCUAUCUCCAUUAAUAAAUUAAUUUGUAUUGAUAAAUUUUUAAUAUUUUAAUCUAAAAAAAAUUAAAUAAACAAAUUAUAAUUUAGAUUAAAAUCUUUAAAAAUAAUUUUAAACGAAUCAAAACUAAUUAAGAAAAUUAAAAUAAUAAUUUCAAAGUUAAAAUUUUAUUUAUAAAAUUUGAAUUUUAAACCCUAGACUUUUAAAUCAUUAUCUUUACGUUUUUCAAUUCUUUAGCUAAAAGAGUUUUACUCAAAAGAAAAAAUAAAAAAAUUCUAAUUUAUUGGUAAAGAUAUUUAAUAGGGAAAGACUUUUUUAUUAUUGUUUAAUUUAUUUUAAUUAUGAUUUUAGCCUUGGAUUUGGUGCAUUACAGAAAUUUUUUAAAAAGUAAGAUAUUUUUAUUCAUUUAAAAUUUUUAUUUAAAACUUCAAACCUUGACUUGACAAAUUUUGGCCCAUAAAUCGAAGAACUUUAUGUGAAAGGUGUAGCUAUCCGAACCCUUCCUCCUCGAGGGAACGUGAAUCAUAAUUUUGUUGCUGGUUUUACAUUAAAAUGUGAUAAAUCUAGGAGUCAAUCUUCAACCAAGACCAACCACCAAUCAUACAAAAACGAUAAAGAAAAUAGAGUGAACCAGCAAAGCCCUGUCGUCAGUUCCUUUGCCCUGCAAUACUAUCCAGCCACUAGUGUCACUCCACCACGCAAAGCCCUCGAAACAUCCCUUUCGUUCUCUCUUUGCAGUAACUGCUAGUUAGUGAUGGAGCAAACUGAGCUGGUCUUCAUCCCAUUUCCUACCAUCGGCCACCUUUCGUCUGCACUGGAGAUUGCAAAGCUGCUUACUCAGCGAAACCCCCGAUUCUCAGUCACGAUCUUCAUCAUAAAGUUUCCGUUUGAGACCAUUGAUGGUAUGGACACGGACUCUGAUUCCGUACGGUUCGUCACACUUCCUCGUGUAGAGGUCAGCUCCGGAGCGACCCCGUCUGGUCUCUUCCUCUCUGAAUUCCUCAAAGCUCACAUACCACUCGUCAGAGACGCUGUCCACGAGCUCACUCGCUCCAACCCGGUUCGGCUCGCUGGGUUCGUUGUUGAUAUGUUCUGCACCCACAUGAUUGAUGUGGCCGAUGAGUUUGGGGUGCCUUCCUAUCUCUUCUUCCCUCCCAGCGCUGCUUUUCUUGGCUUCCUGUUGCAUCUGCAGUUCCUCCAUGAUUAUGAGGGCUUGGAUAUUAAUGAGUUCAAGGACUCGGAUGCUGAGUUGGAGGUUCCAAGUUUUGCUAACUCAGUUCCGGGUAAGGCCUUUCCUUCUUUGAUGAUUGACAAGGAAAGUAGAGGGGCCGAGAUGCUUCUUCAUCACACGAGGAGAUUCAGACACGUCAAGGGUAUUCUGAUAAAUACAUUUAUUGAGCUUGAAUCACAUGCUAUUCAAUCACUUUCUGGCAGUACAGUACCCGUAGUGUAUCCGGUUGGACCCAUACUCAACACCAGAAGGGGAUCUGAUGGGGGUCAACAAGAUGCUAGUGCCAUCAUGAGCUGGCUUGAUGAUCAGCCUCCAUCAUCCGUGGUUUUCCUGUGCUUCGGGAGCAUGGGAAGCUUUGGUGCGGAUCAAAAUCAAGGAGAUAUCACAUGCGUUAGAGCACAGUGGGCAUCGCUUCUUGUGGUCCCUUCACCAACCUCCCCCAAAGGGUAAAGUGAUUACAAGCGACUAUGAAAAUAUUGAGGAAGUUCUACCAGAAGGAUUUUUACAUCGGACGGCUAGAAUUGGAGGGGCUCCACAAAUAGCGGUUUUAGCCCACUCAGCUGUUGGAGGAUUUGUAUCUCAUUGUGGAUGGAAUUCUUUGCUAGAAAGCAUAUUGUACGGUGUUCCAGUAGCCACAUGGCCAAUAUAUGCAGAACAACAAAUCAACGCAUUUCAAAUGGUGAAAGAUUUGGGGUUGGCGGUAGAAAUUAAAAUUGAUUACAAUAAGGAUCGUGAUCAUAUUGUAAGUGCUCAUGAGAUUGAAAAUGGAUUAAGGAACCUAAUGAAUACUAAUUUUAUUAAAGACAUGGUGGCCAACAUUCCAUGCAAGCAACAAAGACGUGACACCUAAUGUAUGAAUUAUUUUAUAAAAGGUGCAUUGCAGGCUCUAAUAAAUUAAUUUAUCAUAUGCUUUAUUUUAAUGUUCAAAUAAUUUCUUUAAUAAAGUCAAGAAAUUUGACCUUUCAAACUAGGAAAUGUGCUAUCUCUUUAUUAUUUAGUAAAACAAGUUUACAAGGGAAUGAAUUUAGUCAUAUGUCGAUCUCAUUGAUCAAUGAAUACACAAUUGAGCAUUUUCCGGUACUAGUAAUAAAAUUAACUAUAUAAUUAAAAAUCAACAAACCCUAUUGGUUUGAGACAAUCUUCAUAAGUGUUUUUUCUAAAUAUUUUUUAUAUUCUUAUGUGAUUGAAUAUAUUUUGGAUUAUGACUUAUAUGAUUUCUCACAUUUCUAAUCAAAAGCAAUAAUUAAAUCCCAAUAAUCAACCUAUAUGAUAACGGAAUCAGUUUAAAAGUUACUAAUUUAAUAUAUCCUAUUUAUGUACAAAAAAUUGUGAGUAUUGUCCCGAAAUAUGUUUCUAAUAUCAACAUAACAUUUCUUCCUCAUUUUGUUUGGCUAAUGAAAAACCAUUAGAAAAAAAAUAUAUAGAUAUUUGAUUAAAAUGAUUAAAAUAGUCUCUAAUUCGAACAAUGCUCUUUUUUAAAAAAAAAAACAAUAUCGAAAAUGAUAAUAUUUUUUUAAUAAAAAUAUCAUUCAUUUAUGUUAAAGCAAUUUGAAAAAAAGAUAUUUUUAUUCAUUUAUAUUUUUUAUUAAUAAAAAUAUCAUUCAUUUAUGUCAAAGCAUUUUUUUUAUUUAUAAGUAUUAAUAUAUUUUUAUUCAUUUAUAAUUUUUAUUUAGAACUUUAAACCAAUAGAAGAUGGCUUUACAAAUUUUGGCCCAAAGAUCCCCAAGAACUUUAUUUGAAAGGUGUAGCAUAUUCGAACCCUUCGUCCAGGGAACAUGAAUCAUAAUUUCGUUGCUGGUUUUAUAUUAAAAUACAUGGGAUACAUCGAGAAACCCACUUUUGCCUCAAUUUUCAACCAAGACCAACCACAAUCAUAGAAAAACGAUAAGGAAAAUAAAUUGAACCAGCAAAGCCCUGACAUCACUUCCUUUGUCCUCCAAUACUAUCCAGCCACAAGUAUAAGAGUGUCACACCACUGCAAAGCCCUCAAAACAUCCCAUUUUUCCUCUCUUUGCAGUAACUGCUAGUUAGUGAUGGAGCAAACUGAGCUGGUCUUCAUCCCAUUUCCUAUCAUCGGCCACCUUACGUCUGCACUGGAGAUUGCAAAGCUGAUUACUCAGCGAGACCCCCGAUUCUCAAUCACGAUCAUCAUCAUGAAGUUUCCGUUUGAGUCCAUUGAUGGUAUGGACACGGACUCUGAUUCCAUACGUUUCGUUACACUUCCUCCUGUAGAGGUCGGCUCCAGUACCACGCCGUCUGGUUUCUUCCUCUCUGAACUCCUCAAAGCUCACAUCCCAGUCGUCAGAGACGCCAUCCACGAGCUCACUCGCUCCAACUCGGUUCGUCUCGCAGGGUUCGUUAUUGAUAUGUUCUGCACCCACAUGAUUGAUGUGGCCAAUGAGUUUGGGGUGCCUUCCUAUCUCUUCUUCACUUCCAGCGCUGCUUUUCUUGGCUUCCUGUUGCAUCUUCAGUUCCUCCAUGAUUAUGAGGGCUUGGAUUUCAAUGAGUUCAAGGACUCGGAUGCUGAGUUGGAUGUUCCGAGUUUCGCGAUCUCAGUUCCGGGUAAGGUCUUCCCUUCUCGGAUGUUUGACAAGGAAAGCGGAGGGGCUGAGAUGCUUCUUUAUUACACGAGGAGAUUCAGAGAAGUCAAGGGUAUUCUGGUAAAUACAUUUAUUGAGCUUGAAUCACAUGCUGUUCGAUCACUUUCUGGCAGUACAGUACCCAAGGUGUAUCCCGUUGGACCCAUACUCAACACCCGAAUGGGAUCUGGUGGGUGUCAACAAGAUGCUAGUGCCAUUAUGAGCUGGCUUGAUGAUCAGCCUCCAUCGUCAGUUGUUUUCCUGUGCUUCGGGAGCAGGGGAAGCUUUGGUGCGGAUCAGAUCAAGGAGAUAGCAUAUGGGCUAGAGCACAGUGGGCAUCGCUUCUUGUGGUCCCUUCGCCAACCUCCCCCAAAGGGUAAAAUGGAUUUUCCAAUCGACUAUGAAAGUAUUGAGGAAGUUCUACCAGAAGGAUUUUUACAUCGGACAGCUAGAAUUGGAAAGGUGAUUGGAUGGGCUCCACAAGUAGCGGUUUUAUCCCACUCAGCUGUUGGAGGAUUUGUAUCUCAUUGUGGAUGGAAUUCUUUGCUAGAAAGCGUAUGGUAUGGUGUUCCAAUAGCCACUUGGCCAAUAUAUGCAGAACAACAAAUCAACGCAUUUCAAAUGGUGAAAGAUUUGGGGUUGGCGAUAGAAAUUAAAAUAGAUUACAAUGAGGAUAGUGAUUAUGUUGUAAGUGCUCAUGAGAUUGAAAAUGGAUUAAGGAACCUAAUGAAUAUUAAUAGUGAAGUGAGGCAGAAGAAGAAAGAAAUGCAAAAAAUAAGUAGAAGAGUCAUGAUAGAUGGUGGCUCUUCACACUUUUCUUUAGGCCAUUUUAUUGAAGACGUGGUGGCCAACAUUCCAUGUCAGAAACAAAGACGGGAUACCUAAUGUAUGAAUUAUUUUAUACUACUAUGAAAGGAAAAGGUGCAUUGUAGGCUCUAAUAAAUUAAUUUAUCAUCUCCUUUAUUUCAAUGCCCAAAUAUUUCUUUGAUGAUGUCAAGAAAUUUGACCUUUCAAACUAGGAAAUGUGUUCUCUCUUUAUUAUUUAGUGAAACAAGUUCACAAGGGCAUGAAUUUAGUCAUAUGUCGAUCUCAUUGAUCAAUGAAUACACAAUUGAGCAUUUUCCUGUAGGAAGCUGGACUAGUAAAAACAUCAACUAUAUAAUUAAAAAUCCAUAAACCCUACUGAAUUUGGUUUGCUGAGAUGAAUAGAUAUAAGAAUUUGUUGAAUUGGAUCACUAUUAGAGACAACCGUCCAUUUGAGAUAUACAUUGAUAGAAAUUUAAUUAAUUUUUGGGCUGUGUUUAUCUUCUUUUCUGCAAGCAUGAUGCUCUAAGAGCAAAUCAAUGUUCUCAAACUAUUUGAUGUGUUGGUAUGGAUUUUAGAAACUAACAUCUCAUCAAUGCAUAUCAAGGCAUCCAAGCAUGUAAGAGAUCAAUAGACUCAAAAUGAUUCUAAUUGGAGCCUUUUUGAAUUAGGAGGUAGCUACAUGAAGAAGGUGAUUGUUAUGGAGAUAAGGAUUUAGAAUUACAAGUUCUUUAGAUUUGAUUGUGAAGAGAGUUGAGAGCAUGUGACUAAUUUUUUUUUUUAAAAGAAAAUUACUAAAAGAUGUGAAAAAAGUCUUUCAAAAAAAUAAAAAUAAAUUUAAACACGAAAAUGAUUAUGUAUACAAUAUUGAAUUAUCAAUUUGUCCUUCCCUUUCGUUUAAUGAAAGAUAAAUAUACAUGGAAAUUGAUAAUUGAAGUUGUUAUUCAAUCAUCUAAAGAUUAGAUUAGAUGGGAUGUAUUGUAAUGAUCUACUCCUAAUUGUGUAGAUAUUGUUUGUUUGCAGUCCAACCCAUCAUAUCCCCUAAGAUUAGGAUGGUCAAACAAAUUCUCAAACUAGAGGGUCAACGAUCAACUCUAAUACCAUUUUUAAUGGCUCACUCUCAACAAUAUAGAUAUUAUUCUUUCAAUCAUCUACAUAUUGUUUGUUCUAAACCCAAAAAUCUGCUCACAACUUUAAAUCUUGUGUAUAAAAUUAAAAGGAGUUUAUAAAUAUAUAAUGCCAUGAACUUUUUCCCCAUUUGAUGAAAGAUACCACAUAUAUUCCCUCAAAAUAUUGAUUCCAAUUAGAUGUGUAGAGGAACCAUUUAAUAUUAGAAAGAAAAUAAAUACAUAGAUGGUAAUAUGUAUUAUUUCUAUUCCUUACUCUUGUUGCAAGGAUACUCAUUGCUAUAUAAUAUAUAUUUUUAUUUAAAGAAUGUUGAAAAUUAAUUUUUUAUAUACAUAAUUAACUUAUAAUUAAAAGAAAAUCAUUUUUAAUACAAAAAUUGGAUUGAUAGAUAAUUAUAUAAGUAAAUUAUCUUAAUUUAGCUCAAUUUUAAGUCUUAAAUUACGAAUUCAAAAUCUAUUAAAUCAAAAUAAAAAUAAAAUAAAAAUUCACUUAAAUCUUACAUGGAUUAAUAGAAAUAAUAACUUCUAUACAAAAAUUAAAAAAUUUUAUAGAAAAAAUCCAAAGCUUAUCUUAUUUGGUUUUUAUAACAGAAAUUCAAGUGAACAAAAAACUGUUAACUUCAAAUUUUUAAGAUAUUUUUAAGAUAAAUCUCUAUUAUUUACAUAAGAACUCAUACUAUUUUUAAUUUUCAAAAAUAUAAAAUGUAUCCAAUGUCCACUUAAAUUUUUUUUUAAAAAUGAACCUUAAGCAAACUCUACUAAUCACAUUAUUUUAUCAUUUACCUAAAGAUUUAUGCUUAUCAAAAAUCAAUCAACUACACUAAGAAUUGGUAAUUCUAGGUAGCUAGUAACACAUGCAAUCACAAGAAAGUCAAUGAAGACUACACAUAUUCAUGUCUCUUCCUCUAUGAAUUCCUCAAAAGACGCCAUUCAUGAGCUCAUUGCUCACAUCCAUAAAACAAUGAACAAGAAGAGAUCAUACCGUAGGCGUAUGUAUCGUCAAAAGGUUGAUGAAAGAACUUAUACCUUCACCCUUUGAGCUCUAGAACUGUACCUAAAAAAUAACUUCAUUUUUCUUUCCUCUUUUUGAACUACUUUUUACCAAGAUCCCAAAGCCCUAAAUGCUAUUUAUAUUUGGACUUAUAGAAUACUUAAAAUAAAUAACACAAUCAACUGGCUUAGAGAACUUUUCAAGGGUUGGAUAAACAUAGCUCAACAAAUUUAGCUUAAAAUAACCUUUAAAAUUACCCAUUUAAGAUCUAUUAAAUAAAAAUAAAAAUAAAAUAAAACCUUUUGAAAACCAUUUCUAUACAAAAAUUUAAAUAUAUAUAUAUAUAUAUAGCAAAUUGAAAACUUAUCUUAUAUGCUUUCGAUAACUGAAGUUUCAAGUGAACAAAAAACUAUAAAAUUCAAUUUUUUCUUCUAUUUUUCAAAACAUUUAUUUUUAAGAUAAAUCUCUAUUAUUUAUAUAAGAGCUCAUACUAUAUUUUAUUUUCAAAAAUAAAAAAUGUAUUCAAAGUCCAAUUAAAUUUUGUGGAUAAUGAACCUUGAGCAAACUCUCACAAUCACAUUAUUUAAUCAUUUACCUAAAGAUUUAUGCUUAAAGAAAAUAAAUCAACCACAUUGAGAAUUGAUAAUUCUAGAUAGCUAGUAACACAUGGAAUCACAAGAAAGCUGAUGAAGAGUAUGUAUAUUUUGGUUUAUUCCUUUCUAAAUUCCUUAUAGCUCACAUACCACUCAUCAAGCACAACAACCAUGUGCUCACUCAUCACACCCAUAAAACAAUGAACAAAAGAGUUCCAGAAGAGAUUAGAUUGCAGCAACUUCCCCAAAACAUUGAUGAAAGAACUUGUACCUUCCCCCAUUAAGCUCUAGAACAAUGCCCAAAAAUCAACCUAAUUUUUCUUUCCAUUUUUUGAACCAAUUUUGAACAAGAUUCCAAAGCCCUAGAUGCUAUUUAUAUUUUGACUUAGAGAAUUCCUCAAAUAUAUAGCCCAAUGCAUGGGAGAAGAAACUUUUCAUGGGCUAGCUAAACUUAGCUCAACAAAUUUACCUUAAUAUUAACCCUUUAAAUUACAAUUCAAGAUCUAUUAAAUAAAAAUUCUCGAAAACUUUUUCCAUACAAAAGAUAAAAAAUUUUAUAGAAAAAAAUUGAAAACUUAUCUUAUUUAUGCUCUCUAUAACUAAAAUUUCAAGUAAACUAAAAACUAUUAACUUCAAUUUUUUAAGCUAUUUUUAAAGUUAUUUAUGUUUUAGAUAAAUCUCUAUUAUUCAUAUAAGAAUUCAUACUAAAAAUAAAUAAAAAAAUUUGAAAGUCCACUUAAAUUUGAAAAUGAACCUUGAACAAACUUUCUCGAUCAAAUUAUUUUAUCAUUUACCUAAAGAUUUAUGCUUAUAAAAAAAUCAAUCAACCACAUUGAGAAUUGAUAAUUCUAGAUAGCUAGUAACACAUGGAAACAAGAAGGAUGAUGAAGAGUAUGUAUAUUCUGGUCUUUUUAUCUCUGAAUUUCUCACAGCUCACAUCAACUCAUCUUUGAUGCUAUAUGUGAACUCACUUGUCACACCCAUAAAACAAUAAAUAGGAAGAGAUCAGGAAGAUCAUACCACAAGGGCUUCCCAAAAAGGUUGAUGAAAGAACUUAUACCUUCACCCUCUAAGCUCUAGAAUAGUGCCAAAAAAACAAGCUAGUCUUUCUUUCCCUUUUCUAAACUACAUUUUACCAAGAUCUAAAAGCCCUCGAUUUUAUUUAUAUUUAAUCAAAGAGAAUACCUAAAAUAAAUAGCCUAAUGCAUGGGCUUAGAAAACUUUUCAUGGGUUGGAUAUACUAAGCUCAACAAAUUUUGCAUAUAAUAUUAACCCUUAAAAUUACCCAUUUAGGGUCUAUUAAAUCAAAAUAAAAAUAAAAUUUCAAAAACCUUUUCUAAACAAAAAAUAAAAAUUUUGAUAGAAAAAUUUGAAAACCUAUGCUAUAUGCUUUCUAUAACUAAAGUUUCAUGUGAACAAAAAAAUGCUAACUUCAAAAUUUUAAGCUAUUUUUAAAAUUAUUUAUUUUUAAAAUAAAUCAAUAUUAUUUCUAAAAUAAAUCACUAUUAUUUCUAUAAGAACACAUAUUAUCCUUUAUUUUCAAAAAUGAAAAAUGUAUUCAAAGUCCACUUAAAUUUUGUAGAAAAUGAACCUUGAACAAACUUUCCUGGUCACAUUAUUUUAUCAUUUGCUUCAAAUUUUAUGCUUAUCGAAAAUCAAUCAACUAAUUGAGAAUUGAUAAUUCUAGGUAGCUAGUAAAAUAUAGAAUCACAAGAAAUCUCAUGAAGAGUAUGUAUAUUAUGGUCUCUACCUCUCUGAAUUCCUUAAAGCACACAUACCACUUGUCAAAGAUGUCAUCCAUGAACUCACUCACCACACCCAUAAAACAAUCAAUAAGAAGAGAUCAUACCGUAAGGGAUUCCUCAAAACAUUGAUGAAAGAACUCAUACCUUCACCCAUGUAGCUCUAGAGCAAUGCCUGGAAAAUAACCUAAAUUUUCCUUUCCUUUUUCUGCACCAAUUUUCACCAAGAUCCCAAAGCCCUAUGUUAUUUAUAUUUUGACUUAGAGAAUUCCUAAAAUAAAUUAAUAGCCAAAUGCAAGGGAAGAGAAAACUUUUCAUGGGUUGGAUAAACUUAGCUCAAUAAAUUAAGCUUAAUAUUAAACCUUCAAAUUACCAUUCAACACCUAUUACAUCAAAAUAAAAAUAAAAUAAAAAAUUUUGAAAACCAUUUUGUAUGCAAAAAAUAAGCAAAUUUAUAGAAAUGGUUGAAAACUUAUCCUAUAUGCUCUUUAUAACUAAAAUUUCAAGUGAACUAAAAAAUAUUCACUUCAAAAUUUUAAGUUAUUUUUAAAAUUAUUUAUGUUUAAGAUAAAUCUCUAUUAUUUAUAUAAGGACCCAUACUAUUUUUUAUUUUUAAAAAUAAAAAACCUAUUCAAAGUCCAUUAAAAUUUUGUAGAGAAUGAACCUUCGGGGAAACUCUCUUGGUCACAUUAUUUUAUCAUUUUCCUAAAGAUUUACGCUUAUUGAAAAUCAAUUAACCACACUAAGAAUUGAUAAUUCUGGGUAGCUAGUAACACAUGGAAUCACAAGAAUGAAGACUAUGUAUAUUCUGGUAUCUUACCUUUUGAAUUCCUCAAAGCUCACAUAUUAAUCAUCAUAUCAUCCAUGAGUUCACUCAUCACACCCAUGAAACAAUGAAGAAGAAGAGAUCAGGAAUAUCAUAUUGCAUGGGCUUCCCUUAAAGGUUGAUGAAAGAACUUAUACUUUCACCCUUUGUGCUCUAGAACAAUGCCUAGAAAACAAUGUAAUUUUUCUUUCCUUUUUUUGAAACACUUUUAACAAAGAUCCAAAAGCUCUAGAUGCUAUUUAUAUUGGACUUAGAGAGUAACUAAAAAAAAAAAAAAUCCAAUGCAUGGGCUUAGAAAACUUAAAUAGUUAUCAAAGAGUUGUUAAUACAUUAUCCAUAAUAUGAAUGUCAACCACAACACUUAAAUAGUUACUCAAAAUAUAACAUGUCAAUAUUUGAGUAUUCAUGAAGAGUUUUUCAUACUAAUAAAUAUAAAAUUCAUGUUGUUAUUCAUUUUGAAAUUUGGGAUAUGGAGAUUCAAAAAGUGCAUUUGAAAAACCAAAGUUCUCCAAAUCAACUCCUUCUAGAGCCACGCCACCACCAUCCUCAUCAUCUACAAAAAAAAUUAAAUAUGUAUUAACAAGAAAUCAUUUUUAAAGAAAAAAUAGUAAUUAUUGGACUUUUAUAAGUUUACAUAUUCUACUAAUCAAUGUGAGCAGUUGAAUUUGAACUUUCUACUUCGUUUAUUGGAAUUAACCCUUCUUCAUAUAUAAGAUUUUCCAAUUCUUUGACAUCUAGGUCUCCUGGCUCAUCCUCAUCAACUAUCCAAAAAUCGGUUUUAUCAAUGCAUGCAUAAUCAAUGGGAUCAUAGGUCAUUUUCUUGUUGUACAACCUAAAAAAUAAAAGCAUAUAAUUAUUGAUAAUUAUAUAUAAAAAAAUUUAAAUUUAUUUAUAUCGAUUUUUUAGCUGCAAAUUGUAAUGAAUGUAUACAAGUUCAUUAAGCCUUUGAUGUUCCAAUCUAUUACUUUUUUUGGUAUGUAUAUGUUUAAACAUAGUCCGAUUCUUCUCACAUCUGGAAGACGAUGAAGUUUGACUUAAUAUUUAAAUGGCCAACUUUUGUAAAUAUGGUGCACUGUAUCCAUGUAGCCUUUAUCAUUCAUCUAGUUACUAUUUUCACAUUCAAAAUAAGGGAAAAAAAGCAUUAGCUAGUUUAAAAAUAUAAUAAUCUAUAUUUUAAACUUAAAGCACAUUAGUAAAUAUUAAAUAGUAAGUAGGUAAUUAAUGAAAAAAAACAAACACACUAAUAAAUUAUUUUUCACCAGGUUGAAGUACUUCACGUGAAGAAUAACCAAGGUCUUUUCCAAAACUUCCCAAUCGAUCACAAAACAACUUUAAUUCAUUCAUCAUUUCAUACUUUCCUUUCACAACUUUCUGAUCAUUAACAUCCAUGACACUUCCAAUAACUUUUGGCUUAUUAGAAAAGUUUUCCUGAUCAUGUUAGAAACAUGGAUUCAACCAAUAAGCUUCUUAAUGAAUCCUUUUCUUCUUUGGUUGCUUAUCCAAACGUUCCAUUAUGAUUUGUGGAUAAGGCUUGUAUUGUCUUUUGUUGUGCUUAAAUAAUUUCUUGAUGCCUAAACAAGCCCUAUAAAUGCCUUCAUACACAUAUUUAGAUGUGGUUUGUCCUACUUGUGGUAAAAAUCAUAGGGGUAGGCCAUGUUAUAGAGAGACUGAAGCUUACUUUAGUUAUGGGAAGCAAAGGCAUAUGAUUCGAGAGUGUUCAAAGAAUAAGAAGUUUAUAAAUAAGAAGCCUAAGAAGGAGAAAAAUGAGAAUAAAUGGAAGCCUAGGGUCCAAGGGCAAGUGUUUGCUAUGACUCAUCGAGAUGCUAAAGCCCCUUCCGAUGUGGUGACAAGUAUUAUUCAAAUUCACACUUUAUUUUCUAGAGCCCUUGAUCCUAGCUCAACAUACUCUUUUUUUUCGAUAUCUUUUGUUGGUUUGUUGGAUAUGGCUUUUUCUAUCAUGGACUUUGAUUUGAUUAUUGCUACUCUUAUGAAAGAUUUUGUUGUGACUGAUAGAAUGCUUAGAGAUUGUUUGGUGAUGAUUAGUUAUAGCGAAACAUUAGUUGACUUAGUACUCCUUCAUCUUCAAGAUUUUGAUGUGAUUUUGGAGAUGGAUUGGUUAGCUUCCUACCUAUGGAUUGUUUUCGGAAAAGGGUGGCGUUUCACAUUCCUGGUUAGUCUAAGUUUAGUUUUGAGAGGAAGUAUAUGGACAAACCAUUGCAUAUGAUUUCAGCCUUACAAGCUAGUUCCUUGAUUAGGAAAGGUUGUCAAGGCUUUUUAGAUUAUGUGGUGAGUAAUGAAAAUGAUUUAAAGUUGGAGGACAUACCCAUUGUAAGGGAUUACCCUGAUGUCUUUCUAGAUGAUUUGUCUAGCUUGCCAUAGAGAGGGCGGUGGAGUUCACCAUUGAUUUGGUACUGGGAAUAACUCCUAUCUUUAAGACGCUAUACAAGAUGGCACUUGUAGAGCUUAAGGAGUUGAAGGUUUAACUUUAGGAGUUGUUUGAUAAGGGUUUUAUUAAGCCCAAUGUUUCACCUUGGGAUGUGGACCCACAUUUUUCACAUGUGCCCUCAUUUGUGGAUGAGACUUGUUUUUUUAAGUGAAAAACUAUAUUUUGUAAAAAACUAGAGUUGCCACUUAUUUUUAUUUUUUAAAAGGGAAAAUAAAAUAAGAAAAUAAAACCUUAAGAAAAAUUAUUCGAACUUUUGGAAAGUGCCUUUGAAAAACCCAAGUCUAGGUCAGGGGACUAGGUUACCUAUUGGGAAGGUACCUAAAAAAUGUAGCAUCCUUCUAAGCCCUAACAAGGUCUCUACUGACUAGGUUAAGGAAAGUGUGACAAUUAAUUGAUUGACUUAGGGUACUAAGAAAGGCUAAGGUGUUUAUGUAAAUUCUAAUAACAUAUUGAGCAAGCGAGCAAUCGUUCUCAAUCUCAAACAUAAAGCAGAGUUAGCAAGUGUACCUAAGAUGCUUCUUAAAGCGCUAUCAUAAGAUGAUGGGGUUAGAUCAAACAACAAGAUAUAUAACAUACAAUUCAUAAAUAAAUAAAUAAAUAUAGUAACAACCAAAGCAAUCAAGGAUAGUAUCAUGCAUGGAUGAAGUUCACACAAAACGUGCAUGCCAUAGAAUUAAAAGGCGAAAGGUUAAGAGUGUAUUCGAACAACAUAUCUUAAACACAAUGCACUUCCAAUAUGAAUAGAGAUGGUUAGAAUGAAAGAUAAUGAAAAGCAAUUAUGUGAAUAAAACCUAACAUGUAUGAUAUCUACAUGGCAUAAAGAGAAAACAUGGACUCACAAAAGCAUCAAUAUUCCUACAAGACAUGCAUACAACUUUUAGAUAUAGAAAAGAUGUAAGAAGCAAGCAUUAUAACAAAGUAUAUAACCAACUAAUCAAAAUAUGAGCAUCACAAGUAUAUUUCUAAAUUAUUACAUACUCAUCAUUUGACCAAUAAAUAAAUAAAAGCCAACAUCCCUAUCCAUUCAUCACUAAUUUUACACCACGAUCAAUUAGUAUGCAAAAAUUCAACAUAUGACCAGAAUUUAUUGUCUUCAGAAAUAAAUUCCAAAAAAAAAAAAAAAUUAAAAAUAUGAAAUUGAUCAUGCCAAAGGACAUAGAACUACUCCUAGAUAUCUAUAACAAGAAAGAAGAGUCCAAACACUAAUUCAAAUAUCAUAUUUAAUUAAAAAAAAAAAUCAAAAGUUUCAGAAGGUCCAGAAUUGGACAGAAAACAAUGAUAUGCAUAAACUGAAUUUUAAAACAUAUCUAAUGGCCUUCUACAUUCAUACAAAAUAAAAAUAAAAAAUAAAAAAUCACACAUGUCCUUUAAGGUGUCUAUAUUACAUAAAAAAAUUAAGCCAAUGAGCACUUAGAAGAAUUUUUAAAACACUCAAAUUGAUCAACAAUCCAGAAUCAAUCAUGUGUAGUAAGUGCGAAUUUGAAAAAUCAUAUCUCUUUUUAGAAAACAUAUACUUCAAUAUCUUAUGUGUCAAAAUUAAAUUUCAGAAAGUCAAGAAUUUAAGAAAAAUAUUUAUUUGAAUUUAAAAAGUCAAAAUAUAAUAUAAUUUUACAAAAUUCUCUUCGAUAUACAGAAUCAGACCAAAACAGAACAUGCUGAAAAAAAAGAUCAUAACUCAACUUUGAAUCAACAACAUGAAUCAACAAUUAAAUUAAAUGGACUAAUAAAAUGAAAUAUUUGAAAGAAGAAAAGAAUUAUUAAAUCAUGAAGAGACUAAUCCUAUAUUAUUCAAGAGCAUGAAUCAACAAUUAAAUUAAAUGAACUAAUAAAAAGAAAUAUUUGAAACAAGACAAGAAUUAUUAAAUUAUCAAGAGACUAAUCCUAAAUUAUUCAAUAACAUGAAUCAACAAUUAAAUUAAAUGAACUAAAAAAACGAUAUAUUUGAAACAAGACAAGAAUUAUUAAAUUAUUAAAUUAUCAAGAGACUAAUCCUAAAUUAUUCAACAACAUGAAUCAACAAUUAAAUUAAAUGAACUAAUAAAACAAAAUAUCUAAAACAAGCCAAGAAUUAUUAAAUCAUCAAGAGACUAAUCCUAAAUUAUUCAAGAGCAUGAAUCAACAAUUAAAUUAAAUGGACUAACAAAAAAUAUCUAAAACAAGACAAGAAUUGUUAAAUCAUCAAGAGAUUAAUCCUAAAUUAUUCAAGAGCAUAAAUCAACAAUUAAAUUAAAUAUUGAACUAAUAAAACAAAACAAGAAUUAUUAAAUUAUCAAGAAACGAAUCCUAAAUCUUUCAAGAACAUGAUUCAACAAUUAAGUUAAAUGAACUAAAAAGAGAAAAAUUCUUAAAGAAAAAUUUUAAAAUAAAAAUUUGAGCUAAAAAGAACGAACUACCUAUUUGCCUCUAGGUAUCUCAUAAGCAAGAUCUAAACUUUUAUAACAUAAAUCAUAUUUUUAUUCAUUGUUUCAAGUUUAAAUGAGAGAAAUCUAUAAUCGGCAACCUUUGUUCUCAAUCUUCAACCUAGACCUUGAUCUCAUUACUUUGUAUAUAUUAUGUGGUUCCAUUGCAUUGUACCUUAAUCUUAUUGCUUUAUACUUUGGUCCCAUUAUUUAAUACAUCCGAAUCCUUUGUUUGUAACGUAGUUUCAUAUAUUUGUACCUUCUUUAAUAAGAAAAAAUUUAAUUUGAAUUUUAGUAUGUAUUGAUUCAGUACUAUAGACUUUUCCAAAAUUCUAACUAUUUUUUAUAUAAAUUAUGUUUUUAUAUGGUAUUAACUUUGUUAGUGUAUUAUAUAUGUUGAUAGUUUUACUCCUAAGAUUAAUGGAUGAAGACUAAUUCACUACAAUGAGGAUUAUACUAACAUAUUCAAGUUGAAGACACAAAAUUUGAAGCUCAAAUAUAAUUAUGUUUCAAGUUUGAAAUUAAAAUGGUUCAAUGGUAUUGUAAAAUGAAUAAUUUAGCAGUAACUUAAAGUAUUCUAGGUAUUUUUGUCUAGAAUAUUUUUAUGAAAAUUAAUUAUUUAAAAUUCUUAUUUUCUAGAUUAAGUUUUCAAAAUAUGCUAAACCUAAAAUACCCAAGGUUUAGGUAUGGAAAGGAUUUGAAAAUUUCAUUUUGGUAUGAAACUAAAAAAUAAAAAUUGAAUUCUGGGUAGCUAAUGACACAUGGAAUCACAAGAAAGCUAAUGGAGACUAUGUAUAUUCCAGUAUCUUACUUUUUUUAAUUUCUCAAAUCUCACACACUAAUCAUCAAAGAUGUCGUCCAUGAGUUCACUUGUCAUGCCCAUGAAACAAUGAACAAGAAGAGAUUAGGAAGAUCGUACCGUAGGGGCUUCCCCUAAAGCUUGAUGAAAGAGCUCACACCUUCACUCUUUGUGCUCUGGAACAAUGCCCAGAAAACAAUGUAAUUUUUCUUUCCUUUUUCUGAAACAAUUUUAACAAAGAUCCAAAAGCCCUAGAUGAUGCUAUUUAUAUUUGGACAUAGAGAAUAACUAAAAGAAAUAGUCCAAUGCAUAGGCUUAGAAAACUUAAAUAGUUAUCAAAGAGUUGUUAACACAUUAUCUAUAAUACAAAUGUCAACCACAAGACUUAAAUAGUUACUCAAAUUAUAACAUGUCAAUAUUUGAGUAUUCAUGAAGAUUUUUUCGUACUAAUAAAUAUAAAAUUCAUGUCUUAUUCAUUUUGAAAAUUAGAAUAUGGAGAUUCAAAAUGAGCAUUUGGAAAACCAAAGUUCUCCAAAUCAACCCCUUCUAGAGCCAAUCACCACCAUCCCCGUCAUCUACAAAAAUAUUAAAUACAUAUUAACAAGAAAUCAUUUUUAAAGUAAAAAAUAGUAAUUAUUGAACUUUUAUAAGUUUACAUAUUCUACUAAUCAAUGUGAGCUUGCAGCUAAACUUGAACCUUCUACAUCGUUUAUGGGAAUUGAUCCUUCUUCAUAUAGAAGACUUUCCAAUUCUUCCACAUCUAGCUCUCUUGGCUCAUCAUCGUCUACUAACCAAAAAUCGGUUUCAUCAAUGCAUGCAUAAUCAAUGGGAUCAUAGGUCCCUUUCUUGUUGUACAACCUAAAAAAGAAAAACAUAUAAUUAUUCAUAAUUAUCAAUGAAAAAUUUUAAAUUCAAAACAACUAAGAAAGUAUUUAUAUUGAUUUUUUAGCCAUAGAUUGUAAUGAAUGUAUACAAGAUCAUUAAGCCUUUCAUUUUUCAAUCUAUUCCUUUUUUUGGUAUGUAUAUGUUCAAACACACUCCAAGUGCUCUCACACCCGAAAGACGAUGAAAUUUGACUCAAUAUUUGAAUGACCAACUUUUGAAAAUAUGGUGCACUAUAUCCAUGUAGCCUCUACUAUUUAUCUAGUUACUAUUUUCACAUUAAAAAUAAGGAAAGAAAAAAACAACUUCAAUUCAGUCAUCAUUUCAUGCUUUCGUUUCUUAACUUUCUGAUCAAUAACAUCCAUGACACCUCCAAUAACUUCUUUCUUAUUACAAAAGUUUUUUUAUUUAUUUAUCAUAUUGGAAACAUGGAUUCAACCAAUAAGCUGCUGAAUGAAUGUUUUUCUUUGGUUGUUCAUCCUAAUGUUCCUUUAUGAUAUGUGUAUAAGGCUUGUAUAGUCUUUUAUUGUGGUUAAAUAAUUUCUUAUACCCAAAUGAGCAUUAUACAUGCCUUUAUACACAUCCCAUCGAAGGCCUCUCAUCACAAUCAACAAUAUGUAAUAAGUGCACAAGUGGAGCCAUGAGAUUCAUAACUAUCAAACAAUCAUUUCAAAAUCUAUUAUCCAAGAUGAUAGAAACUACAACUCUGCUUUUAUUAUCCAUUAAAUAUUUAGAGUCCACAAAAAACUUGCUAAUCACCAAAGCUUGCAAGUCAUGUUUAUGAUCAUGAAGACUUUUUAGUGCAAUGAAUGUAGUAGCAAAGUGAGUUGCACUAGGUCGAAGAAUCUCUAUCCCUCAUUCUCUUUUUAUCAACCAACUUGACAAAGCAACAUGAUUAUUUAUAAAAAUUGUCACCUUUGAUGUUACAAGUUUAGCAACAUGAUCCAUCUUACUAAUAUCCUUAAAGAUCAAAUUAAGUCAAUAAGUUGUACAAGGUGACCAAUUGAUUUGUUUAUACUUCUAAGAAAUCAAUCUCCUUGAGACCACAUAUUUGUUGCAUUAUCAGUCACUACACGAACUACAUUGAGUGAACCAACCCAUUCAACCACCUCAUCAAAUGACAUAAACAAAUUAAUUGCAUCCUUCACAAUAUUUGAAGCAUCAACAGAUUUCACAAAUGAUAUUCCUUGAGGACAAUAAACAAUGUUCAUUGUUUGUUAUCUGUCCAACCAUCACCCAUUAUUAUACACCCAAUUUUUACCCAAAUUUUACAAUAAGAGUUUGCAAGUAACUGAACUUCCUUCUUGGCAUCCUUUAAAAGAUUAAACCGCAGUUGACGGUAAGUUGAACCCUUAUAUCCAAGACAAAUUGCAGAUAUAGCAUUCAACAUUAGCUUGAAGUAGAAAGAAUUUACAACAUUAAUAGGAAUGCAUGCAUCAUAAAAGAAUCUCUCAACAACCAUAUCUACUCUCCAAAUAGCUUAUUUCCUAGUUAAUACACUCCUAAUGGAAGUUUAAGCUCCUUAAGUAGUUCUUGGUGCAAAAUACUUAUCCAUUGUUGAUUUUUGUCUUUUUCUACUACUAGUUGCCAUAGGAUUUUGCAUUUCUUAAACCUCUUCUCCACAUUCUAGCAUAUCCCCUUCAAAUUGUGACACAUUAGGACCAUAAUUCAUAUGUUUCUUGGGUUGCUUUCUUGGAUUUAACAAACUCCUACAAAGAAUUUUCCAUUUGAAAUCUACAUUAGAAGGAAUCGAUUUACAUGGAUUAAUAUCCUGUUUCAUUCCAACAAGGUGUUGUUUCAUUUUUAUGAAUUCCCCCACCUUUUGCAACCUUUUUACAAUAUAAACAAAUAAGAGCUUUCCUUCCAUUUGUAUAUUUUUCUUUAGAAACAUGCUCCCAUGUAGGAUUGGUGUUGUCUCUACUUGUUUGUGAAUUUGUAUUUGAAUUUUGACUAGAGGAUGGGGUCAAGUUUGAUUCCAUUUUGAUUUUUCUAUAAAAUUGUAAACAAAAUAACAAUUUUAAUCACCAUUCAAUGCAUUCAUCAAUAAAAAAUAUGUAUUCAACCACCAUAUUAAUUUAAAGAAUCAAGUGAUCAACAAUUUUUAAAAAAUCAAAGAAUUAAAGAAUUUAUUAUAGAAAAUUCUUUCAAAAUCAGAAAUUUACUUUCAAAUAAAAAAUUUAUUUAAAAUUUAAAAAUAAGAUUUUUAUUUAAAAAUUAGAAAAUUUAAAUUUAUUAAAAACUAUUUUAAAAUGGAACAUAAUGUUUGAUUCAUUGAUUAUUUCCAAAAAAUUAUUUUAAUUUCUAAUGUUUUUAAAUGAUUUUAAUAAUUUAUUUAAACUCAAAUAAGAUAUUUUAAAAAUCAAUAUAAAAUUUUAAAAAAUAAAAUGAAAAUAAAGUAAACAAAUAAAUAAAAUCUAAACAAAUGAUUCAAUUAUUCAAAUGACAUUUCAAUGAAUAUUGAUAUUGUAAUUUAAUAAAUCAAUAUGAUAUAAAAUUAUUAAAUAUUAAAUAUUAAAUUAAUUAAAUAAAUUGCAAGAUUCCAAAGUUUAAACUCAUAAUGGGAGAUUUGGAAUCCAGUGCGGUUGUCGGCAUGUGGAAGCGAUGGCUUCAAUAACGAUGGCUGCUCCAAUGUGGUGCAAUUAUUGGAGACGUGCAGGCUAGAGAGGGAGUAAGGAGUGGGGUUGUAAAAAAAAAAGGGUUUAUAUACAGAGCAAAACAACGCUAUUUUGAUGGAAAAAAAAUAAAAAAGGUAUGAACCAUUUAGUUUGGGGAAAACCAGUUGAUUCACUAGUAUCACCGCUGAUUUCGGUGGUUGGAGGUCAAUCCAACCCUUCGAUGGUUUAAAUCACCAAACCAAACCGGAAAAUUGACCGAGCGAAAGUCGGACCGAUUGGACUGGCUGGUCUGGUUCGAUUUUUAAAAUUAUGUUCAUACCUUUAAAAUGUGUUUACAAAAUUAAGAGAAACUCAUACAUAUAUAGUGUUAGCAACAUUUUCCCCAAUUUGAUGUGGAAUAAAUAUCACAUGUAUUCCCUUAAAAUGUUGAUUCCAAGUAGAUGGGCAAAGGAACCAUUUGGUAUUAAAAAGAAAAAAAAAUACAUGGAUGUUAAUGUGUAUUAAUUCAUUUUUGAGCUCGUUAUAACACCCCACAUUUAUUGUUAGGGGCAGAACUAUAAAUUAGAAUAAAAUAAAAAUAAAUAAAUUUAAUAAAUUUAAUAAGGGUAUAAAGACCUUUUUUGCAUUAAAAAAAUCCUAGAUAUAAAUUAGAUUUUCUUUGUCUUCUUCAUUCAGAAAACCCUAUUAUACAUGGAUUAGAAAAUCUAAAAUCAACAAAUCUCAUUUUUAAAAUAAACAUAUCAACCAUAGAAUUUUUUUUUGUCCAAACAAUUUCAAACUUAAACAAUAGCUAACAGUAAUCAAAUUCUAACAUUUAACAAAGUCCCAAAAAGUGAGUUUAAGCAAAUGUCCUGAUAAUGUCAAAUUUCUCAUCCUAACCGUCACUCCUCGCAUGAAUUGAGGGUACUUAAAAAAAAUUAUCAACAAAGGGGAAUGAGCUCAAAACCCAAUAAGGAACAUUAAUGUACAGUUUCAUGGAUCAAAUAGUUUUAAUCAUGCUUACAAAUAGAAGAUAUAAGAUUGAGUUCAAAUAUGCUAAUACAUUUUAAUUUGUUCAACCAAGCAUUUUCAUAUAUAUCAAAACCAUUUCACAUCAAAUCCAAAUCAAACACAUUUCAAAUAUUUUCACUUUGGUUAUCAUAUAACAAAUGGUGCCCAAUUGGGUGAGACUUUACAAAUGAGUGGCUAGUUUCAAAUUUGUUUCAUUUAAGGUGAACAAAACCAAAAGUCAACAAUUAUAACCCAUUGACUAGGGCCAUAAGCUUAACUAUUAUAACCUGUUGCCUAGAGCCAUAUAAUAUCAAUUAUUAUGACCCAUUGACUAGGGUCGGAAAUGUCAACAAUUAUAAUUCGUUGACUAGAGCCAUAGAAAUCAGAGUCAAACACUUCAUUUCAUUAAUUCAAACUUACAAAACAAAAUAUCAUAUUUUCACAAUUUUUAUCUUUAAUGAAUAAAGAAAAUGCUCAAACAUAUUUUUCAUGAAAAACAUAUAUUUAUCCAUGCAUAAAAAUAAAAAUAAAUUUUUUCAUAAAUCAAAAUAACAUUUAAAAAGAAAUACCUUUUUUUUUUUUUUACAAAAUAUGUAUUAAUUUCCCUUACCUCAUAUAAGCACUCAAAAACCUUGAAGUAUUUAAUCCUGAAGUGUUUUGCCCCAAAUAACCUAUUUCAAACCUAACAAAAAAAAAAAGAAAAAAAAAACAACUAUUACUAUUAACUAUUUAUCUAAAAUUAAGGGCUUGAGAAUCCUAAUAAUUUUAUAUGUUAUGUCAUCUAUAUUAUAUUUAACUUCUUAAUCAAUAACAAUUUAAUACAUAAGUUUCUAAAUUCUUCUAAAAGUUUGGUUCUUUCCAAAAUUCAUUCCCAAGAUUCUAUUAAUUUAUUAUUGUUAUUUUUUAAACUAAAUUUCUCAAAAAUAUGUUUUUUCUAUUUAUUACAUUAAACUAUUAUUAUUACUAAUAUUUCAUUUAUUACAUUAAACUAUUAUUAUUAUUACUAAUAAUCAAAAGGUUAAAAUCUUAUUUGAAAAAUUUAGACUUUAGACCCUAAACUUUUAAACCUUCAUCCUUAUGUUUUUCAAUUUUUUUUUAUGUAAAAGAGUUUUACUCAAACAAAGAAGAUAAAGAAAAUCUAAUUUAUAGAUAAGACUUUUAAAAGUGAAAAGAUUUUCUAUCAUUAUUAAAUUAAUUAAUUAUUUUUUAAUUAAGAUUUUAGCCUUGGGUUUGGUGCAUUACAGAAAAUUUUUAUAAAAUUAAGAUAUUUUUAUUCAUUUAAAAUUUUUAUUUAAAACUUUAAACCUUGACUUUACAAAUUUUGGCCCAUAACUCGAAGAACUUUAUGUGAAAGGUGUAGCUAUCCGAACCCUUCCUCGAGGGGACGUGAAUCAUAAUUUUGUUGCUGGUUUUAUAUUAAAUUGGGAUAAAUCUAGGACCACCCAUUUUUGUCUCAAUAUUCAACCAAGACCAACCACCAAUCAUACAAAAACGAUAAAGAAAAUAGAGUGAACCAGCAAAGCCCUGUCGUCAGUUCCUUUGCCCUCCAAUACUAUCCAACCACUAUUAUAAGAGUGACACCACCGCAAAGCCCUCGAAACAUCCAUUUUUUUCUCUCUCUUUGCAGUAAUUGCUAGUUAGUGAUGGAGCUAACUGCUAGUUAGUGAUGGAGCAAACUGAGCUGGUCUUCAUCCCAUUUCUUGUCAUCGGCCUCAAAGUAAUUCCAUUGCAAAUCCCAUGACAUGAUACAAGAAUCAUAUGUUUAAUCAUGUGAAGAAACUAUGCCAGAAAUUUCUAUAGAAAAGAAACCAACCUUAAAUCAUUUAUGCGUUUGAUGAAGAUGUAUGGAUCUUCUAAGACUGUGGAGAGCAUCACCUUUCUUUUAUUCUCUCUGACAAUGGGAAGUGGGAGAGAAUGGGUUCAGUUUUUGUUUCAAAAGAUGUGAUCAUCUGAAGAAUAGACACUUAACCUUUAUAUACCCUCCUGCCUUAAGGACCAUACCCUUUGGGUUAUUGGGACUCACGGGUCUUAGGCCCAUCAUCUAAGGCCCGUAAGGUGACCCAUACUCUAGAUCAAUCACCAAUCAUAUAUAUAUAUAUAUAUAUAUGGAUAGUUAAAUCCUGACCAAUGGUUAAUAUGAUGUGGGUCCUCAUUUAUUCUAACACGACCACCUUGCGUUUGCACUGGAGAUUGCCAAGCUGAUUACUAAGCGCGACCCCCAAUUCUCAGUCAUGAUCUUCAUCAUAAGUUUCCAUUUGAGACCAUUGAUGGUAUGGAAACGAACUUUGAUUCCGUACAGUUCGUCACACUUCCUCGUAUAGAGAUCAGCUUUGGAACGGCCCCGUUUGGUCUCUUCCUCUCUAAAUUCCUCAAAGCUCACAUCCCACUCGUCAAAGACGCUAUCCACGAGCUCACUUGCUCCAACCCGAUUCAGCUCGCUGGGUUCGUUAUUGAUAUGUUCUGCACUGUUACGACCGCCUCUACCACGGCUUCUAGCACGUUUGCCACGAGGAGCUAUGGUGAUUCUUUGUUGUAACAAACCUGAUCAAGAGAAUAAAUAUGGUUUUAAUUCGAGGAAAAACCAGACCUCCCAAUAGCAAACUGCUAUAUAAUAUUCUGAUUAUUCCCCAUUGAUAUGCCGUGAAACUCUAUAAAUAGCUUUACAAAGUUAAACAACUCCAACAUCCCUAAACCACUCAUCACCUAGAUAAGGAUAAACACUAUUCCUAACCAAACUCCUAAUACUUCAAUCUGAUAACAAUUCAGAUUGCUAUUAUUAUCCUAAAACAAAUAAAAAUAAGAUAAUUAAAUAAAAAAUGAGAUAAUCCUAACACAAUCCUACUCAGCAACUCCUCUGCCUCAUGAAUACAGCAACUCCUCUUGCUAGUGGACAUAACAUAUCCUACCCCUUUAGAUUCGACCCUUGUCCUCAAGGGUGAUAUCAGGAAAACGAAGCCUCAUGAAUACAACAACUCCUCUUGCUAGUGGACAUAACACUUUCUUCGAUAUCUCCAAUUCCGUCACCGCUAUCCUCCUCUGGCCAGCAUCCUUCAAUAAAAAAAAGCUCCUUACACCGAUGCCCAGGGGCAAACUUUUCGUCACAAUUGAAGCAAAGGCCCUUAUCUCUACGUUCUUUCAUCUCCGUUGGUGACAAUCUUCGAAUGGCGGGAGUAGAUGAAAGUGGGCGACUGGUGACUGUUGAGUUCUUUGAUACAGUCUUUUUUGGCUCAAGGUUGAAACUGGAUCGCUUAUGAUAUUUAACCUCAUAGAGCCGAGCCAAACCUACUGCUGCAGACAACGUUGGUGGUUUCAUGGCUUGAACAUCUAUCCUCACAUCUUCGUUUAGACCACCAAUGAAACAAGCAACCUGUUGAGUCUGAUUUAACUUCCCCACUCGGCUGAGGAGUUUCUCGAAUUGGCUUUGAUACUCCCGUACUGAACCAACCUGUUUGAGCCUUGUAAGAUCUCCAAAAAAAUCAUCAAAUUCCGUUGGCCCAUACCUGGAAUUCAGCCCUUCCUUGAGCGUGAGCCAUGCAACUUCCCCUUCUUCCUUCAGUAUUUGAUACCACAAUUGUGCCUCGCCUUCUAGAUGAUACGUCGCUAGCGGAACCUUCUCUUCCUUAGCAAUUUUCUGAAAUUCGAAGAAUUGCUCUACUCGACAAAUCUAACUCGUUGGAUCUUCACUGCUAUUGAAGCGAGGAAAAUCAAGUUUAGUGACCCUAGGAAUUACCGCACCAUAAGACUCAGUGGAGUCACGAGGGCCUCUAUAAUUGAAUCGCCGAGACCCCCCACCAUCGUGUGAACUCUCUCCUCGUUCCAAACUUUGGUUGCCCGAUAUUUGAUCUAAUCGGGUAUUCAUUGACGUUAUCGCUUGCAUUAGUGUUUCUUGUAACUCCUGGAACUUCCUAUCUUGCUCUGCUGCUAUAGAGCCUAUAUCUGUCUCCAAACGAUCAAUGCGUGAUUCAUCCAUAACCUGCUCUGAUACCAAAAGUUGUUACGACCGCCUCUACCACGGCUUCCAGCACGUUUGCCACGAGGAGCUAUGGUGAUUCUUUGUUGUAACAAACCUGAUCAAGAGAAUAACUAUGGUUUUAAUUCGAGGAAAAACCAGACCUCCCAAUAGCAAACUGCUAUAUAAUAUUCUGAUUAUUCCCCAUUGAUAUGUCGUGAAACUCUAUAAAUAGCUUUACAAAGUUAAACAACUCCAACAUCCCUAAACCACUCAUCACCUAGAUAAGGAUAAACACUAUUCCUAACCAAACUCCUAAUACUUCAAUCUGAUAACAAUUCAGAUUGCUAUUAUUAUCCUAAAACAAAUAAAAAUAAGAUAAUUAAAUAAAAAAUGAGAUAAUCCUAACACAAUCCUACUCAGCAACUCCUCUGCUUCAUGAAUACAGCAACUCCUCUUGCUAGUGGACAUAACAUGCACCCACAUGAUUGAUCUGGCCGAUGAGUUUGGGGUGCCUUCCUAUCUCUUCUUCCCUCCCAGCGCUGCUUUUCUUGGCUUCCUGUUGCAUCUGCGGUUCCUCCAUGAUUAUGAGGGCUUGGAUAUUAAUGAGUUCAAGGACUCGGAUGCUGAGUUGGAGGUUUCAAGUUUUGCUAACUCAGUUCCGGGUAAGGCCUUUUCUUCUUUGAUGAUUGACAAGGAAAGCGGAGGGGCCGAGAUGCUUCUUCAUCACACGAGGAGAUUCAGACACGUCAAGGGUAUUCUAGUAAAUACAGUUAUUGAGCUUGAAUCACAUGCUAUUCAAUCACUUUCUGAAAGUACAGUACCCGUAGUGUAUCCCGUUGGACCCAUACUCAACACCCGAAAGGGAUCUGAUAGGGGUCAAGAAGAUGCUAGUGCCAUCAUGAGCUGGCUUGAUGAUCAGCCUCCAUCGUCCGUGGUUUUCCUGUGCUUUGGGAGCAUGGGAAGCUUUGGUGCGGAUCAAAUCAAGGAGAUAGCACAUGCGUUAGAGCACAGUGGGCAUCGCUUCUUGUGGUCCCUUCGCCAACCUCCCCCAAAGGGUAAAGUGAUUACAAGCGACUAUGAAAAUAUUGAGCAAGUUCUACUAGAAGGAUUUUUACAUCGGACGGCUAGAAUUGGAAAGGUGAUUGGAUGGGCUCCACAAAUAGCGGUUUUAGCCUACUCAGCUAUUGGAGGAUUUGUAUCUCAUUGUGGAUGGAAUUCUUUGCUAGAAAGCAUAUGGUAUGGUGUUCUAGUAGCCACAUGGCCAAUAUAUGCAGAACAAUAGAUCAACGCAUUUCAAAUGGUGAAAGAUUUGGGGUUGGUGAUAGAAAUUAAAAUUGAUUACAAUAAGGAUUGUGAUCAUAUUGUAAGUGCUUAUGUGUAAAGUGUGAUUAAAGGGUCAAAGCUUAACCCUAAUUGAUAUUCAUCCAUGUAAAUAUAUAGUACAUCAAGCAAACCUAAUUAAGGGAAAACCGUGAGUUUAGGAAACAUUCCUAAACAAUGCCGUGAGUUUAGGAAACAAUCCUAAACAGUAGCUCCUAGAAUAUAUCAUAAUAUCUCAACAUUUAGGAAACAAUCCUAAACAAUAGCAACUACUUUCCUAGAAUAUAUCAUAAUAUCUCAACACCCUCCCUCAAGUUGGAGCAUGAGGUUCAAAAAUGCCCAACUUGGCAAGAAGAUAAUCAAAUUGUUUCUUUCUAAGAGCCUUUGUAAAAAUAUCCGCCAAUUGUGUAACAGUAGGAACAUAUGACGGAGCAAUCAAACCAUCUGUUAUCGCAUCCCGAACAAAGUGACAAUCAACCUCAAUGUGUUUGGUGCGUUCAUGAAAUACUGGAUUUUUGGCCAUAUGAAGGGCUGAUUGACUAUCACAAAAGAGCUUGAUUGCCUUUGGGUGGUGCACACCCAAGCUCAGAAGCAACCCCUUCAACCAUUUGAGCUCACAAGUAACUGCUGCCAUAGCUCGGUAUUCCGCUUCUGCAGACGAGCGGGAAACUGUGUGUUGCUUCUUUGUCUUCCAAGAAAUAGGAGAUUGCCCAAGAAACACAAGCCAUCCGGACAAAGAGCGUCUAGUGACUGGACAUGCUGCCCAAUCAGAAUCACACCAACCCUGCAGGGACAGAUCACUAUCUGCACGUAACAAGAUACCCUGACCCGGAGUACCUUUCAAAUAACGAACGACUCUGAAAGCCGCCUCCCAAUGCUCAAUUCUGGGCUCCUGCAUAAAUUGAGAUAAUAUAUGAACCGAGUAGGCCAAAUCUGGACGGGUCACUGCCAGAUAAAUGAGUCGACCUACUAAUCUGCGAUAGGACUCAGGGUUCGACAAGAGCUCCCCAUUUGCGAGUCCUAAUCUGUGAUUUUGCUCGAUCGGGAAGCCACACGGCUUGGCUCCCAGUAAUCCGGCCUCCGAUACAAUGUCAAGUGUGUACUUGCGUUGACACAAUAACAAACCAGCCGAACUCCUGGCCACCUCGAUUCCGAGGAAAUACUUCAAAACACCAAGAUCUUUCAUCUUAAAACAAUCACUGAGAUAGGCUUUAAAGGUCUUAAGUACAGCGGAAUCAUUCCCAGAGAUAAUAAGAUCGUCGACAUACACUAGCACAUUUAUUUGAACAUUGCCCUUAGUGUAAGUGAAAAGAGAAUAAUCAGAGUAGGAUUGUAAGAAACCAUAUCCUUUAAGAGCCAUGACCAACUUGGCAAACCAACAUCUCGGAGCCUAUUUCAACCCAUAAAGUGAUUUCCGUAACCUGCAAACCAAGUUCGGAUCGGAACUCUCAAAUCCUGGGGGUAGCUUCAUAUACACUUCCUCCUCAAGAUCUCCAUGCAAAAAGGCAUUGUGAACAUCCAUCUUAUGAAGUUCCCAAUUUUUCGAAGCCGCAAUAGCCAAGAAAACACGCACCGUAGUCAUUUUGGCAACUGGAGAAAAAGUCUCAUGAUAAUCAAUACCGGCUUCUUGAUGAUUCCCCAAAACUACUAAUCUGGAUUUGAGCCUUUCAAUAUCACCGUUUGAGAAGUACUUGGUUCUGUAAACCCACUGACUUCCCAAAGCACGCUUACCCUUUGGAAGAGGUUCAAGAGUCCACGUACCAUUUUCCUCCAAAGCCCGAAUCUCCUCAUGCAUUGACUUUUGCCAACCGACAUCUUUCAUAGCCUCUUUAAAUGACUUAGGAUCAUUGCUCGAAAUAAUAGCUGCAAGAAACUUUCGAUAAUGUACAGAAAAAUUGUCACAAUUUAUAUAAUGUGCUAUGGGAUAAGGAGUACCUGAGGGAUGCUGUGGAGACGGAGUGGCGGGAGAUGGACUUUCAGCAACCAUCAUAUGAGUAACAAAAUCUCGUAAUAGAACCGAAGGAAAUUUAUCCCUCAUUCCCUUUCCCAUAGGAGCAGAUUGCCCAUUGCUUGUAUUGUCAAGCCCAAGUGAAUCAAGCCCAACAGUGGGAACAACUUCCGGCCCAGGUGAAAGAUCUUGGUGGGCUUGGGGUUUAGGUUGGAUGAGGUUGGGAUUUUGUGUUUGGGCUUGUGGGUUAGGUAAAUCAGCAUCAUCAUCGACAAAAUCAGCAAAAUCACUAUCAAUUUCAACAUUUACUGUAGGCACAAUGUUGUCCGGAAUAAUAUUCACAGCACCCGGGUUACCAAACGGAAAAACAUCCUCAAAAAACUUGACAUCACGAGAAACAAAUAAUUCCUUGGUGUCCAAAUCAAACAACUUCCACCCCUUCUUUCCAAACGGGUAACCCAAAAACACACAUUUUCUACUUCUACUUGCAAAUUUGUCACCUUUGGAUUUUUUAUCAUGAGCAAAACUGAGACAACCAAAGGUGUGAAUUGCUGCAUAUGAAGGAGGGGUGCCAAAUAGGAUUUCAAAUGGUGUUUUAUUGUGUAACAAAGGAGAGGGAGUGCGGUUUAUUAAAUGAGCAGCGGCAAGAACACUUUCGCCCCAAAAAUAAAUAGGCAAAUUUGCUUGAAAGCGUAAUGUCCUCCCCACAUUUAAAAUAUGUUUGUGUUUUCUCUCAACCCUCCCAUUUUUUUUGCGGAGUUCCCACACAAGAAGUUUGGAAUAAAAUGGCAGUUGUAGAAAAAUAGUCAAGUAGGCAUUUAAAUUCCGUACCAUUAUCACUUUGAACAACUUUCACUGUUUGAGAAAAUUGUCGAUCUACCAUUGCAAUAAAAGACAUAAACAUCCGAAAAACUUCUGUUUUAUCGACCAACAAAUAAAUCCACACAGCUCUUGAGAAAUCAUCAACAAUAGUUAAAAAAUAACGAGCUCCACAAGAAGAGACAUGUUUAUAAGAGCCCCACAAAUCACAAUGUAUUUUCUCAAAAAUUCUAGUUGCCUUAUUGUCACUUAAAGGAAAUUUGUCUCUAGGAUGCUUAGCACGAAAACAUAUUUCACAAGCUUUGUUUAAACUACCCUUAAGAUUGCUAACUGGAGGAAGUAACUUCACUACUUUCUCUGAAGGAUGUCCCAUCCUUUUGUGCCACAACUCCAAAGUGGAGGUUGCGUUGUGGACAGAAACAUGUUGUACCGAAUCACCUUCAGCUCCACCGAAGUAGUAAAGUCCAUCUCGCCUAACUCCCGUUCGAAUCAGCUCCCUGGUGUGGUCCUGUAUAGCACACAUAUAAGAGUUAAAUUGGACAAUACAAUGUAAGUCAUCAGCCAAUUGUGAAACAGAAAGUAAAUUGCAAUUGAGUUUUGGCACAUAAAGAAUGUUUUUAAGAGUGAUGUUAUUCGACAAACGAACGGAACUGGAUUGGGUCGCAACAACAGAUUCACCAUUAGGAAGGCCAACCGGACACUCAAACAAUGCUAUAGUAUCAAAUAACCAAGAUAAAUCACCGGUCACGUGAUGAGUUGCCCCGGUGUCAAUGAUCCAUGACUUCGUGUCAAACUUACCAUUCAACCUGUCAUCCGGAACUUGAGCAUUACCAAUUAAGCCCGCAAGAGCUUUCCAUUGUUCGAACUUGUGGCGUGCCUCCAAUGCCAACUGAAUAUCGGAAGCCCAAUCAUCAUAAUUGUCGCCGCGUAAGCGAGUGGGAGUGAUGAAGUCACCUGGUCGGUCUCCUGUGCCGAGAAAAAAAGGUGAAUUCAUCUCCCUUUUAGGUGGCGGCAAUGGUGGUUGUUCAUCGUCGCCGGCCAUUGUUUUAUUGUGUGUGCAUGUCAGUGCUCUGAUACCAUGUAAAGUGUGAUUAAAGGGUCAAAGCUUAACCCUAAUUGAUAUUCAUCCAUGUAAAUAUAUAGUACAUCAAGCAAACCUAAUUAAGGGAAAACCGUGAGUUUAGGAAACAUUCCUAAACAAUGCCGUGAGUUUAGGAAACAAUCCUAAACAAUAGCUCCUAUAAUAUAUCAUAAUAUCUCAACAUUUAAGAAACAAUCCUAAACAAUAGCAACUACUUUCCUAGAAUAUAUCAUAAUAUCUCAACAUUAUGAGAUUGAAAAUGGAUUAGGGAACCUAAUGAAUACCAAUAGUGAGGUGAGGCAGAAGAAGAAAGAAAUGCAAAAAAUAAGUAGAAGAGUCAUGAUAGAUGGUGGGUCCUCGCACUCUUCUUUUGGCCAUUUUAUUGAAGACAUGGUGGCCAACAUUCCUAAUGUAUGAAUUAUUUUAUACUAAUAUGAAAGGAAAAGGUGCAUUGUAGGCUCUAAUCAAUAAAUUUAUCAUCUCCUUUAUUUUAAUGCUCAAAUAAUUUCUUUGAUGAUGUCAAGAAAUUUGACCUUUCAAACGAAUUUAGUGAAACGAAUUUAGUCAUAUGUCGAUCUCAUUGAUCAAUGAAUACACAAUUGAGCAUUUUCCUGUAGGGAGCUGGACUAGUAAUAAAAUCAACUAUAUAAUUCAAAAUCCACAAACUCUACUGAAUUUGGUUUGCUGGGAUGAAUAGAUAUAAGAAUUUUUAUAAGAAUUUAUUGAAUUGGAUCACUAUUAGAGACAACCGUCCAUUUGAGAUAUACAUUGAUAGAAAUUUAAUUAAUUUCUGGUCAGUGUAUAUCUUCUUUUGUACAAGCAUGAUGCUCUAAGAGCAAAUUAAUGUUCUCAAACUAUUUGAUGUGUUGGUAUGGAUUUAAGAAACUAACCUCUCAUCAAUGCAUAUCAAGGCAUCCAGGCAUGUAAGAGAUCAAUAGGCUCAAAAUGAUUCUAAUUGGAGCCUUUUUGAAUUAGGAGGUAGCUACAUGAAGAAGGUGAUUGUUAUGGAGAUAAGGAUUUAGAAUUACAAGUUCUUUAGAUUUGAUUGUGAAGAGAGUUGAGAGCAUAUGACUAAUUUUUAUUUUUUUUUAAAGAAAAUUACUAAAAGAUGUGAAAAAAGUCUUUCAAAAAAAAAAAAAAAUUAAACACGAAAAUGAUUAUGUAUACAAUAUUGAAUUAUCAAUUUGUCCUUUCCUUUCAUUUAAUGAAAGAUAAAUAUACAUGAAAAUUGAUAAUUGAAGUUGUUAUUCAAUCAUCUAAAGAUUAGAUUAGAUGGGAUGUAUUGUAAUGAUCUACUCCUAAUUGUGUAGAUAUUGUUUGCUUGCAGUCCAACCCAUCAUAUCCCCAUAAGAUUAGGGUGGUCAAACAAAUUCUCACACUAAAGGGUCAACGAUCAACUCAAAUACUAUUUGUACUGGCUUACUUCCAACAGUAUCGAUAUUAUCUUUCUAAUCAUCUAAAUAUUGUUUGUUCUAAACCCAAAAAUCCGCUCACAACUUGAAAUAUUAUGUAUAAAAUUAAAAGGAAUUUAUACAUAUAUAAUGUCAAGAACGUUUUCCCCUUUUGAUGAAAGAUACCACAUGUAUUCCCUCAAAAUAUUGAUUCCAAUUAGAUGUGCAAAGGAACCAUUUAAUGUUAGAAAGAAAAUAAAUACAUAGAUGGUAAUAUGUAUUAUUUCUAUUCCUUAUUCUUGUUGCAAGGAUACUCAUUGCUAUAUAAUAUAUAUUUUUAUUUAAAGAACUUUGAAAAUUAAUUUUGUUAUAUAUAUAAUUAACUUAUAAUUAAAAGAAGAUCAUUUGUAAUACAAAAAUUGGAUUAAUAGAUAAUUAUAUAAGUAAAUUAUCUUAAUUUAGCUCAAUUUUAAGUCUUAAAUUACACAUUCAAAAUCUAUUAAAUCAAAAUAAAAAUUCACUUAAAUCUUACAUGGAUAAAUAGAAAUAAUAACUUCUAUACAAAAAAAUAAAAAAAAUCGAAAGCUUAUUGUGGACCCCCGCAUUUCGGCUCAUCCGUUUUCCACUCGAUGGCGAGCUUGAUUUUACUUUGAAAAUGAUUUUAUUGUUUGAAAAAUGACUUAGAGUCGCCACUUAUUUUUGUUUUAUUAUUUUUUUAAAGGGUAAACAAAAUAAGAAAGAAAACCCUAAGUGUGACUCCUCAUUUUGGAAAAGGUGAUCUAUGAAAAACCGGAUCGGGCUCGGGGGUUAGGUUACUUAUCGAGAAGGUACGGUAAAGACCAUAGCACCCCUCUAAGUCCCUAAAGUCGGGUCUCUACUAAUAAAAUGAAACUAACAUGACAAUCAAUAGGAAAAUCAAUGGAUACUCGAGUCGAUUAUGUACAUAUGGGAAUCAGAACAUGCGUAGAGAAUGACCAGAAUAGGAAUGGAUGCAUACCUGGGCCACGAACGAGCGAUGCGCUAUCAUAAAAACAGAGUCGGUGCACAAUAUAGGGCACGAAAUAUAUCAUAUGCAUUACCAAACAGAAAUUAAAAUUGUUCGAAGUAAAACUGGAUUUUUGAAAUUCAUUUUGAAAAUCGGAGUCUUAGAGAUUAUUUGAAAAUUGGAUUUUUAGAAAUUAAAUAUAGGAAUGAGAAUUUUAGAAAUUAAAUUUGAAAGGAAUUGGAAUUUCAGAGAACUAAAUUUGGGGAUCGGAAUUUUGAAGAAUUAUUUAAAGACGGAAUUUUAAUAAAUAAAUAAGUGAAUAAAUAAAUGAAUGGAAUAAUAAUAAUGAUGACAUAAUAAAGAUUAGGUAAAUAAUUGCAAAAAAUAGAAUUUUAGAGAUUGGAGAUUGAAUUUAGAGAUUGAAAUUUUGAGAAAUUAUUUGGAGAUGAGAUUUUAAAUAUAUGAAUAAGUGAAUAAAUAAAUGAACGAGAUAAUAAUAAUAACGAAAAUAAUCAUUAAACAACUGAAUGUGAAUAGUGGAAUUUUUUAGAUUGAAAAUUAAAUUUGGAAAACGGAAUUUUGAAAAAUUGAACUUUAAUUAUUGGAAUUUAUAAAAUAAAUUAAUGGAAUAAUAAUAAUAAUAAUGAGAAUAAUAUUUAAACGAAUGAACGUGAAUAGUGGAAUCUUUGAGAUUGAAAAUUAAAUUCGGAAGUCAGAUUUUUCAAGAAUUGAACUUUAAUGAUUUGAAUUUUUAAAAGAAAUAAAAAAAUAAAUAUGGAAUAAUAAUAAUAAUAAUAACAAAAAUAAUGGUUAAGCGAAUGAACGUGAAUAGUGGAAUUUUUGUUUAAAAGAAAUAAGUAAAUAAAUAUGGAAUAAUAAUAAUAAUGACAAAAGAAAUGGUUAAGCGAAUGAACGUGAAUAGUGGAAUUUUUAGAUUGAAAAUUAAAUUCCGAAGUAAGAUUUUUAAAUAAUUAAAUUUUAAUGAUUGAAAAUUUUAAGAUAAAUAAAUAAAUAAACAUGGAAUAAUAAUAAUACUGACAAAAAUAAUGUUUAAACGAAUGAACUUAAAUAGUGAAAUUUUUUAGAUUGAAAAUUAAAUUCGGAAGUCAGAUUUUUUAAGAAUUGAACCUUAAUGAUUUGAAUUUUUAAAAGAAAUAAAUAAAUAAAUAUGGAAUGAUAAUAAUAAUAACAAAAAUAAUGUUUAAACGAAUGAACGUGAAUAGUAGAAUUUCGGAGAUCGAAAAUUUGAAGAGUUAUUUAGAAAUGAUAUUUUAAAUAAAUGAAUAAGUGAAUAGAUAAACGAAUGGAAUAAUAGUAAUAAUGAUUAGGUAAAUAAUUGUGAAAAUUGGGAAGUAAACUUGGGAAUUGGAAAAUUGAAGAAUUAUUUAGAGAUGGAAUGUCGGAAAAUUAAAUUUCGAAAACUAGAAACCCGAAAAAUUAUUUUAAGGAUGGAAUGUUGGAAAAUUAAAUUUCGAAAAGUGGAAACCCGAAAAAUUAUUUUAAGGAUGGAACGCCGGGGAAACUCGAAAAAUUAUUUUAAGGAUGGAAUGUUGGAAAAUUAAAUUUUGAAAAUUGGAAACCCGAAAAAUUAUUUUGAGGAUGGAAUGUCGGAAAAUUAAAUUUCGAAAAUUGGAAACCCGAAAAAUUAUUAAGGAUGGAAGGUCGGAAAAAUAAAUUUCAAAAAGUGGAAACCCGAAAAAUUAUUUGAAGGAUGGAAUGCCGGAAAAUUAAAUUUCGAAAAGUAGAAACCUGAAAAAUUAUUUUAAGGAUUGAAUGCCGGAAAAUUAAAUUUCAAAAAGUGGAAACCCGAAAAAUUAUUUUAAGGAUGGAAUGUUGAAAAAUUAAAUUUCGAAAAUUGGAAACCCGAAAAAUUAUUUUAAGGAUGGAGGAAAAUUAAAUUUCGAAAAUUGGAAACCCGAAAAAUUAUUAAGGAUGGAAGGUCGGAAAAAUAAAUUUCGAAAAGUGGAAACCCGAAAAAAUAUUUUAAGGAUGGAAUGUCGGAAAAUUAAAUUUCAAAAAGUGAAAACCCGAAAAAUUAUUUUAAGGAUGGAAUGUCGGAAAAUUAAAUUUUGAAAAUUGGAAACCUGAAAAAUUAUUAAGGAUGGAAGGUCGAAAAAUUAAAUUUCGAAAAGUGGAAACCCGAAAAAAAUAUUUUAAGGAUGGAAUGCCGGAAAAUUAAAUUUCAAAAAGUGAAAACCCGAAAAAUUAUUUUAAGAAUGGAAUGUUGGAAAAUUAAAUUUCGAAAAGUGGAAACCCGAAAAAUUAUUAAGGAUGGAAGGUCGAAAAAUUAAAUUUCGAAAACUGGAAUAUUUAGAUAAUUACUUUGAUAUCCAAAACGUGAAGAAAUAAUAAAAGAAAUAUGAAUUGUGGUGAUCUUUAAGUGCACGUCUCCAGUGUAAUGCCCAUAAACCCAUUUUACAAUUUUUUUUUUUUUUUUUACCACCUGAGCAAACAACUUUUGCAUGAAGAUUGAUGAGUGGGUAUUGAAGAAUGAUGACAUGGGCAAGGUAAUGGAAUCAACCACUAGUAGGAAAUAAAUAAAAAAAUGAAAAUCCUGCAGACCCAUUUAAUUCGACAUCAAACCAGAAAGCAAAACCAUGCAUUAAACCCCAUGAUCCAAGUACCACAGCAGGUGCUACACGAAAUCUAGCAUAGAGCUGCCCAUCAUCAGCAUGCUUCUUCACCAUGCUUUCCAGAAUGUCACCAUCUCCAAGAGUUGUAGCGCCUGGCAUUCCUCCCGGCAGCAAAAUGAGAUCGAAAUCAGCACCAGCGCAGUCAGAAAUUGGGGCAUCCGCAACAAUAUCCACGCCUUGGCACGCGUCAACUUGAAGCCGCUUCCUCACAGGGACGACGGUCACAUUGAUGCCAGCUCGCCGGAGCUCAUCAAUGGUGAUCACUACUUCCAUCAACUUCGAGCCAUAGGCGUUCGAAACCAAACCUUACGGAAAGAUGCAGCCAUUGAUGAUGGGGACUUAGUGGAGGACUUGGUGAGUGGAUGCUGGAAAUUUUCUCUUGUUACCCACUUAAUAAUCUCAGAGAUGGACGAGAGACGACUCAGAUAUAUAUCACUGUCCGAUAGAAGGUAUCACAGUACGAGUAGUGAAAGAUCUAUAGACUUGCUGCCUAUAGAAGGUAUUCACCAGUCAGCGGCAUGGCCUCCUCCACCCACUAGCAUGGCCGACCAUCUUGACUUGCUGCCUCCACCAAUUUGGCUUCCACUAGCAGAAAAGGCCCCCCCACCCCACGCCCCCCAACUCACUUAUCCUAGGUAUCGCCAGCUCCUCCAGGUGGCGAGACAUUAUCCUUCCCAUGCCAUAAAAAAAAACUAACCGUCUUUGCUCUCUUAAGGGGUCUACAAAUAUGCCCUCUUCGGUAAAAUUUACAAAUGUAAGGAAUAUGAACACUAGAGUGAAUAAUGAGUGAAAUGAAGUGAACUCUACCGAAGAACCAAAGAGACCCUCACAGGGGCACCAAUGAAACACGGACUUACUCAGGUCAAGAGACGAACAUAAAAGCUCUAAUCCUAAAAGAAAAGGAUGUCUUAAAAUGACCCUAAAGUCACACUAAAGGAUCCAGACUCUCUCUAAGACGUCUCAAUAAGUGACUCGAAAAACCAUAUCAAAGAUGAGUAACGGUCGAACCACUUUGGAGUACAAUAAGGAACGUGUCUCGAGAGGGUUGCCCUAAGAGAACUACACGGAAAUGCCAAGUGUAGGGUGCCCAACGACAUGACCGAAGUAUGCGUCGUAAACUCAAAGGACUACGUCAUGAGCAAUGAAAAGGGAAAUCUGGAAGAGCAAUGACAAAUAAGCGAUAAGCACAGGGUAACACGGUGAGGAAAACAAGGAUAGAUGCAAACCCCUGAAGGCAACAUGUGUAAUGCUGGUGAACAUGAAUGUCAACACUGUGACUCUAGACGAUACAGUCAGGGAGAAAUGACCCUGAACGUUAAACACGGAAAGAUGAUGACUCAAGGUCCUUGAAUGAAUAUGUACAAUGGAUCUGAAUGCCAAACUAGAGAAUGACGGUGACACUGAAUGCUAAACAGAACAAUGGUUCUGAACGUCAAAACUAAGGAAGGUGGUGACUCAAAAUGCAUGAACGGGUACGAAAAACGGCUCUGAAUGCCAAACUAAAAGAAAAAUGUGGUAGGGACGCCAAACGUCGAAUAGAACAGUGGCUCUGAACGUCAAAACUAAGAAAAAAGAUGACUCAAAAGGUUGAAAGAGCGUGUCCAAUGGCUCUGAACGCUAGAAAGGAGGAAAAUGGUGAUGGAUCGAACGAAAGAUAGACAUGAAGACUCUGAGUGUCGAACUAAAACGGCGACUUGGAACACUAAAUAAUGGCCCUGAACAUAGAAUGAAGGUGUGGCUCCGAACGUCGAAACGAAUGAUAUGCAAUGGCUUUGAACACCGAAUCGAAAGUGGACAAUGGCUCUGAACGCCAAAAUAACAGCAAAACAUGGCUCCGAACGUUAGAAUGAAUGACGUAAUGGCUCUGAACACCAAACGAGAAUACGACUUUGAACGUCAAACUGAGGAGUAAUAAUGAUGGCUCUGAACGUCAAAACUGCAAACACGACGAGGAUAGCUCUAAACACUAAUACUGAUGAGUGAUGGCUUUGACCGCCGAACGAAGAUGCGAUGAUGGCUCUGAACGCUGAAAUCGGGAAAGUGAUGGCUCUGAACGCCAACGAAGAUGCGAUGAUGGCUCUAAACGCUAAACGAAGCGAAACAUGGCUCUAAACGUCAAACUGAGGAGUGAUAAUGGCUCUGAACGCCGAAAUCGGGGACGCAAAUCGGAACGUCAAACUAAAAAGUGAUGAUGGCUCUGAACGUCAAACUGAGGAGUAGUAAUGAUGGCUCUUAACGUCGAAACUGAAAAUACAACGAGGAUAGCUCUAAACACUGAUACUGAUGAGUGAUGGCUCUGAACACCGAAUCGAAAGUGGACAAUGGCUCUGAAUGCCAAACGAAGCAAAACAUGGCUCCGAACGUCGGAAUGAAUGACGUAAUGGCUCUGAACGCCGAACGAGAAUAUGACUCUGAACGUCAAACUGAGGAGUAAUAAUGAUGGCUCUGAACGUCGAAACUGAAAAUACGACGAGGAUAGCUCUAAACACUGAUAUUGAUGAGUGAUGGCUCUAAACGCCGAACGAAGAUGCGAUGAUGGCUCUGAACGCCGAAACUGGGAAAGCGAUGGCUCUGAACGCCAACGAAGAUGCAAUGAUGGCUCUGAACACUAAACGCAUCGAAACAUGGCUCUGAACGCCGAAAUGGGAAAGUGAUGGCUCUAAAUGCCAAUGAAGAUGCGAUGAUGGCUUUGAACGCUAAACGAAGCGAAACAUGACUCUAAACGUCAAACUGAGGAGUGAUAAUGGCUCUGAACGCUGAAAUCGGGAACGCAAAUCGGAACGUCAAACUAGGAAGUGAUGAUGGCUCUGAACGUCAAACUGAGGAGUGAUAAUGAUGGCUCUGAAUGUUGAAACUGAAAAUACGGCGAGGAUAGCUCUAAACACUAAUACUGAUGAGUGAUGGCUUUGAAAACUGAAUCGAAAGUGGACAAUGGCUCUGAACGCCAAACGAAGCAAAACAUGGCUCCGAACGUCGGAAUGAAUGACGUAAUGGCUCUGAACGCCCGACGAGAACACGACUCUAAACAUCAAACUGAGGAGUAGUAAUGAUGGCUCUGAACGUCGAAACUGAAAAUACGACGAGGAUAGCUUUAAACACUGAUACUGAUGAGUGAUGGCUUUGAACGCCGAACGAAGAUGCGAUGAAGACUCUGAACGCCGAAACCGGGAAAGUGAUGGCUCUGAAUGACAACGAAGAUGCGAUGAUGGCUCUGAAUGCUAAACAAAGCGAAACAUGCCUCUAAACGCCGAAAUCAGGAAAAUGAUGGCUCUGAACGCCAACGAAGAUGCGAUGAUGGCUCUGAAUGCUAAACGAAGCGAAAUAUGGCUCUAAACGUCAAACUAAGGAGUGAUAAUGGCUCUGAACGUCAAACUGAGGAGUGAUAAUGAUGGCUCUGAAUGUCGAAACUGAAAAUACGACGAGGAUAGCUUCUUAACACUGAUACUGAUGAGUGAUGGCUCUGAACACCGAAUCGAAAGUGGACAAUGGCUCUGAACACCAAACAAAGCAAAACAUGGCUCCGAACAUCAGAAUGAAUGAUGUAAUGGCUCUGAACGCCUGACGAGAACACGACUCUAAACAUCAAACUGAGGAGUAGUAAUGAUGGCUCUGAACGUUGAAACUGAAAAUAUGACGAGGAUAGCUCUAAACACUGAUACUGAUGAGUGAUAGCUCUGAACGCCUAAAAAAGAUGCGAUGAUGGCUCUGAACGCCGAAACCGGGAAAGUGAUGGCUCUGAACGUCAAACUGAGGAGUGAUAAUGGCUUUGAACCCCGAACGAAGCGAAACAUGGCUCUGAAUGCCGAAAUCGGGAAAGUGAUGGCUCUGAACGCCAACGAAUCGAAACAUGGCUCUGAACGUCAAACUGAGAAGUGAUAAUGGCUUUAAACGCCGAACGAAGCAAAAAUGGCUCUGAAUGCCGAAAUCGGGAAAGUGAUGGCUUUGAACGCCAACGAAGAUGUGGUGAUGACUUUGAACGCUGAAACCGGGAAAGUGAUGGCUCUGAACGUCAAACUGAGGAGUGAUAAUGGCUUUGAACACCAAACAAAGCGAAACAUGGCUCUAAAUGCCGAAAUUGGGAAAAUGAUGGCUCUGAAUGCCAACGAAGAUGCGAUGAUGGCUCUGAACGCCGAAACGAAGCGAAACAUGGCUCUAAACACCGAAAUCAAGAAAGUGAUGGCUCUGAACNNNNNNNNNNNNNNNNNNNNNNNNNNNNNNNNNNNNNNNNNNNNNNNNNNNNNNNNNNNNNNNNNNNNNNNNNNNNNNNNNNNNNNNNNNNNNNNNNNNNGGGAAAAUGAUGGCUUUAAAUGCCAAAGAAGAUGCGAUAAUGGCUCUGAACGCCGAAACGAAGCGAAACAUGGCUCUAAACACCGAAAUCAGGAAAGUGAUGGCUCUGAACGCCAACGAAGAUGUGAUGAUGGCUCUGAACGCUAAACGAAGCGAAACAUGGCUCUGAACGCCGAAAUCGGGAAAGUGAUGGCUUUGAACGCCAACGAAGAUGCGAUGAUGGCUCUGAACGCUAAACGAAGUGAAACAUGGCUCUGAACGUCAAAUUGAGGAGUAGUAAUGAUGGCUCUGAAUGUCGAAACUGAAAAUACGACGAGAAUAGCUCUAAACACUGAUACUGAUGAGUGAUGGCUCUGAACGCCAAACGAAGAUGCGAUAAUGGUUUUGAACGCCGAAACCGAGAAAGUAAUGGCUUUGAACGCUGAACGAAGAUGCGACGAUGGCUCUGAAUGCCAAAACGGGGAAGUGACUCUGAACGUCAAACUAGGAAGUGAUGAUGAUGGCUCUAAACACCGAGACUUAAAAUGAUGGUGGCUCUGAACGCCGAACUACAAGGAAAUGAUGAGAGAGAAAUAUGUCCCAGUGUGGCAUGCCGCUGCAAAUCUCAAUCCGCUAGAAGGGUCUGAAAGAGACUCUAUGAGCCCCGAAAGACGCUCUGCUAGCUAGUUAGAAUGAUCAGGUCAACGGUGAACAUAGUCUCUGGACUUGCCCGAAGAAAUCACGAGGUCUGCCAGAGUGUCGUAAUAAGCCGAACUCCUCUGACUCAUAAUGCUCUGCCUAAAGAACCUAUCGUCGUCCUGAACGGAUAAUCCGAUAGUCUCAGGGAGUGGUCUGGUAAGAGACACACCACAAUCUCGAUAUAGCAAUCUACUGAAUAGUCCUGGCUAAUGGGGUGAUCAAAACCCGAACAUCGUGCUCUACUGGAAGCUCAUCUCAACGAACAACAUAGGAAUAGUGACCAGUGAAGCAAAUGCAAUAUCUCUCGAUCGAGUAAUGAAAACUGUAACAGACCUGUGAGAGAAUGAUCAUCUCCAUAGCUAAAUGAGGAAAAUAUGCCCCAGUAUGGCAUCAGAUAUAUCCGAUCUGUCCUGAUAACUCAAGGAUAACUCCAUGGGGAUGCACAAAGGAUCUAUCAUGUACUCCGCUAAAAUGGUGACACGGGAAUCCUCGCGCCUGAGGUAACUCUGUCCACGAAUCGCGACUAUAUCAGGAAACGCGAAUCCGAUUGAAAGACUCAAGAAAGGCUCCGUGGAGUACCAGGACACAAUGAAAUCGAAUGAUCCACCUGAUGCGUACCUCAAAACCGAGGGUGAUCAUGCCAAUCAGUGGGGGAUCUACAAAUCUCGACCGAAAUGGGGAAUACGUCCUAGCGUGGCAUCAAAAUGUGACAGGUCGGAAAAUCAGAUGAGCUCAAAUCAUCCCUCAUCGAAUGCUCGAUCCAAGUCAUCCAUGUCUACAACUGAAUCAGGCCCACAAAUCGAAGAGGCAUCUCUCGGAAGGGAGCAUGAUGACAUCUAAGUGUUGAGAGGUGCAGGCCUAAUGAGGCGACUCCUGAGAGGCCCCAUUGAGAAAUCAUCAUAAAGAUAGUGGAUAGAACGUCGUCCCGGCGCACGUCUCGUAAAUGGGGAUGAGUACACAACUCCACCAAGAUCUGUAAAUCUCAUCCAGAUCGGCAAUACGCCCCAGCAUGACAUCAAACGUAUGAUAGGUCGAAGAUCGGGCGACGUGAAAUCACCUAUCAUCGAACAUGCGACAUCCGUGAAGGUCCAUAAAUCUCAUCUGAAGUGGAAAAUGUGCCCGAGUAUGGCGUCAGGUGCACGACAGGUCCAAAUAGCAAAAUGACAUGAAGUCAUCUAUCGUCACACAUGUGACCUCCAUGAAAAUCAGUAAAUCUCAUCCAAAACAGAAAUAUGCCCCAGCAUGGCAUCAGAUGCGCGAUAGGUCCGAAGAACAAAAUGACAUGAAGUCAUCUAUCGUCGCACAUGUGACUUCCAUGAAAAUCAGUAAAUCUCAUCCGAAACGGAAAUAUGCCCCAGUGUGGCAUCAGGUAUACGACAGGUCCAAGGAACAAAUGACAUGAACUCAUCUAUCGUUGAGCACGUGAACUCUGUGAAGAUCCAUAAAUCUCAUCUAAAAUAGAAAACACGCCCCGGUAUGGCAUCAGGUGCACGAUAGGUCCGAAUAACAAAUGACAUGGAAUCAUCUAUCGUCACACAUGUAAUCCUGGUCAUUCGGAUCUAUAACUGAAUCAUGCCCAUAGAUCCAAGAUGUACUUCCCGGAUGGAGAAGCAUGAUGGCAUCUAAGUGCCGAGAAAUGCGGGCCUAACUGGAUGGCUCUCGGGAUGCUCCUCUGAAGAAUCAUGAUAAGGCAACGAUCAUGUCUACGUCUCGGUGAGCAUCCAGUGAGUGAUGAUGAUCGUGCAAGUCCGUGAGGAUCCAUAAACCUCCAAAUGAAAUGGGAUAUGCCACAGUGUGGCAUCAGAGGCACAAUAGGUCAAAAAUCGAGGAUGCCAAACCAUCCAUCGUCAAAACGCAUGAUCCCGGUAAUCCGAACAUAACUGAAUCAGACCUACACAUCAAAGAGGUGACUCCCAGAAGAAGAAGCAUGACGAUAUCCAAACAUCAACCAAAUCUCAGACACUUGUCCAAGUAGAGGUUGUCGAAGACGACAUCUGAUCCCAUGGCCUCAGGGUGGUCUUAAGACGUGGGACGUAACGUAGGCUAGGGUGAUAGGGUAAUAGAAAUGAAAGGAAACUAGACUCAAAUACCCAAUGAUCAGAAAACCAUGCCCUCAUAUAUGAAAUGCAACAUGUAUAGUAAGUCCCGUGAGCCACGGACCUGAGGAUGCCUAACGUGAAUAUGAUGUCGAUAAGGAGACAAAUGAAGCAAAAUGAACUGAUAGUGAUAUGUGGAAUGAUGAUGCGAAGUGAGUAUCAAACCCGAGAUGGGUUGCUGUAUGAAGAGAAUAAAACGUGAAGUGAAUGAGAUGAAUCACAAGCAACGAUAAGAAUGACAGCGAAAUAAUGAAUAUGUGAAGAAAGGUGGUGAUCGACUCAGAUCAAACAUGGAGUGAAGUCACAUCAAUAAUGAAUGUAAUGAUGGAAAGGACAAUGACUCGGAGUCCUUAGGAGAAGGUCACUCAUCUCUCUCACAAAUAGAUAUGACAAAGCAAUACAAAUAACAUGGGAUCUCAAAGAGCUCACAUACAAACUCUCAAUAACGAACAUACUCGAUAAAAAUGACCCUAAACAUCAAUAUACAUACUCAAUGAUCAAGAACACUAUGCACAUACACACAUGUGCUUAUUAUUUUUCUUUUUCUUUUCUUUUCAUUUUCAUUUUUUUUUUUACAUAUAUACAAAUACACAUACCCUAAAUGUGAACACAUGAACCCCAAGGAUGAUGUCGAUAACGGAUGGACACCAUCUCAAGUGCUAAGGCAACCAAAACUCUCUCUAAUGAGAUGACAUUCUCAAACUAAGGAUCUCUAAACCAAUGUCCGUGAGAUAGAUGGUGGAAAUGAUGUGACUAUCCUCCACGUGAUGAAUUGAGGAGGCUCACCACUCAGGGUGGAGAGAAUAUGAAACAAACAAGUAGUAGAUAAGAUAAGGAAGAAGAGACGAGGAACACAAACAACGAGGUGAGAUGAAAAUGCAGAGGUGCAGUGAUAGAAAAAAAUAAUGAGAAAAAACGUGCCCCUAGGUCCAAGGCUCAUGAAAUUCCCAAACAAUGCAUGCAUACACUAAAAAGGCCCCUAUCCCGGUGUGAAAAUGUGAGCAAGGCGAUAAGAAAGAAAGACUAUAAUGCGCAUGCGAGGCUUAAUAGGCUAGCAACAGACUAUGUAUCACAAAGGAAUAACAAGGUAAUGGCUAACCGAAAUAAUGGGCACCCAUCCUGCGACCAUGGUCUCAAACAUAGUACCUCUUUAGCUGAUCCACAUUGGUAGGCUUUGAGAAUCGGUUUCCAUCUAAAUCCAUCAACCAUGCAGCGCCCUCUGGGGUCAACUCCCUAAUGAAAUAAGGUUCGCUCCAGUUGGGUCUGAACUUCCCUCUAGGAUCUUUGAUCAAUCCCCUGAUGACCUUCAGAACCAAGUCACCUAUCCGUAAUGGUCAAGGCUUGACCCGUUUUUUAAAAGCACGGGCCAUCUUCCUCUGAUAUGCACGAACAUGGUCUGUUACUCUCAAUCUCCUCUCAUCCAGGAGAUUGAGCUGAUCAAAUUGAGCCUGAGCCCAAUCUGCCUUGGGAAUCUGCUGUUUUAGUGCUACUCUCAACGAACCCAUCUCGAUCUCAACAGGUAGCACCACCUCCAUGCCGUACACCAAUGAGUAAGGUGUGGCGCCUAUAAAGGUACGAAAAGAAGUCCGAUAAGCCCACAAUGCAAAUGGGAGCUUCUCUGACCAAUCCCGAGAAGCCUUGACCACCCUCCGUAAUAUCCUCUUGAUAUUCUUAUUCGCGACCUCUACUGCCCCGUUCGUCUACGACCUGUAAGCAGACGACCUAUGAUGUUGGAUGCUAUAUCGCUGCACCAAGGUGUCAACCUCUGCCCUAAAAUGUACCCCUCUAUCCGAAAUCAACUCAUGAGGGACUCCAUAGUGACAGAUAAUGUGUGAUCUGAUGAAACUAGCAACUCCAGAUGAUGUCAAUCUCGCAUACGAAGCAGUCUCCACCCACUUGGUGAAGUAAUCGAUGACGACCAGGAUGAACUCAUGACCACUGGAAGAUUUCGGCGAAAUCUUCCCGAUGAUGUCGAUACCCCAUACUAAAAACGGCCAAGGUGAAGUCAAUAUGUGCAACUCUGAAGGUGGCACGUGAAUGAGGUCCCCAUGUAUCUGACACUUGGGACAUCUCUGAACAAAUUGGCAGCAAUCCGUCUCCAUGUUCAACUAGAAGUAACCGGUCCUCAUGAUCUUACGGGCCAACAUAUGUCCUCCCAUAUGUGGUCCGCAGACUCCCGAAUGAACCUCUCUCAUCGCUCGAUUGGCAGAGGCGCGGUCCAAACACAAUAGCAACAUCCCGUCAGCUGAUCGUCUAUAUAGUGUCUCGCCACAAAUCAUGAAUCGGGCGGCUAACUGUCUCAAUGCUCUCAUAUCCUUGGUCGUGGCGACCUCAGGAUGUAUGCCAAGUCUCAGAAAGUGAUAUAUGUCAUGGUACCAGGGCAGAUCAUCGUCUAUCUCCGUAUCGUCAAUCAAACAACAAUACGCAUGAGCAGAUCUCGACUCAAUCAACAAUGGACGAACAGUGGCGUCAACAGGAAUGUCAAACAUGGAAGCCAGAGUAGCUAAAGAGUCAGCAAACUGGUUAUGCGCUCUAGGCAGAUGGGUAUAUCUCAAAUCAUCAAAUCUCCCAACCAGUAGCUCCAAAUAUGCAUGAUAGGGCCUAAGCUUCACAUCUCUAAUCUUCCAUUCGCCCUGAAUCUAUUUCAAUACCCGAUUGGAGUCACCAAACACCUCCAUCUAUCUAAUCCCGAGCUCGAGGGCAGUCUCUAAUCCCAAGAUACAAGCCUCAUACUCAACAAUGUUGUUUGUGGCAGGAUGUCGAUUAGAGAAUGCCAAACGAACAAAUCUGGGAAUGUGAUCACCAUGAGGAGAUAUCAAUAGGACGCCUAUCCCGUACCCAGAAUGGUUGGCUGCACCAUCAAAGUACAUGCGCCAUCCUGAUAAACUGGUCACAACUGCGACAUCCUCGUCCGGGAAGUUAUCAUCAAUGGCUCUGCCAUCGGAAACUGGUAAAGAAGCUAGGUGAUCCGUGACAAUGCUCCCUAUGAUGGACUUCUGAGUGACAUAAUGGAUGUCGAACUCAGUCAGAAGCACCAACCAUCUCAUGAGGCGACCAACCAGGGCGGGCCUGUCAAACAAAUAUCUUAGAGGGUCUAGACGGGAUAUCAAAUGCACUGAAUACUCGGUCAUGUAAUGUCUCAAUCAUCAAGUGGCCCAAACCAAUGCCAAGCAAUAACGCUCAAUCAUAACAUAUCUCGUCUCGUAAUCUAGCAUCCUCUUACUCAGAUAAUAAAUGGCUCGAUCCUUGCCCGAAUCAUCAAGCUAAGCCAACAUGCAUCCUAAAGCCACGUCUGAGACGGAUAGGUAUAGGAGUAAAGGACGACUUGGUGUAGGAGGCGCCAAGACUGGAGGUGACAACAAGUACUCUCGGAUCCUCUCGAAUGCGUGUUGACACUAAUCAUCCUAAACAGCAGGUUGACUUUUCCUUAAGAGUCGAAAAAUGGGCUCACAGAUAUCUGUCAAUCUGGCGAUGAAUCUGCUGAUGUACUGAAGUCUACCCAAGAAGCCUCUGACCUCUCUCUCUUUGUCCUCGGUGCACGCAUGUCAAGGAUGACUCUGAUCUUAUCCGGGUCUCCUUCUAUACCUCUCUCACUGACUAUAUACCCCAAGAGUUUCCCAGAAGUCACUCUGAAAGUGCACUUCUUGGGAUUCAAUCUUAAUCUGAACUGUCGGAUCCUCUCAAAGAACCUCUUUAGAGCUGCUAGGUGAUCUGGUCUGUCUUGGGAUUUCACUAUCAUGUCGUCUACAUAAACCUCGACAUCCCGAUGCAUCAUGUCAUGGAAAAGGGUGGUCGCCGCUCUUUGAUAGGUGGCUCCUGCAUUCUUUAAUCCGAAUGGCAUGACUCUGUAGCAAUAAGUACCCCACUCAGUAAUGAAGGACAUCUUUUCCAUGUCCUCUAGAGCCAUCAAGACCUGACUAUACCCAGAAAAUCCGUCCAUAAAGGAUAACAUCGAGUGACCUGCCGUACUGUCAACUAGUAUGUCGAUGUGUGGAAGAGGAAAAUCAUCCUUAGGACUGGCCUUGUUGAGAUCUCGAAAAUCAACGUUGACUCUCACAUUGCCGUCCUUUUUGGGAACAGGGACGACAUUGGCCAACUACUCCGGGUACUCGACCACUUAUAAGAAUCCUACACUGAGCUACUUCUGAAUCUCCUCCUUGACCUGCAAGCUCCAACGAGGAUGCAAUCGUCUCAACUUCUGCUUAACCGAUCUGGCAUGGGGCAAAAGUGGCAAACGAUACUGGACAAUAGAUGGAUCAAGGCCUGGCAUGUCCUUAUAGGACCAUGCGAAAACGUCCAAGUAUGCUCUGAGCAACUGGAUAAGGCUAUCUCUCUCAUCAAUAGAUAAAUCUGAUCCGAUCCUCAACUCUCUAGGCUGAUCUGCUGUGCCGAAAUCAACAAUCUCCGUGUCCCCUACAGCAGGUGAAACUCUCUCAUCAACAGGAUCCGAAUCGGUAACAGAAGACGAGUCAUCGUCUGAAUCAUGCUGCGUAAUCUCAUCAUCAAUGUCAAAAAUCUGUGAUGUGGGUGAAGAUGGUGCAGAUAAAUCAAUAACAUGAGAGAUAGGCAAAUACUCAAAGAUGCUCAAAUCCAUAGAUGAAAAGUCAGAAACAUAGUCAUGACAGGAGACAAAUCUCGAUAAAACAUCAAAGGAAAGAGGUGGGUCCACAAGGUCGGACGCUCCCUCAACUAGGCCAACAGGGCCAUCAAACAAACCAUCAACAACCAUAACAUCCUCGAUGAUCUUCGGAGCAGGAGCGAACUGAAUCUUCUCGACGAUCUCGAGGACGGACACCCCGAAGAGAUCAAAUGGUGAAGCGAGCUUAGACGGGGCUAUCUCCUCGAUUUGGCUCAAGCUCAUCGCGAGCAUCUCAUCAACGUACUCGUCACGUGGCACGACUCCGUCUACUAUGUCUUCGAUCUCGGCAAAAGUCUCGUGCUCAUCGAUCUCAUCCAGGAAGCAAAGUGUUGAUUACUACUCAAAAAGUGCUAUUUUGUAGCUUGUAAUUAAUCCUUUUAAACACUUUUGAGUAGUAGUUAUUGCCUUUUAACUCAAUUAACAUGUUAAGGACCCUUGCAAUCAUUUCUAAUCAAAUUGUGUAAGUUUUGGUGUUUUUGUUAGUAAUUUGAUCACCAAAACUAUCCAAGAUUGAGGAGAGUUAUUUGGAAUUCAUGGCAAAGCUUUUGGAAGCUCAAAUUCAUGAAGAACCAAGCUUUGGAGCUUCAUAGCCCUUUGCCAAAGUCGUUCAAAGUAUGCAAGGAGAGAAGCAAGGAGAGAAGCAAGGAGAAAGGAAAAACAGAGUGAAGAAAACAGAGGAAAGCCAGCUGCAGUCUUCUUUUGCACUUUUGGAGCACUUCCCGAAGUCCAUUUUCUACAUUCUAUAUAUCAUUUCAAAGCUCAGGAAGUCAAAAAUCCAAAGCUUCAAACGGUGCACGAUUCGGAGUUGAAACGAAGAAGUUACAGCCAUUGCAAGCAGAUCACUCCAAAGUGUUGCGAAAUCAGCCUUUUGUUGCGAGAAUUUCGCAGCCUUUUUGUACAGUGCUAUGGAAUUCCUCCUAAAGCUACCCGAUACAUGCCGCAAGCUGGAACGCUGAGAACCUCAAGGUGGAAGCCAAUUUCGCAGCCCUGCGAGUUUAACUUGUUGUUGCGAAAAUAUUUCGCAGCCCUCUUGGGUGUCUGCGAAAUCUCGCAGACACCAUUUUCACCUGCGAAAUGGUUCCUGAAGCUUCCCGAUAUUUUCCACCAACUCUUUUGGAUAUUUUUCUUCAGAUAUUUUUGUAUAAAUUUCCAUUUUCUCCUUGUAUUCAGCCACUCAUGUAAUUCCUUAGCUAGGAAGUGUCCAAGGAAGGGUAAAUUACCUUCCUAUAUAAACUCUCUUGCAUCCACUGUAAAAAGACGCUCGGAGAAGUAUGUAAUAUAGAUAUAUCAUAUAUAGAAUCAAGGAACAGAGCACUUGCUCUGUUUUUUCAUAUAUAUUCUUGUCUUCUCUUUCAUUUUCAUUUUUUAGCAAACCAAACUCUGAGGAUUUUUCCACAGAGGAUGAGAGGCUAGGCUCUUUGUCUCUUGGAGUAAGGUAACCGGGUAAGUUUCCACAUGCAUAAUUUGGAAGUUUUGUUGUUUUAGUUUUUAAUGAAGAGAAAGUGUAACCCGUUAAUGGUUUUUAUCUUUUAAGUUAACUUAAAACGCCUUUAAAUCACCUGGGCCAACACUUGGUAAGGCAAGUGAUCUCCAUCCAUGGAGAUGCACUAGUUUACCCCUUGCGAGCCUUUGGGAGGUGACUUCAAGGUAGGAUUUUCUAGAAUAGCCAACACUUGGUAAGCUUUUGGACUCCAAGGAGACAUCCAUUAGUUAUCUCUUGCGAGCUUUUGACGGGUAAUCCAAGGUUAAAGAUCACCUUGAAUGGCAAGUGCUAAGUGAGAGGUAUGAGCCAUUGCAAAGUGCAUCAGUGAGAGGGAUUUAGUGUUUGAACCCAUUAAUGGGAAGCAUCUGUACAACACCGGUUAGAGAAUUAACUAUAUGUUAAUUCUCUAAUGCGAGGAAAAGAAACAAGUGACCGGAACUCCCUUUUUGUAUGAGGAAUCUGAGCCUAGUGAUCUGAACUCCAAGAAACACUUUUCUUUGUAGUUAAAAUCAGUUACUAUUUUUGGUUAGCUUAAAACCAACUUUUUCCAUUUAAACAUCUUUAUGUUUUCUUUUAAAGCUAACUUUGAAAUGAAAAGGCACCAAUUCAGCUUUGAAUUGAUAUCAUUUGUGAAGUGAAAACCCAUCCCAGUGAACGAUCCUAGAGCCACUAUACUAUAGUAGCUUUUUCUUUGCUACCCUAGUAUAUAGUGUUAUAGGUUAUAAAUUUUGUUGAUCACUCCCUCAAUCAAGGAGCACCAGCUGGACACGAAUCAGCUGAGACACCAAUUGGGCACGAAUCAAAUGGCGCCGUUGCCGGGGAUCGAACCCCGAAUCAAAUGGUGCCAUUGCCACUGCCGCUGCUAGGGACGAAUCAAGUGUCAUAAAGCUCGUGCGAUCGGGGGAGGGAGGAGCGAUCAAUGCAGAAGUCAAAGGGCCAAGGACUCCGUCACUCAACUGUAACUACUGGAUGAGGUGCUAAAGCUCGGCCUCCUAGGUGGUGUUGAGUCCUCCGAUGAUCCCAUCAGACGGUGCACGUGGCUCCGAUGCCCUCACAAAGUAAUCGGCUAGGCUUAGGGUGUAUGGGCGAACAGGAUAAUAAAAGGGCGUAUGAGUCAAGCGAGCCAUCACCCUCUCCCUACGCAAUCGUGCCAUAUAACGAUAGUCGGCCUCAGUGGGAAUGAAUCCAAACCUGAAUGGUACGUCGUGGUCCGGAAAGACCAUGAACACACUAGGCCAGUGUUGACGCCGCCCUAACCCCAUACCGGGAAUAUAAGACAUGCUUCGCAUAAUAUCGAGCACUACCGUGCUGUUGUGCUGGUCGAAGGACAUGACUACAAAGUCUCGACAGAAAUCCUCCAUUUCCAAAGUCUGCACCUCGUCAAAGGUGAAUCUGGUUAGAAAAAGAUCAUCAUCAACGUGACUAAUCUCGAGUACGGGCUCAGCCGAAAUGAACAUAUCCCCUAUAGACUGCACCACGAUGACCCGACCAUCAUGAAUAAACUUCACCUUCUGAUGAAGGGAAGAAGGAAUGGUCCCAACUCUAUGGAUCCAUGGUCGGCCCAGAAGCAGGUUAAAGGACGCAGGAAUCCUCAAAACCUGAAAUACGGCGACAAAAGUGGCUGGACCAAUUAGUAGCUCAAUCUCUAAUGUACCCAUGACCUCCCUCCGAGUGCUAUCAUACGCGCGAACGGUCUGAGUGGAGGGACCGAAGUCAGAAUGAGCGUAUUCGAGGACAAUGGCAGUGGCAAGAGGACAUACGUUCAGGGCCGAGCCAUUAUCCAGAAGGACAGAUGGGACGCGGCGACCUGAACAGCCAAUAGAUAUGUAUAGAAGACAUGUGUGGUCCGAGCCCUCCGGUGGCAAAUCAUCGUCCGAGAAUACGAUGCAUGUGGCUUGGCAGGCCGUCAUCAUAUGAAUCAAUCCCUGAUUUGGUUCAGAGCUCGAAUCAGAGCAUCACGGUGAGUGCUCGAGGACACCAACAGGCUCCAGAUGGAAAUACGAGCCCGAGUACUCUAUAGCUGUCUCAAAAUCUCAUCGUCCUCUACUCUAACCUCCUCGGGAGCAAAUGUACCCUCAACGGCCUAGCUACAGUGGGAGGUGGCUGUCGCAUCAGUCUACCUCCUCGGAAAAUAUACUGAACAUCCAAAGUCUAAGGAUCAUCAACACGUGGAACCUGAACCCCCUCAACAUCUGGGAUCAAGAUGAAUGGCACCUGGACGCUAUAAUGUGGCAGAAUCAAUGGCUCAACAGUGGUAGCCUGCACCGACGCCGCCUCGAGAACCAAUCGGAAUGGAGCGAGCAUCCGAGGCCCUAGAGUCAUCCCACUCAUCUCAUAAAUCACAUCUGACAUGAUGGGCUUUGAGUCUGAAUCGUCCUCACUCAGCAUGUGGAUAUGGUCAUCGAUCUCAUCAAAGUCUAAGAAAUGAAUGUCAUCAGCUGGUGGAGGGACUGCAUGUGUGGUAUGGGCAGGUAACGGGUUCGUGGUCACACUCGGCUGACCCUAGUGUACCAAACCCUGGUCGAUCAAAUCCUGGACGGCAUGCCUCAAAGCGGUGCAUCGAUCGGUCUCGUGUCCAGGCCCCUGAUGGUAUGCACAGUGCGGAUCCAUCCUGAACGGAGGCAGAAUCGGCUGAGGCGACGGCCUAGGAGUGAGAGUAGUCAACAACCCUGCCUCUGUAAGCUUCUGAAGAGCCUGGCUCAACGACAUGCCUAACUGCGAGAACUACCUAUGUGUCCUUAAAGCAAAUGGAGCAAAAGUCUGCUAAGCUCUAGGUCGGGGAUAAGGCACUGCGAGUCUCGUAGUGAAUUGAGCAGCAUAGCAUGGCUGUCCUGUGGCCGUGUAGGAAAUCGGGGGUCUCUCAAUGCCUUGGGAGGCAUAAUAAGGCAAAGCCAAAGUCUGCGGCGUGUAUAUCUGAUCAUAAGCCGGACGAGGGGCCCGUGGCCUAUACUGAUGAGGUGCAUAGGAAGAAUGAGGCUCAGAAAGCUGUGGGAUUGGUUGAUGGUGCUUAAGAGGCCUCUGACUGGAAGAACCAAUGGCACUCACAUCCACUGACCUCUGUCCUACAAAGGGCUUCUUCCCCUUAAUAUCACUAGGGGAAGAAUCUGUCCACAAUCCUCUCGAGAUGUCGUCCUCGACAUCGUAUAAAGCCAGAACCAAUGAGCCAAAAUUUGCGAAUGGUACCCCGACCACGUGCCUAGCGAUCCUGGGCUGUAAACUCCUCAAGACCAUCUGUACCUGAUCUCUCUCCGGAGGCCUAUCAAUGAUCUCGGCAAUCUUCCCACGCUAGCGGGAGAUGAAUGAUGAAACUAACUCAUCUAUCCUCUGCCUCAGAGCCUCGAGCUCUCUCCUAGAUAUGUCAACGACAAUAUUAAAUGCAUAUUGUCUCAAGAACUCUUGGGCCAGAUCAUCCCAAGUCCGACGACGUGAUACAUCCAAAGAAGCAAACCAACGCUGUGCAGCGCCACCCAAAGACAUGGGGAAAAGCAUAAUCAUCUGAGCCCCGUCCAAUCCAUGAGCCCUCAUGAUCGUACUGUAAAGCCUCAAAUGGAUACGGGGGCACCCAAUCCUCGUGUAUAGCUCGAUCUCUGGCAUCCUGAACUUGGCUGGUAAACUGGCCACUAGCACUCCAUCAAAAUCCUCCCAAGUAAUGGCUCUGUCUGAAGUCCUCAACUGCCUCAAACCCUGCUCAAGUUUAUCCAUGCGAGCAUGUGGGUCCUCUGAGGUCGGGGUAGGCACGGUGAUGGGAGGUGGGGCAACCUCGGUCAGACUAUGUAGAGUGAACGGCAUGGCCUGUGGUGCUGACUGAUUGGGUGGAGGGGGUGGUGGCACUGUAGGGUCAUACUGGGCGCCAUCCUGAGGCGGGACCUACUGAGCCUGCUGCCCAUCUAUCCUCCGGCCGAGGCUAGCUAUAGCCUCCUGAAUCAAAGCCAUGGCCUCAGCAAACUGAUCGACGGUAACUACCUGUGAAUCCAUAUCUCUCUGAUUUGAUCUCUGGUCUGACUGGUCCGAUACCCUGAUCAAUCUACCCUCAACUCUGAUCCAAGAAGUCGAACCUGGACUGAACGUAUCGAUACUCCUACAACAGUGGAAAUACUAGAUAAGAUACGGGGUAAGGGAAACUUCACAAAGAAUGUCUAUCAAAUGUAUUGAAAGGUAGCCCGGGAGCAAUCAAACUGAUAUCCAGUCCUAAGCAAAUAUAUAAGAUACUACUGUGAAGGUAACUAAACCUGUCACUACUGAACCAGCUCUGAAGGCCCACAGAUGCACCCACGUGUUCGGGAAGGAAAAUUCUAAUUGAAAUGUCUAAGGCUCAACUUACAAGGUCAAGGCGGCUCUAAAAGGAGAUAGGUGGACUUUAAAAGAUCCCUAGCAGAAGCGAUCGUACCCUCCGGUGGUACGCAACCCUCUACACGCCUCCGAAGAGACGGGGCGCUUCCAUGCAAGGUGGGCAUCACCUCCACACAUGCACUACCUCGACAUCCCAGGGGGUUUCUUAUGGUGAAACCUCUCAAACUCUCAACGCUCAAUGGUCAACUAGAGUGCAGAGUGAACUGUGUGGGUGCAUCCGAUAACCCUAAGAAGCUAAAACGGGAAAGGAAACACACUGGCCACACAAAUAUCCAUGAAACCUAGCUUCGGGCUAUACAGGUCUUCAAUGAUCGGACUCCAAUCGACAUAAAAGUGUCGCUCUCCUCUAGAAUGCUCCCAUGCAUCGAUAUAGCCCGUCGUUAGACCUCACUCCUAAUCUCUAGCUCGGUCAGAGAGCAAGCACAUAGAAGGUCUCACACUUGCAAUAGUGAGAACCGAGAUGACAGGAAUGACCAAAACCAAGAGAGUUGGAGGUAAGGGGAUAUACAUGCGGCCCACAGAGACAAGCAACAUGCAAUCACAUAGAAGGAAGGCAGUCAUGCAACAUGCAAUCAAGCAGAGUACAGGGUAUAUCAUUCAUGUCCACACAAACCAUGAUAAAUAGAUAAAAAGUGAUACAUAUAUACAUCAUGCUCAAAGACGAUCAAGAGGAUAUACAACCUAGUGAACCAACGUGCCAAAUCAAUCGAUAUCGGAAUGAAUCGAUAUUACAUCAUGUUAAAAAAUGAAUCUAUACAUGCAAGGCGACUAAAACAAUCAUGGCAAACAUCGGAAUCACUAUGCUAAACGAAGCAAGAUAGGUAAUCAAUGCAAUCAACAUGUCAAUAUUUCCAACGAAUAUGGCAAUGAAGCACAAAGAAAGUAGCCAUCAUAGGAUCCUUAAUCAAGACGAAUGAAUCGUCGCAAGCAACAUGUCAGGAAUUCUCAAUGCACAAUCAAGAUAUGAGUACCCAAUGAUCGACCCAUCAAACGCCAGGUUUGCUUCAUCUUAAGUUCAAGAUUGACUCUCUAAACAUCCCUAGUGGAGUCGCCAUUUUGUGGACCCCUCCAUUUCGGCUCAUGCUGUGGACCCGCAUUUUUCACGUGCGCCCCCACUCGAUCGGCGAGACCCGCUUUUUAUUUGUGAAAAAUUAAUUUUUAGAAAAGUCGGAGUCGCCACUUAUUUUAUUUUUAUUUUAAAGGGAAAAUAAAACAAGAAAGAAAAACCCUAAAAAAAAAUGACUCCAUAAUUUUUGGAAAAGCAUGUCUUUGAAAACCCAAGUCUUGGUCCGGGGAUCAGGUUACUUAUUGGGAAGGUACCUCUAAGAGGUAGUACCCCUCUAAGCCCUAUAAAGGUCUCUACUGACAAAGUUAAGGGAAGUGUGGUCAUUAAUCAGUUAAUUAUAGGUACCUAAGUAGGCUAGAUGAUUUCAAAUAUUGCAUGCCUAACAAGAAAACCAACCAUAAGAGAGAGUCGAAGUGCGUACCUGAACGACUUCUCAAGCGCUAUCAUGAAACAUAAGAGAUUAGUUUGGAAAUGUGACACAUUAUAUGUAUUUUAUCAAAGAUGAUCAAACAAGCAUCAAGACAAUCAAUUAUGGCAUCAAACAUGGUCAUGGUUCAUGAUAACAUACAUAUUCAUAGAAUUUUAGAGUUGAAGGGUAGAAAGAGCGUACCUGAUUAGCGAACAUCCAUACGUCUAUGGGAACAAGGGUAUCUCAACAAUAAAUAUAAAACGAAUCAUGUAUGUCAUCAAGGAGAAUAAAAAAUCAACAUAUCAAGCAAACAAUAUUGAAGAGAGUAUCAUAAAUUUCGGGCCCCCACCAAAGCCCUAAUUAAUUUCACAUGAGUUUGUUCUAUGAAUUCCAUUAUUUGGAAUCAUAAAAUUUAUUCAUGCUUAGAAAAAAUUGAGAAAAUCAGUUGAAAAUCAAAUAAAUUAGUGAAAACGCGUGCCAGAAGGAAAAUGGCAGCAAGAGUGUGUUAGAAUAUGGAUUUUAAACCUAGAAAGGACCUAAGAUGAAUUUUUUUCAAAGCCGGGAAUGUUUAGUCGAACAAUGGUUCAAAAAUUCAAUUUAAAACAGUAAGUUCCCAAUCAAAGAAGCAAAUAGAGGAGAAGGUGUGUAUAGCAAGGUUGCCAUGAAGUGAAGCCAGGAGAUUCCGGAUAGAAGGGACCAAUUCACUACAAAAGUGUACAACUGUCAAAUGCUUCAACUUAAAAGAUAUCUUGAUUUGUAAGCUCAACUGGAUUCUCCUCAACAGAAGUCAAAUAUUGAAUAGAAGGUUCGGAAUUUCCAAUUUUCUGCAUUGAGAGAUUUCCUGCAUUCUGCUAGCUUUCAAUUGAUUAAGCCUUUCAACUUUUACCUCAAUCUGCCAUAAAAGCGGCCUAGUAGAUUUUGGAACUUGAGUGAUUGACUCCUCAUGUCGACGUUCACUAGCUUGAUAACGCUUUUGAAGAUCCUCAAUGUCUCUAUAGAACCAAUCCUCUCUAAACACAGCCUGUUGCUCUGUUUAACGUUUGUCGUAGUUCUUCGAAGGGCCUGAACCAGCGUGGCUUUACGUUCCUCAGCUUCUCUUAGACGAAUUUCUAGUUCAGUUCUGGCUUCACUGUUAACCCAUGCCUCAACUAAUGCUUCAGUCAAUAAGAUUCAGCAACUUCUUAGCGUGAAACUUUCUUGCUAUCGAUUCUGUUGCAUGAUAGGGCAUCUUGAGAAAACCCCACUCCUCUCAUUGUUUGUAUUCUCAUAUGCCUUAGCUGGAAGUUGAAACACCAAUUAUAAGGUUUCUUCAAGCUUCAUGCUGUCAGCCUCUUCAGCCUGUGGUCUAGUUUCAGUUAUGGCAUUUGUUUGUAGUGUCCUAUUUUUCCGAAUUAGCCUCAAAGAUAUUCACAAGCUUGCCCUCCAACUGUGCUUCCUGUUUCAUUCUUUUCCUUUUCUCACAUAUAUAUAUCAUCCCUCAAGACCUAAAUUUGUUUCCAAAAAGGAAAAUUCUCCUAUUUCUUUUCUUCUUCUCUUCUUUUCCUUUUUUUAAAAUCUUCCCAUUCAAAAGCAAUCUUCCCCAUUUCGAAUUCCCCUCCAAAACCUUCCGAGGAGGGUCUCACCUUCCUUAAACUCCAAUGGUAAGUUUCCUUGCAAAAACAUGAAAUUUUUAAAAGUAAAUAAUUGAAUGAAUAACUAAACAAGUAAACAAAAUAAAUACAUAAAUAAAAUAAAAUAAAAGUCUUAGUAGGCCUAGUGUGCCUAAGUGGGCCUAGGGUGCCUAAGUGGACCUAAGUAGACUACCCUAAAAGCUAUCUUAAAAAUGAAUGAAAAGCCUAAGGUGGUGUUUGUUUUUUUACUUAAUUCUAAAUAGAACCUUAAUACUUAAUAGUAUUAAAUAUUAGGUUGUUUGUUUUUGUAGUAUUUUAUUUGUAUUAAGUAUUAAAAAGUAAAAAAAAAAAAACCAUUGUGUUAUUUUUUCUAUUUAGAAAAAGUCACAUAUUUUGGCUUUUUCUAUUUAGUAAAAAGUUUAUAAUAAGUCAUGAAAAAGUAAAAAAAACAAACAACCUAAAUUCUAAAACUAAAUGGUUUUCAGUAAAAAGCCAAAAAAACAAACACCACCUAAGUCUAAAAUAAGGCUGCCAAAGGUAGCAAUAAGAGGUCAGAUAAUCCUUCAGCUAAAAUCUCCAGGGUGACUCAGAAAAAGGUAAGUCGUACGAGUAGUAAUGGGCCACCAAGGAGUUACUAUGGGGCACUGAAAACAAAUUUAAAGACAUGUGCUAAAUGGACAAAAUUGAGGGUCUACAAAUAUGCCCCUCUUCGGUAUAGAUCACGAGUGUAGAGAAUGUGAGUAGAAACACGAGUAAUGAGCGGAAUGAAGUGAACUAUAUCGAAGAAUUAAAGAAGGACCAGAGAUUUUGUCGUAGCACAUGAGAAGGUAAGGUCAAAAGAUGGGGUCUCAACGACAUGGAUGGGACAACUUUAUGCGGGGGAAUGACAAUAAAGAGAGAACGGUAUGUGACGAGUAGCACAAAGAUGGAAAAAUGUGAAAAAUGAUGACUCAAAGUCAUGGAUCAGAUGAAUGAAUCUGGGUCAUGGACAAGAUGAACGACUCUGGGUCUAAAAUAGGAUAAAUGACUCAGGGUCAUGGGCUCAGGGCUCUAAAAGGAAAGAAUAACUAUGGGUCAUAAAAGGGAAAACGACUCUAGGUCGAGAGCCCUAGGCUCUAAAUGGAAAAGAAAUGACUCUGGGUCAUAAAUGGAAAACAACUCUAGGUCAAGAGCUCUAGGCUCUAAAUAGGAAAGAAUGACUCUAGGUCAAAAUGGAAAAUGACUCUGGGUCGAGAGCUCUGGGCUCUAAAUAGAUAGCCGAUUAGGAUACUUUCCGACUCAAGGUGCCGGGUCGAGGCCACUCACAAGUGGCUAGAAUGAUGAAAACGAAACAUCUCAGGGAUGUAAAUGAUACAAAUGACUCCGGGUCGUGAGCUCAGGGCUCGGGGUGGAAUGAAUGACUCUGGGUCAUGAUGCAAUGAGUAAUUCAGGGUACGAUGAAUAGCUCAGGGCUAUAGAUGGAAUGAAUAACUCUGGGUCAUGAUGCGAUGAGUAACUCGGGGUUACGAUGAAUAGCUCAGGGCUAUGAGCUUCUGGCUCUAAUGACUGAUCGGCUAAAAGGAUAAUGCGAUACGCAAACUCCAGGUCAAACCACUCAUGGGCGACCAAAUGAUGAAGGCUCAGCUCAGGGCCGGAAAGACUCCGGGUCUAUAGGAAACGAUAGCUCAGGGCUACCAGGCUCAGGGCCUAAGGGAAGAAAGAUAGCUUAGAGCUAUAAGACUCAGGGUCUAGAAGAGAAGGAUAGCUCAGGGCUACUAGGCUCAAGGCCUAGAAAGAAAUGAAAGCUCAGGGCUACUAGACUCGGGGCCCAAGGGAAGAAGAAUAACUCAAGGCUACAAGGCUCAGGGCCUAGAAGGGAAUAAUAGAGAAGACCAACUCGAAAGUGGAUAUAAAAUAAAUGGGUGCAAAAGCAAAUACCCAAAAUGCUAAGGGUCGAACUACUAAACCCAAGAAGGGAAAUAUGCCCCAGUAUCCAAGCUGCUCACACUACUGAAACAGCCGGUAAAUCAAUCAUCUGCUGAAAUCAAUGGGUCAGGAACCGAAUACGUCACAACAAACCUCUAAAAAGUCAAAACCGAAAGAACCCUCUAUGUUUGAAAAACUGCUCUGUCUACAAAUCUCAAAAGGUAAAUCUCAAAGCGUGUAUAUCGUGGCUCAUCUAAAAGCAAAUCUUAAAGUACACAAAAUGGUGCUCAUCUGGAUAACCCAAUAUGCAAGGUAACAAUGGCGAAAACAAAUCUGUCUCAUGAACAUCUAGCUAAAGGAUCCACCCAUGCUCAUCAGGUGAAAUAUGAUGUGAUCCAUCUCUAUCUCAACAAAUCCAUAUAGGGGGGUCCUGAUACAAUCAAUCAUCGAAAGUUCUGGGCUAGUACUCAAUCUGAAACCAAACUGGCUACUGUCCCAAUCUCAAGGAUACUCAAAGAAAAUGGGGAAAUAUGCCCCAGUAUAAGAUCUGAUAUCAAAGUCAUGAGGUAAACAACCGACACUAAUCAUCCAUCCUCAUACCACUGCCCAAACAAAAUCUUGUCAAGGAGAGGGGAAUAUGCCCCAGUAUGGAUAUCCGAUGUCGAAGUCGUGAGGCAAACAACAAACAAUGAUCAUCCAUUCUCGUACCACUGCCCCAACACAAUCUCAUCAAGGAGAGGGGAAUAUGCCCCAGUAUGGAUAUCUGAUGUACAAUAAAGAGUCUGUCAAAAUCAACCAAACAUCUCUAUAACCAUGAAUAAGGAUAGUCAUACCGCACAAUAACAUAUAGGAAUCUCGAGGGAAUGGGGGAAUAUGCCCCAGUGUGAAUAUAUAAUGCACAACCAAAGGAUGAAUCCAACAUCAUCAAUCAACUGUCCUCAACUCAACAAUAAUCCGCUAAGAAGUCAGAAUGAAGUAUCGACCAAUGCCUCAAGGGAGACACUCUAAAUCUAAUCUCAAAUGAAUAGCUAAAAUGAUGAGGAAUGUGGUAAUCUUAGGAGUAGAAGCACGUCUCUAAUGAAUCCCUAAUUGAAUCCAACAUGAAUCUGGUAACCUCGAAAUGGGGAAAUAUGUCCCAACAUGCCAGAUCUAUACAUUGCACUGAAAACUGUCUCCACUCAAUAAUAACCUACUAGUCCAUCUCAAAAUACUCCGCAAAUGGAACCUAUAAUCAUGAAAGUUGUCAAUGAACUCAACAAUGCUCCACUAAAACUAAUACCAUCUCAACAUACUCCACUAGGGAUCUCAGAUCAAUGAAAAUGUCCAGGCUCAAAGAAAGUGCUCCACUAGGGGCUCAUCUCAACCAAAUGAAAGGGGAAUAUGCCCCAGUAAGAUAAUUGAUGCACAAUAGAAUGAAAAUCUGGAUAGCAUCAAAUAUCAAACAUAAAAUGAAGCAAUCAUCCACAUCCAUCACCAAAUCACCUCCAAGUAUCAAAGAAGCAUUUCCCAUAAGAAGAAACAUGACAACAUCUAUAUAUCAACCAAAUCCCAAACACCAACCUAAGUAGAGGCUGUCAAAGAUAACAUCUGAUCUCAUGGCCUCAAGGUGGUCUUAAGACACGGGACGUAAUGUAGGCCAAGGCGAUAGGGUGAAAGAAAUGAAGGGAAACUAGGCUCAAAUACCCAAUGAUCAAACCCAUACCCUCGUGUAUAAGAUGUAAUGCAUAGAAAAAAUCUCAUGAGCCAUGGACCUAAAGGUAACCAAAGGAAAUGUCGAUGGCGAAAUUAGAGAAAGAUGAGUAGUCAAACCAUCAAUGAAACAUGUGAAUGAUGUGAAGAAGGUAUCAAAACAAAAAUGUGUAUCAAUAUGUAGGAAAUGGAUAAAAAGUGGAACGAAGAUUUGGAAAUGGGUGAGGAGAUACAAAGUAAGGCAAUAAGAAAGGGGAAUGAAUGAUGAUCAAUCCAUAUCAGUACAAUAAGGGAAAGUCAUAUCACUAAUGAUGGAGUGGUGGGUAAGACAAUGAUCCGGAGACCCUAGUAAAAAGAUUACUCAUCUCUCAUACCUAAUAUAUAUCAAUCAUGAUCCAAGAAGCAUAGGAUCCCAUAGAACUCUCACAUGAACCCUUGACACUCCAAAUGCAUAACGAGAGUGGCUUAAGAGUGAAAAACUCAUAAAAAUAAAAAAUAAAAAACUCACAAAAACCCACAAUGACAAAUAUACCAAAUAAAUGAACCUCAAAAGGUGACAUAAACGCCCAAUGGAGCAAGAUACCAUACAUAAACAUAUCAUUGCGGUUUUUUUUUUUUUUUGCACAUGCUCUGAUCAUCAAUAAAUCAAACUCCAAUGGGAAAUAUAUAAGGAAUGAACAAACUCUCUCAAAUCACUAGUGAAUACAUGAACCCCAUCCCAUGAGAUAAUCUCUCAAACCAAAAUCUCCGAAUCAAUGUCAGAUGAUGGGAUGAAUAGAGUGAUAUGAUUGUCCUCUUUGCACUAAGAUGUGAAGAAUCAUCAACCCCAGGAAGAGAAUAGAUAAUAUGAGACAAAUAAUGAUGAAAACAAGAAAGAGAAUGAAUAUGUGGUGAUAAUAAAAUAAAACAAAUGGGAUGAUAAGGAUAUGAUAGGAAGAAAGAGAAGAUAGGCCUAUAAGUCUAAAGCUCAUGAGACUUUCUUAACAAAGCAUGGGUAUACAUCAAAGGGCCCCAACCCAAGUAUAGAAAUGGUAAUCAAGGCUAUAAGGGAAGAAAAAGGUUUAAGCGUACCACGUGAAGCUCAAUGGGCUAGCAACGAUCUAAUAUAUAGAGGUGAUAAAGUAUAAGGCUAACCGAAAUGAUGGCCACCCAUCCUGCAACCAUGGUCUCAAAUAUAAUACUUCUUCAGCUGAUCCACAUUGGUAGGGUCUAAAAAUUGGUCUUUAUCUAGAUAUGUCAAUCAUAUUUCCUCUUUGGGGUCAACUCUCUAAUGAAAUACGGUGUAGUCCAAGUAAGCCCCUAGGGUCUCCUGGAAUAGAUGAAUCUCCAUAACCAUAACUGGGCUAACAUCGUCCUCAAACACAUCAUCAAUAUAAGUGGAAUUCCCCAACAUAAAUAAAUUGAAUCUCUCCUGAACUCUCAACAAUGAAUAUCUCAAGCAUAUCGAGAGAGUGAACUAUCUCUGGCUAAUCUAUGCUAGCCAUCCACCUAUCAUCCAACACAUCCAUCUCAGACUCAUCAUAAAGAAAACCGUGUCAAUCAAAUCUCACAUCUUAGAGGAAAAAUCUAUCAUCCUCUAUAAGAACUCUCAUCUGAUAAUCUUUAACUCAUAAUCCACUAAACUGAUCAUAUGUAUGAAGUCAUCCUUAACAAUGUCACUGGUUAACUGGGUGGUGGGGGUGGGCGGUAAUGAAUCAUACGACAUCUCAUCCUGAACUGAAUGCUAUCUAUCUCACUGUCCAUCAAUCAUCUGGUUCAAACCCAUUAAUGUCUCUUGAAUGGAGUCGUGGUGACUGCAAGUCGAUCAACUAUAACAUGCUGAAGAUCCAUACCUGACUGCUUUGAAACCCUGAUCAAUUUAUCUCCAACUCGGAUAUAAGAAGUCGAAUCUAAACUGAAACGAAUAACACUCCUAUAAGGUACAAAGGCACGAAAAGAUAAAUGACAUGAAGAAAACUCAGAAGAGGUGGAAACACACUAAUCACUAAGUAGAAAGGUGGCCCAAUUGAAACUCAAAUAUGUACCAAUCUCUGAGCACACCAAAAGUAGACUACGGAGAGGAUAACUGAACCCAAUUGUGACCAAGGCAACUCUGAAGGUCCACAAAUGCACCCACGUGUAGGAAUGAAAUCUUAAUUGGAUCUAGGCUAGCCUACAAGGUCGAGGUGGCUCUAUAGGAUAAAAUGGGUGGGUCAAAGGAUCCCUAGCAGAAGCAAUCGUACCCUCCGGCGGUAAGCAACCCUCUGCACACCUCCAAGGAGAUGGGGUGCUUCCAUGCAAGGUGGUCAUCACCUCCACACAUGCACUUCCUCGCGUUCCCAAGAGGUUUCUUAAUGGUGAAGGCUCUUCCAUCUCUCAACACUCAAGGAUAAUCUAAAGUGUACAAUGAAGGAUGUGGGUGCAUCCGAAAAACCUAAGAUCUAAAGUGAGAUAGUGAACAAAGACAAGCAAAUCAUACGAACAUGCAAGAGAAAGGGUUGUCAUGCAACAAGCAAUCAUGCGAAGCAGAUAAAUAUCAAACAAUCAAAGUCCUACCUAGCAUAUGUGAGAGUGAAUCAUGCUAAAGUGAGCAAACAGUUAAGUGAUCGUUCAAGGCAAACGCAACAAACAGUCAUGCUAAGCAGAUAAAUAUCAAACAAACAAAGUCCUAUCUAACAUAUGUGAGAGUGAAUCAUGUGAAAGUGAGCAAACAGUUAAGUGAUCAUUCAAGGCAAACGCAACAAACAGUCAUGCUAAGCAGAUAAAUAUCAAACAAACAAAGUCCUAUCUAACAUAUGUGAGAUUGAAUCAUGUUAAAGUGAGCAAAACAAUCAAGUGAUCAUCCAAGGCAAUCAAACAUGUUAAGAUAGCAAACCAAACAAGCAAGCAAAUCGAAUCACCUUGCCUAAAAAAAGAGGUACCCACUAAUCUACCAAUUAAACGCCACAUUUUCCUCAACUAGUGUUCAAGCUUGAUCCUCAAAAUCCCCAGUGGAGUCGCCAAUUUGUGGACCCGCAUUUUUCACGUGCGCCCCCACUCGAUCGACGAGACUCGCUUUUUAUUUGUAAAAAAUUAAUUUUUAGAAAAGUCGGAGUCGCCACUUAUUUUAUUUUUAUUUUAAAGGGAAAAUAAAACAAGAAAGAAAAACCCUAAAAAAAAGUGACUCCAUAAUUUUUGGAAAAGCAUGUCUUUGAAAACCCAAGUCUCGGUUCGGGGAUCAGGUUACUUAUUGGGAAGGUACCUCUAGGAGGUAGCACCCCUCUAAGCCCUAUAAAGGUCUCUACUGACAAAGUUAAGGGAAGUGUGGUCAUUAAUCAAUUAAUUAUAGGUACCUAAGUAGGCUAUAUGAUUUCAAAUAUUGCAUGCCUAACAAGAAAACCAACCAUAAGAGAGAGUCGAAGUGCGUACCUGAACGACUUCUCAAGUGCUAUCAUGAAACAUAAGAGAUUAGUUUGGAAAUGUGACACAUUAUAUGUAUUUUAUCAAAGAUGAUCAAACAAGCAUCAAGACAAUCAAUUAUGGCAUCAAACAUGGUCAUGGUUCAUGAUAACAUACAUAUUCAUAGAAUUUUAGAGUUGAAGGGUAGAAAGAGCGUACCUAAUUAGCGAGCAUCCAUACGUCUAUGGGAAUAAGGGUAUCUCAACAAUAAAUAUAAAACGAAUUCAUGUAUGUCAUCAAGGAGAAUCAAAAAUCAACAUAUCAAGCAAACAAUAUUGAAGAGAGUAUCAUAAAUUUCGGGCCCCCACCAAAGCCCUAAUUAAUUUCGCAUGAGUUUGUUCUAUGAAUUCCAUUAUUUGGAAUCAUAAAAUUUAUUCAUGCUUAGAAAAAAUCGAGAAAAUCAGUUGAAAAUCAAAUAAAUUAGUGAAAACGCGUGCCAGAAGGAAAAUGGCAGCAAGAGUGUGUUAGAAUAUGGAUUUUAUACCUAGAAAGGACCUAAGAUGAAUUUUUUUCAAAGCUGGAAAUGUUUAGUCGAACAAUGGUUCAAAAAUUCAAUUUAAAACAGUAAGUUCCCAAUCAAAGAAGCGGAUAGAUGAGAAGGUGUGUAUAGCAAGGUUGCCAUGAAGUGAAGCCAGGAGAUUCCGGAUAGAAGGGACCAAUUCACUACAAAAGUGUACAACUGUCAAAUGCUUCAACUUAAAAGAUAUCUUGAUUUGUAAGCUCAACUGGAUUCUCCUCAACAGAAGUCAAAUACUGAAUAGAAGGUUCGGAAUUUCCAAUUUUCUGCAUUGAGAGGUUUCCUGCAUUCUGCUAGCUUUCAAUUGAUUAAGCCUUUCAACUUUUACCUCAAUAUUCCAUAAAAGCGGCCUAGUAGAUUCUGGAACUUGAGUGAUUGACUCCUCAUGUCGACGUUCACCAGCUUGAUAACGCUUUUGUAGAUCUUCAAUGUCUCUACAGAACCAAUCCUCUCUAAACACAGCCUGUUGCUCUGUUUAGCGUUUGUCGUAGUUCUUCAAAGGGCCUGAACCAGCGUGGCUUUACGUUCCUCAGCUUCUCUUAGACGAAUUUCUAGUUCAGUUCUGGCUUCACUUUUAACCCAUGCCUCAACUAAUGCUUCAAUCAAUAAGAUUCAGCAACUUCUUCGCAUGAAACUUUCUUGCUAUCGAUUCUAUUGCAUGACAGGGCAUCUUGAGAAAACCCCACUCCUCUCCUUGUUUGUAUUCUCACAUGCCUUAGCUGGAAGUUGAAACACCAAUUAUAAGGUUUCUUCAAGCUUCAUGUUGUCAGCCUCUUCAGCCUGUGGUCUAGUUUCAGUUAUGGCAUUUGUUUGUAGUGUCCUAUUUUUCCGAAUUAGCCUCAAAGAUAUUCACAAGCUUGCCCUCCAACUGUGCUUCCUGUUUCAUUCUUUUCCUUUUCUCACAUAUAUAUAUAUCAUCCCUCAAGACCUAAAUUUGUUUCCAAAAAGGAAAAUUCUCCUAUUUCCUUUCUUCUCCUCUUCUUUUCCUUUUUUUAAAAUCUUCCCAUUCAAAAGCAAUCUUCCCCAUUUCGAAUUCCCCUCCAAAACCUUCCGAGGAGGGUCUCACCUUCCUUAAACUCCAAUGGUAAGUUUCCUUGCAAAAACAUGAAAUUUUUUAAAGUAAAUAAUUGAAUGAAUAACUAAACAAGUAAACAAAAUAAAUAAAUAAAUAAAAUAAAAUAAAAGUCUUAGUAGGCCUAGUGUGCCUAAGUGGGCCUAGGGUGCCUAAGUGGACCUAAGUAGACUGCUCUAAAAGCUAUCUUAAAAAUGAAUGAAAAGCCUAAGUCUAAAAUAGGGCUGCCAAAGGUCGCAAUAAGAGGUCAGAUAAUCCCUCAGCUAAAAUCUCCAGGGUGACUUAGAAAAAGGUAAGUCGUACAAGUAGUAAUGGGCCACCAAGGAGUUACUAUGGGGCACUGAAAACAAAUUUAAAAACAUGUGCUAAAGGGACAAAAUUGAGGGUCUACACAUGCGUUUUCUACUCGAUGGUGAGCUUGAUUUUACUUUGAAAAUGAUUUUAUUGUUUGAAAAAUGACUUGGAGUCGCCACUUAUUUUUGUUUUAUUAUUUUUUUAAAAGGGUAAACAAAAUAAGAAAGAAAACCCUAAGUGUGACUCCUCAUUUUGGAAAAGGUGAUCUAUGAAAAACUGAAUCGGGCUCGGGGGUCAGGUUACUUAUCGGGAAGAUACGGUAAAGACCAUAGCACCCCUCUAAGUUCCUAAAGUCGAGUCUCUACUAAUAAAAUGAAGCUGACAUGACAAUCAAUAGGAAAAUCAAUGGAUACUCGAGUCGAUUAUGUAUAUAUGGGAAUCAGAACAUGCAUAGAGAAUGACCAGAAUAGGAAUGGAUGCAUACCUGAGCCACGAACGAGCGAUGCGUUAUCAUAAAAACAGAGUCAGUGCACAAUAUAGGGCACGGAAUAUAUCAUAUGCAUUACCAAACAGAAAUUAAAAUUGUUCGAAGGAAAACUGGAUUUUUGAAAUUCAUUUUGAAAAUCGGAGUCUUAGAGAUUAUUUGAAAAUCGGAUUUUUAGAAAUUAAAUAUAGGAAUGAGAAUUUUAGAAAUUAUAUUUGAAAGGAAUUGGAAUUUCAGAUAACUAAAUUUAGGAAUCGGAAUUUUGAAGAAUUAUUUAAAGACGGAAUUUUAAUAAAUAAAUAAGUGAAUAAAUAAAUGAAUGCAAUAAUAAUAAUGAUGAAAUAAUAAAGAUUAGGUAAAUAAUUGCAAAAAAUAGAAUUUUAGAGAUUGGAGAUUGAAUUUAGAGAUUGAAAUUUUGAGAAAUUAUUUGGAGACAAGAUUUUAAAUAUAUGAAUAAGUGAAUAAAUAAAUGAACGGGAUAAUAAUAAUAACGAAAAUAAUCAUUAAACAGCUGAAUGUGAAUAGUGGAAUUUUUUAGAUUGAAAAUUAAAUUUGGAAAACAGAAUUUUGAAAAAUUGAACUUUAAUUAUUGGAAUUUGUAAAAUAAAUUAAUGGAAUAAUAAUAAUAAUAAUGAGAAUAAUAUUUAAACGAAUGAACGUGAAUAGUGUAAUCUUUGAGAUUGAAAAUUAAAUUCGGAAGUCAGAUUUUUCAAGAAUUGAACUUUAAUGAUUUGAAUUUUUAAAAGAAAUAAAUAAAUAAAUAUGGAAUAAUAAUAAUAAUAACAAAAAUAAUGGUUAAGUGAAUGAACGUGAAUAGUGGAAUUUUUGUUUAAAAGAAAUAAGUAAAUAAAUAUGGAAUAAUAAUAAUAAUGACAAAAGAAAUGGUUAAGCGAAUGAACAUGAAUAGUGGAAUUUUUUAUAUUGAAAAUUAAAUUCGAAAGUAAGAUUUUUGAAUAAUUAAAUUUUAAUGAUUGAAAAUUUUAAGAUAAAUAAAUAAAUAAACAUGAAAUAAUAAUAAUACUAACAAAAAUAAUGUUUAAACGAAUGAACGUAAAUAGUGAAAUUUUUGAGAUUGAAAAUUAAAUUCGGAAGUCAGAUUUUUGAAGAAUUGAACCUUAAUGAUUUGAAUUUUUAAAAUAAAUAAAUAAAUAAUUAUGGAAUGAUAAUAAUAAUAACAAAAAUAAUUUUUAAACAAAUGAACGUGAAUAGUAGAAUUUCGGAGAUCGAAAAUUUGAAGAGUUAUUUAGAAAUAAUAUUUUAAAUAAAUGAAUAAGUGAAUAGAUAAACGAAUGGAAUAAUAGUAAUAAUGAUUAGGUAAAUAAUUGUGAAAAUUGGGAAGUGAACUUGGGAAUUAGAAAAUUGAAGAAUUAUUUAGAGAUGGAAUGUCGGAAAAUUAAAUUUCGAAAACUAGAAACCUGAAAAAUUAUUUUAAGGAUGGAAUGUUGGAAAAUUAAAUUUCGAAAAGUGGAAACCCGAAAAAUUAUUUGAAGGAUGAAACGCCGGAAAAUUAAAUUUCGAAAAGUGAAAACUCGAAAAAUUAUUUUAAGGAUGGAAUGUCAGGAAAUUAAAUUUCGAAAAUUGGAAACCCAAAAAAUUAUUUUAAGGAUGGAAUGUCAGAAAAUUAAAUUUCAAAAAUUGGAAACCCGAAAAAUUAUUAAGGAUGGAAGGUCGGAAAAAUAAAUUUCGAAAAGUAGAAACCCGAAAAAUUAUUUUAAGGAUGGAAUGUCGGAAAAUUAAAUUUCGAAAAUUGGAAACCCGAAAAAUUAUUUUAAGGAUGAAAUGUUGGAAAAUUAAAUUUCGAAAAUUGGAAACCCGAAAAAUUAUUUUAAGGAUGGAAUGUCGGAAAAUUAAAUUCGAAAAUUGGAAACCCGAAAAAUUAUUAAGGAUGGAAGGUCGAAAAAAUAAAUUUCGAAAAGUGGAAACCCGAAAAAAUAUUUUAAGGAUGGAAUGCCGAAAAAUUAAAUUUCGAAAAGUGGAAACCCGAAAAAUUAUUUUAAGGAUGGAAUGUCGGAAAAUUAAAUUUCGAAAAUUGGAAACCCGAAAAAUUAUUUUAAGGAUGGAAUGUCGGAAAAUUAAAUUUCGAAAAUUGGAAACCCGAAAAAUUAUUAAGGAUGGAAUAUCGGAAAAUUAAAUUUUGAAAAUUGAAAACUCGAAAAAUUAUUAAGGAUGGAAGUUCGAAAAAUUAAAUUUCGAAAAAUGGAAACCCGAAAAAAAAUAUUUUAAGGAUGGAAUGCCGGAAAAUUAAAUUUCAAAAAGUGAAAACCCGAAAAAUUAUUUUAAGGAUGGAAUGUCGGAAAAUUAAAUUUCGAAAAGUGGAAACCCGAAAAAUUAUUAAGGAUGGAAGGUCGAAAAAUUAAAUUUCGAAAACCGGAAUAUUUAGAGAAUUACUUUGAUAUCCAAAACGUGAAGAACUAAUAAAAGAAAUAUGAAUUGUGGUGAUCUUUAAGUGCACGUCUCCAGUGUAAUGCCCAUAAACCCAUUUUACAUUUUUUUUUUUUUUUUUACCACCUGAGCAAACAGCUUUUGCAUGAAGAUUGAUGAGUGGGUAUUGAAGAAUGAUGACAUGGGCAAGGUAAUGGAAUACUAGUUGGAAAUAAAUAAAAAAAUGAAAAUCCUGCAGACCCAUUUAAUUCGACAUCAAACCAGAAAGCAAAACCAUGCAUUAAACCCCAUGAUCCAAGUGCCACAGCAGGUGCUACACGAAAUCUAGCAUACAGCUACCCAUCAUCAGCAUGCUUCUUCACCAUGCUUUCCAGAAUGUCACCAUCUCCAAGAUUUGUAGCGCCUGGCAUUCCUCCCGGCAGCAAAAUGAGAUCGAUCGAAAUCAGCACCAGCGCAGUCAGAAAUUGGGGCAUCCGCAACAAUAUCCACGCCUUGGUACGUGUCAACUUGAAGCCGCUUCCUCACAGGGACGACGGUCACAUUGACGCCAGCUCGCUGGAGCUCAUCAAUGGUGAUCACUACUUCUAUCAACUUCGAGCCAUAGGCGUUCGAAACCAAACCUUACGGGAAGAUGCAGCCAUUGAUGAUGGGGACUUAGUGGAGGACUUGGUGAGUGGAUGCUGGAAAUUUUCUCUUAUUACCCACUUAAUAAUCUCAGAGAUGGACGAGAGACGACUCAGAUAUAUAUCACUGUCCGAUAGAAGGUAUCAUAGUACGAGUAGUGAAAGAUCUAUAAAUAAAGGCCAAACAGAAAGAGGGCUUCUUUUCGAUACCUAAGGCCACUAGUGAUGAGUGGAAGUUCUCAUUUCUAUGCAUGUUACCCUUGCAUAGAAAAUGAAGAACCAGCUUAACGUCUUAGACAAUAAAAAAUGAGCAUCCCGAACAUCAGAAAUGAGUAAAAUAUGACUGUAAAAGUGAAGAACCUCAAGUGGGAGAUGAUCUAACCUGAAGGCCUCCCUUGGAGCAAAAUCGCUUGGUUCUCAGUGAGCUAUAAAACUCCCACCUUUGCCCCCCUCGAAAGCACCAGAAAAACCCCUGCCUCUCUCUGGCUUUCUCCUCCUUUCUUUUUUCUCCUUCUUUUCGUUCUUCUUUUCCCUGUUUCUAUCUUCUUUGGCAAGUCACUACUUGCUUUCCUGUUCACUAGUCAGCGGCAUGGCCUCCUCCACCCACUAGCAUGGCCGGCCAUCUUGACUUGCUGCCUCCACCAAUCUAGCUUCCUCCAACAGAAAAGCCCCCCCCCCCCAACUCACUUAUCCUAGGUGUCGCCAGCUCCUCCAGGUGGAGAGACAUUAUCCUUCCCAUGCCAUAAAAAAAAAUCCCUUAAAAAAAAACUAACCGUCUUUGCUCUCUUAAGGGGGUCUACACUUAUCUUAUUUGGUUUCUAUAACAGAAAUUUAAGUGAACAAAAAACUCUUAAGGGGGUCUACACUUAUCUUAUUUGGUUUCUAUAACAGAAAUUUAAGUGAACAAAAAAUUGUCAACUUCAAUUUUUAAAGCUAUUUUUAAAGCUAUUUUUAAGAUAAAUCUCUAUUAUUUACAUAAGAACUCAUACUAUUUUUAAUUUUCAAAAAUAAAAAAUGUAUUCAAUGUCCACUUAAAUUUUGUAAAAAAUGAACGUUGAAUAAACUCUCCUAAUCAAAUUAUUUUAUCAUUUACCUAAAGAUUUAUGCUUAUCAAAAAUAAAUCAACCACACUGAGAAUUGGUAAUUCUAGGUAGCUAGUAACACAUGCAAUCACCAGAAAGUCAAUGAAGAGUACAUAUAUUCAUGUCUCUUCCUCUAUGAAUUCCUCAAAAGACGCCAUCCAUGAGCUCAUUGAUCGCAUCCAUAAAACAAUGAACAAGAAGAGAUCAUCCCGUAGGCGUAUCAUCAAAAGGUUGAUAAAAGAACUUAUACCUCACCCUUUGAGCUCUAGAAUAGAAUCUACAAAAUAACUCAAUUUUUCUUUCCUUUUUUUGAACUACUUUUUACCAAAAUCCCAAAGCCCUAAAUGUAAUUUAUAUUUGGACUUAGAGAAUACUUAAAAUAAAUAACACAAUCAAUGGCCUUAGAGAACUUUUCAAGGGUUGGAUAAACAUAGCUCAACAAAUUUAGUUUAAAAUAACCUUCAAAAUUACUUAUUCAAGAUCUAUUAAAUAAAAAUAAAAAUAAAAUAAAACCUUUUGAAAACCUUUUCUAUACAAAAAUUAAAAAAAUAUAUAUAAAAAAUUGAAAACUCAUCUUAUAUGCUUUCUAUAACUGAAAUUUUUGAGUGAACAAAAAAUUGUAAAAUUCAAUUUUUUUCUUCUAUUUUUCAAAACAAUUAUUUUUAAGAUAAAUCUCUAUUAUUUAUAUAAGAGCUCAUACUAUCUUUUAUUUUCAAAAAUAAAAAAUGUAUUCAAAGUCUAAUUAAAUUUUGUGGAUAAGGGACCUUGAGCAAACUCUCAUAGUCACAUUACUUAAUCAUUUACCUAAAGAUUUAUGCUUGAGAAUUGAUAAUUCUAGGUAGCUAGUAACACAUGGAAUCACAAGAAAGCUGAUGAAGAGUAUGUAUGUUUUGGUCUAUUCCUUAAAGCUCACAUACCACUCAUCAAGCUCACUCAUCACACCCAUAAAACAAUGAAUGAAAGAGUUCAAGAAGAGAUUAGAUUGCAGCAACUUCUCCAAAACAUUGAUGAAAGAACUUGUACCUUCCCCCAUUAAGCUCUAGAACAAUGCCCAAAAAACAACCUAAUUUUUCUUUCCAUUUUUUGAACCAAUUUUGAACAAGAUUGCCCUAGAUACUAUUUAUAUUUCAACUUAGAGAAUUCUUAAAAUAUGUAGCCCAAUACAUGGGAGAAGAAACUUUUCAUGGGCUAGCUAAACUUAGCUCAACAAAUUUACCUUAAUAUUGACCCUUUAAAUUACCAUUCAAGAUCUAUUAAAUAAAAAUUCUCAAAAACCUUUUCCAUACAAAAAAUUAAAAAAAAUUAUAGAAAAAAUUGAAAACUUAUCUUAUAUGCUCUCCAUAACAAAAAUUUCAAGUGAACAAAAAACUAUUAACUUCAUUUUUUAAGCUAUUUUUAAAAUUAUUUACGUUUAAGAUAAAUCUCUAUUAUUCAUAUAAGAACUCAUACUAAAAAUAAAAAAUGUUUUCAAAGUCUACUUAAAUUUCAUAAUGAACCUUGAACAAACUCUCCCAAUCAAAUUAUUUUAUCAUUUACCUAAAGAUUUAUGUGUAGACCCCCUGUUUUAAACCAAGUGUAUUUGGUUCAAUGAUAUGAUUUUUAUUAUUAUUACCUUCUUUUAUUAUUUUUAUAAGUUGAAGCAAGGCAUUUCAAGAAGGAUCCGGGGGGUAGAAUUUAGUGAGGAGUGGGGGGGGGGGGGGGGACCCCUUUUUACAAGGAGAGCAGCUUCAAAGACACGGCAAAAAAACAUGGGCGGACCAUGCGGGUGGUCAGGGACGCCAUGCUUCUGGGGGGGGGAAAAAUAAGGGAAAAAAAAGGCUUCCCAAGAAAAAAAGAAAAAGAAAAAAUUAAAAAAAAAAAAGGGGGGGGGGGNNNNNNNNNNNNNNNNNNNNNNNNNNNNNNNNNNNNNNNNNNNNNNNNNNNNNNNNNNNNNNNNNNNNNNNNNNNNNNNNNNNNNNNNNNNNNNNNNNNNGACAAAACAAGGUCCCCUAAAAUUAUCCGAGGGGAACCAAAAUAAAGAAGAGUGAGGCCCCGGGAAGGGACCCCUUUUUACAAAGAGAGCAGCUUCAAAGACACGGCAAAGAGACAUGGGCGGCCCAUGGUGGUGGUCAGGGACGCCAUGCUUGUUGAGUGGAGGAACAUUAGGGCAAGUAGAGGCUUGCCAAGGAAGAUAGGAAGAGGGGGGGUUGAAAAAAAAAAGGGGGGGGGGGGGGGGGGAAGGAGGAAAAAGGAAGGGGGUUCUGGGAGCUCGGGAGGGAGACGCAAGCUGGAGGAGUUUCUUUUCUCAGGGAGGACACCGAGGCGAGGGAGCAAGAAAGGACCUGGAGAGCAGUGGAGCGUAUUUUGGUAGAGGGUCACAGAGAUAACAGGGAAACGAGCAUCUGCAGGCGAGUUUGAGGUGAGUCUCUUGCUUACUUUGAUUCAUAUUCAUCUCAUCUCCUUCUCGUUUCGGUUUGCUUCACAUUACUCAUUAGUUUGGGUUGGAUAAUAUAUUGAAUCUCGUUGUUUUUCUGGAUUAUUUUCUCGUUAUUGUUGUUGAUCUCGUUGUUAUCCUUAUGGUUUGGCUUGGGGUUAAUGAGACUCUAUUUCUCAAGCAUUUUUGUAACUCUAGCUUGAGAUCCCCUCACCGGUAAAGACCAGCUACGAACCCACUAGUUGUAAUGAAGGGAAUUUGUGACUAUUCCAGCGAGUGUGUAUGUGCGUGUCUUCUCACUCUUUUAUGCAAUCACUCAUCUCACCCCUUCCAGUUUCUCAAGUCCCAUGUGUACGUGAUUAUCACGCAUGCACCCGAGACCAUUAUUCACACUCCCAUUACCAUGUCAUACCCACAGUUCAUCAUCACCAUUCCCACCCGUGUCAUCCUUGCUCACGUAUACCCAUUUCCCGUGCCAUGCAUGCCACCACCUUUCCUCUCUCUUUUUCUCUUUCUCUUUCCCUUCCUCUUUCUCUUCCUCUCCAUGCAUCUCUUCUCUAGCGCCGCCGGCACAGCAAGAUCGACGCCAAUCCGAAGCGGCAUGCGGUGGUUCUUGCCCUCGCCAUCUCAACCACCUCCGCUCUCAUAGUCCUCGUGGCCUCCGGCGCCUUCAUCGGCGGCGCGUGGUUCAGCGACCAGCUUCGGCCAUCAUGGGCGGUUGCGCCCGCCAUCGCAGCGGCAGCGUUUGCAUGGAUGCUGCUGGAUAGCCGCCACCCCUUCCUCCUCCAUUACGUCGCUGCUGGUGGAGAUGACGAUGCCCAGGUGGAUAGGAGGGUUGUGUUGGUGAUGGACUUGGGCUUGUCCAUGGUGUUGGGUUUGGGCUUGAGUGGGAGCCCAGCCCAAGCAAGCUGAUGGAAGUCAAUGUCUUCUCAAAUAAAUGGGUUGUGAUGGUGAUGGGCUUGGGCUUGGGCUUUGCUGGUGGACUUGGAGGUUAGGAUUUGGGCUUGAGGUCUGCUGAUGGACUUGGACUGGACUAGGGUUGCUAGGGUGAUUUUAUUACUAUUAUUAUUAUUAUUGUUGUUAUUAUACUUAUUAUUAUUAUUAUUAUUAUUAUUAUUAUUAUUAUUAUUAUGAUUAAUCCAACUUUCAAAAUCUCAUUAUUAUUAUUAUUAUUAAUUCACACUUUCAAAAUCUAUUUAUUAUUAUUAUUAUUAUUAUCAUUAAUCCAAACUUUCAAAAUCUUAUUAUUAUCAUUAUUAUUACUAUUACUAUUAAUUCACACUUUCAAAAUCCUAUUAUUAUUAUUAUUAUUAAUUCAACUCUCAAAAUCUUAUUAUUAUUAUUAUUAAUUAAUUCACACUUUCAAAGUCUUAUUAUUAUUAUUAUUAUUAUCAUUAAUUCAAAUUUUCGAAGUCUUAUUAUUAUUAUUAUUUUUAUUAUUAUUAUUAUUAUUAUUUUUAUUAUUAUUAUUAUUAUUAUUAUUAUUAUUAUUAUUAUUAUUAUUAUUAUUAUUAAUUCAAACUUUCGAAAUCUUAUUAUCACUAUCAUUAUUAUUAUUGUUAUUAUUAUUAAUUCAAACUUUCAAAAUCUUAUUAUUACUAUUAUUAUUAUUAAUUCAAAUUCUCAAAAUCUUAUUAUUACUAUUAUUAUUAACUCAACUUUCAAAAUCUCAUUAUUAUUAUUAUUAUUAAUUCACACUCUUAAAAUCUUAUUAUUAUUAUUAUUAUUAAUUCAACUUCCAAAAUCUUAUCAUUAUUAUUAUUAUUAAUUCCAACUUUCAAAAUCUUAUUAUUAUUAAUUCAAACUCUCAAAAUCUUAUUAUUACUAUUAUUAUUAACUCAACUCUCAAAAUCUUAUUAUUACUAUUAUUAUUAACUCAACUUUCAAAAUCUCAUUAUUAUUUUUAUUAUUAAUUCAACUUUCAAAAUCUUAUUAUUAUUAUUAUUAUUAUUAAUUCAAACUCUCAAAAUCUUAUUAUUACUAUUAUUAUUAACUCAACUCUCAAAAUCUUAUUAUUACUAUUAUUAUUAACUCAACUUUCAAAAUCUCAUUAUUAUUUUUAUUAUUAAUUCAACUUUCAAAAUCUUAUUAUUAUUAUUAUUAUUAAUUCAAACUUUCAAAAUCUUAUUAUUAUUAUUAUUAUCAUCAUUAAUUCAAACUCUCAAAAUCUUAUUAUUAUUAUUAUUAUUAUUUAUUCACACUUUCAAAAUCUUAUUAUUAUUAUUAUUAUCAUUAAUUCAAAUUUUCAAAAUCUUAUUAUUAUUAUUAUUAUCAUUAUCAUUAAUUCAACUUUCAAAAUCUGUAUUCUCGUAGUUCAAUUUCUUAAAGUUCAUUUCUUAUUAUUAUUAUUGUUACAAAUUCAACUUUCAAAAGUCUAUGUUCUCGCAGUUCAAUUUCCUAAGGUCCGUUUCUCAUUUUCUUCAACAAAUUUCAAUUCAAUUACUGGGGCUCAAAUCUUUUAAAUUUAAUUCCAAAUACUCCAAUUUUCAAAUAAACUCCAAGGAUCUAGUUUUCACUCGAAUAGUUUUAAUCCCCUUUCAGUUCCUAAAUAAUCUUCCGAUCUUCUUGAUUUUACAUAAGCAAUAAUGAAUUCUUCAUAAUUCUAAAACACGGGAUUUGUGAGACUAGUUCGUGAAUAAUAAAUUGGGCUUUGGUGGGGGGCCCUAUGUUUGAUCCCUAUUGAUUGUCAACUGUUGUGCUUAAUAUAUUUUGCUUGAUCUUGAUUUUGCACUCCGAUAUACAUGAGUUAUAAUUUGUAUUCGUUAAUUGUGUACUAAUCUCAUUUCUUGAUAGCGCAUUCUGAUACUUCACUAUACAUGUUCCGACUCUCAUAUGUGCAUGAUCAUUCAGGAUAUUCAUUGAUUUACUCAUCAAUUACCACAUCAGUUUCAUUUUAUUAGUAAAGACCCGACUUUAGGGGCUUAGAGGGGUGCUACGGUCUUUACCGUACCUUCCCGAUGAGUAACCUGACCCCCGAACCUAAUCCGAUUUUUUCACAGACCACCUUUUCCAAAAUGAGGAGUCGCACUUAGGGUUUUCUUUCUUAUUUUGUUUACCCUUUUAAAAAUAAAACAAAAAUAAGUGGUGACUCCAAGUCAAUUUUUCUUAAUCAAUAAAGAUCAAUUUUUCGAAAUCAAAAUCGAGUUUUGCCAUCGAGUCGGAAACGCAUGAGCCGAAGUGCGGGGUCCACAUUAUGCUUAUAAAAAAUCAAUCAACCACAUUAAGAAUUGAUAAUUUUGAAUACCUAGUAACACAUGGAAAUAAUAAAGAUGAUGAAGAGUAUGUAUAUUCUGGUCUCUUCCUCUCAGAAUUCCCCAUAACUCGCAUCAACUCAUCUCUGAUGUUGUUUGUGAACUCAUUUGUCAGACCCAUAAAACAAUAAACAAGAAUAGAUAAAUAAGAUCUUACCAUCAUAUCACAAGGGCUUCCCUAAAAGGUUGAUGAAAGAACUUAUACCUUCACCCUUUGAGCUUUAGAACAAUGCCCAAAAACCAACCUAAUCAUUGUUUCCUUUUUCUGCACCAUUUCACUAAGACCCAAAAGCCCUAGAUGUUAUUUAUAUUUGGACAUAAAGAACACCUAAAAUAAACAACACAAUGCACGGGCUUAGAAAGCUUUUCAUGCACUAGAUAAACUUAUCUCAAUAAAUUUAGCUUAAUAUUAACCCUUAAAGUUACCCAUUCAUGGUAUAUUAAUGAAUAUAAAUAAAAAAUUUCGAAAGCCUUUUCAAUACGAAAAAUAAAAGAUUUGAUAAAAAAAAUUGGAAACUCAUCUUAUAUGCUUUCUAUAACUAAAAUUUCGAGUGAACAAAAAACUAUUAACUUCAAAUUUUUAAGCUAUUUUUAAAAUUAUUUAUUUUUAAGAUAAAUCUCUAUUAUUUAUAUAAGCACUCAUACUAUCUUUUAUUUUCAAAAAUAAAAAUAUAUAUUCAAAGUCCAAUUAAAUUUUGUAGAAAAUGAAUCUUGAGAAAACUCUCUCAAUCAUUAUUUUUUAUUAUUUAUCUAAACAUGCUUAUCGAAAAUCAAUCAACCAUGUUGAGAAUUGAUAAUUUUGGGUAGCUGGUAACACAUGGAAUCACAAGAAAGUUGAUGAAGAGUAUGUAUAUUAUUUUCUUUUCCUCUUUGAAUUCCUCAAAGCUCACAUGCCACUCAUCUUUGAUGUUGUCCAUGAGCUCACUUGUCACACCCAUAAAACAAUAAACAAUAAGAGAUAAGGAAGAUCAUACUGCAAUGACUUCCCCAAAAGGUUGAUGAAAGAACUUAUACCUUCCCCUUCUGAGCUCUAGAAUAGUGUCGAAAAAACAACCUAAUCUUUCUUUCCUUAUUUUGAACUACAUUUUACCAAGAUCCAAAAGCCCUAGAUUUUAUUUAUAUUUGGACAGAGAGAAUGCCUAAAAUAAAUAGCCUAAUGAAUGGGCUUAGAAAACUUUUUAUGGGCUGGAUAAACUAAGCUCAAAAAAUUUAGCAUAUAAUGUUAACCUUAAAAUUACCCAUUCAAGGUCUAUUAAAUCAAAAUAAAAAUAAAUUUUCAAAAACCUUUUCUAUACAAAAAAUUAAAAAUUUUGAUAGAAAAUUUUGAAAACCUAUGUUAUAUGUUUUUUAUAACUAAAGUUUCAUGUGAACAAAAAGCUGCUAACUUCAAAAUUUUAAGCUAUUUUUAAAAUUAUUUAUUUUAAAAAUAAAUCACUAUUAUUUCUAUAAGAACACAUAUUAUCUUUUAUUUUCAAAAAUGAAAAAUGUAUUCAAAGUCCACUUAAAUUGAGUAGAAAAUGAACCUUGAGCAAACUCUCCUUGUCACAUUAUUUUAUCAUUUACUUACAAAUUUAUGCUUACUGAAAAUCAACCAACUAAUUGAGAAUUGAUAAUUCUAGGUAGCUAGUAAAAUAUAGAAUCACAAGAAAGCUGAUGAAGAGUGUAUAUUCUGGUCUCUGCCUCUCUGAAUUCCUUAAAGCACAUAUCACUUAUCAAAGAUGUCGUCCAUGAACUCGCUCGUCACACCCAAAAAAACAAUCAAUAAGAAGAUAUCAUUCCAAUAGGGCUUCCCCAAAACAUUGAUGAAAGAACUUAUACCUUCACCCAUGUAACUCUAAAGCAAUGCUUAGAAAACAACCUAAUUUUUCUUUUGUUUUCCUGCACCAAUUUUCACCUAGAUCCUAAAGCCCUAGGUGUUAUUUAUAUUUGGACUUGGAGAAUUCCUAAAAUAAAUUAAUAGCCAAAUGCAUGGGAGGAGAAAACUUUUCAUGGACGGGAUAAACUUAGCUCAACAAAUUAAGCUUAAUAUUAAACCUUCUAAUUACCAUUCAACAUCUAUUACAUAAAAAUAAAAUAAUUAAAAAAAAAAACCAUUUGUAUACAAAAAAUAAGAAAAUUUAUAGAAAAGAUUGAAAACUUAUAUUAUAUGCUCUUUAUAACUGAAAUUUGAAGUGAACUAAAAAAUGUCAACUUCAAUUUUUUAAGCUAUUUUUAAAAUUAUUUAUUUUAAGGUAAAUCUCUAUUAUUUAUUGAUUCGUUCCCAAUUGGUGUAUCAGCUGAUUCAUGUCCUCUCAAUGGUCCCCGACAACGGUGCCAUUUGAUUUGUGCCCAGCUGGUGUUCCUUGAUUUUGGUCCCCAUACGGGAGUAAUCAAAAAAAUUUAUAACCUAUUACACCAUGUACUAGGAUAGCCUCGACUAGCAUAGCAUAGUGGCUCUAGGAUCGUUCAUCGGGAUGGGUUUUCACUUCACAAUUGAUAUUAAUUCAAAGCUGAAUUGGUGCUUUUUCAUUUCAAGGUUAGCUUUAAAAGAAAACAUAAAGAUGUUUGAAAAGGCUUGGUUUUAAACUAACCAAAACUAGUAACUGAUUUUAAUUACAAAGAAAAGUGUUUCUUGGAGUUUCAGAUCACUAGGCUUAGGUUGCUUAUACAAAAAGGGAGUUCUGGUCACUUGAAUCUUUUCCUCACAUUGGGGAUUUAACAUAUAGUUAUUUCCCGAACCGGUGUGGUACAAAUGCUUCCCCUUAAUGGGUUCAAACACUAAAUCCCUCUCACUGAUGCAUCUUGCAAUGGCUCAUGCCUCUCACCUAGCAUUUACCAUUCAAGGUGAUCCUUAACCUUGGAUUUCCUUUCUCAAGCUCGCAAGAGAUAACUAAUGGAUGUCUCCUUAGAGUCCAAAAGCUUACCAAGUGUUGGCUAUUCUAGAAAAUCCUACCUUCAAACCACCUCCCAAAGGCUCGCAAGAGAUAAACUAGUGCAUCUCAAUGGAUGGAGAUCACUUGCCUUACCAAGUGUUGGCCCAGGUGAUUUAAAGGCGUUUUAAGUUAACUAAAAACAUAGAAACCAUUAACGGGUCACACUUUCUCUUCAUUAAAAACUGAAACAACAAAACUUCCAAUUUUUGCAUUUGGAAACUUACCCAGCUUUCUUCACUCCAAGAGACAAAGAGCCUGACCACUCAUCCUCUAAGGAAAUCCUUAGAGUUUGAUUUUCUAGCAAUAAAAAUAACGAGAAAACAAAAAUAUGAAAGAAAAGCAGAGCAAGUGCUCUGUAAAAUAUAUUUCUUCCUAUCGUCGAUUACAUAUAUGAUAUAUGAUUUAUUAGUUUUUUCUUUACAUUGGUUCAAAGAUAUAUAUAGAGAAUAUAUUUUCUAAGAAAUAUCUCAAUAAUAUCUUUGACUGAUUACAAGGAGAAAAUAGAAAUUUACACAAAAUAUCUUGAGAAAAAAUCUAACUGAGUCGGUUGCAAAUAUUUGAGAUUGCAUAGGUGGAUUUCGCAAGGUGAUUCACACAUUGAAUUAUCCAUUUUUCAAGUUUAAACUUUGAUUUUGCAAGUUGAAUUUGUGAUUUCGCAACUUGGAGGUGAUUUCACAACUUGGAGAUGAUUUGCAACUUGAUUCGCAGCUUGGAGGUGAUUUCGCAACAUGGUUCGCAGUUGCGAAGAUAGAGUUUCAACUUGCGAAGUGGCACACGUGUGCUUGCAGGUGGUUUCGCAGCUGCGAAACACCUUGCAAAAUUUCGCAAGUGGAUUUCAUUUCGCAGCUCAUUUCGCAGCUACGAAAUGGGCUUUGGGCUGCAAAAUUUUCGCAGCUCAUUUCGUAGCUGCGAAAUUUUCGCACAACUUGAUGCGGUUGUCUUCAAACGGCCAUAACUUCUUCGUUUCAGCUCCGAUUUGCACACCGUUUGAAGUGUUGGACUCCUGAAUUCCCAAGCUUCGAAACAACAUAUAGUAUGCAUGAAAUGGACUCUAGGAAGUACUCAAAAUGUGUCCAACAGUUGAUGUUCUCUUGAAUUUCUUCAUGUUAGAUUUCUUUCUUUUUCCUCCUUGCAUUCUUGAUUGGCUUUAGCAAAGAACUACGAAGCUCCAAAGCUUGGAUUCUUCAUGUAAAUGAGCUUCCAUUUGCUUUGCCAUGGAUUAUAUAAAGCUCUCCCUCAUCUUAAAUUGCUUUGGUGAUAAAAAAAGCUAUCAAAAACACCAAAACUAAACACAAUUUGAUUAGAAACGAUUGCAAGGGUCCUUAACAUGCCAAUUGAGUUAAAAUAUAAUAACUACUACUCAAAAGUGUUUAAAAGAGUUAAUUACAAGCUAUAAAAUAGCACUUUUUGAGUAGUAAUCACUUAUAUAAGGACUAAUACUAUCUUUUAUUUUUAAAAAUAAAAAAUGUAUUCAAAGCCCAUUAAAAUUUUUUAGAAAAUGAAUCUUCAGGGAAACUCUUCUGGUCACAUUAUUUUAUCAUUUUCCUAAAGAUUUAAGCUUAUUGAAAAUCAAUUAACCACACCGAGAAUUAAUAAUUCUAGGUAGCUAGUAACACAUGGAAUCACCAGAAAGCUAAUGGAGACUAUGUAUAUUCUGGUAUCUUACUUUUUGAAUUCCUCAAAUCUCACAUACUAAUCAUCAAAGAUGUUGUCCAUGAGUUCACUCAUCAUGCCCAUGAAACAAUGAACAAGAAGAGAUUAGGAAGAUCAUACUGCAAGGGCUUUCCCUAAAGGUUGAUGACAGAACUUGUCCCUUCACCCUUUGUGCUUUGGAACAAUGCCCAAAAAACAAUGUAAUUUUUCUUUUCUUUUUCUAAAACACUUUUAACAAAGAUCCAAAAGCUCUAGAUGCUAUUUAUAUUUGGACAUAGAGAAUAACUGAAAAAAAAAAAAGUCCAAUGCAUGGGCUUAGAAAACUUAAAUAGUUAUCAAUGAGUUGUUAACACAUUAUCCAUAAUACAAAUGUCAACCACAACACUUAAAUAGUUACUCAAAAUAUAACAUGUCAAUAUUUGAGUAUUCAUGAAGAGUUUUUCAUACUAAUAAAUAUAAAAUUCAUGUCUUUAUUCAUUUUGAAAUUUGGGAUAUGGAGAUUUAAAAUGAGCAUUUGGAAAACCAAAGUUCUCCAAAUCAACCCCUUCUAGAGCCAUGCCACCACCAUCCUCAUCAUCUACAAAAAUAUUAAAUAUAUAUUGACAAGAGAUCAUUUUUAAAGAAAAAAUAAUAAUUAUUGAACUUUUAUAAGUUUACAUAUUCUACUAACCAAUGUGAGCUCGCAAUUGAACUUGAACCUUCUACUUCGCUUAUUGGAAUUGAUCCUUCUUCAUAUAGAAGAUUUUCCAAUUCUUCCACAUCUAGCUCUAUUGGCUCAUCCUCAUCAACUAACCAAAAAUCGGUUUCAUCAAUGCAUGCAUAAUCAAUGGGAUCAUAGGUCAUUUUCUUGUUGUACAACCUAAAAAAGAAAGGCAUAUAAUUAUUCAUAAUUGUCAAUGAAAAAAAUUAAAAUUCAAAACAACUAAGAAAGUAUUUAUAUUGUUUUUUUAACCACAAAUUGUCAUGAAUGUAUACAAGAUCAUUAAGCCUUUCAUGUUCCAAUCUAUUCCUUUUUUUGGUAUGUAUAUGUUCAAACACACUCCAAGUCCUCUCAAAUCCGGAAGACGAUGAAGUUUGUCUCAAUAUUUGAAUGACCAACUUUUGAAAAUAUGGUGCACUAUAUCCAUGUAGCCUCUAUUAUUCAUCUAGUUACUAUUUUCACAUUAAAAAUAAGGAAAAAAAAAAGCAUGAGCAAGUUUAAAAAUAUAAUAAUCUAUAUUUUAAAUGUAAAGCAUACUAGUAAAUAUUAAAUAGAAAGUAGGUAAUUAAUGAAAAAGAGAAAACACACUAAUAAAUUAUCUUUUACUAGGUUGAAGUACUUCAUGUGAAGAACAAGCAAGGUCUCUUCUAAAACAUCCCAAUCGAUCAUGAAACAACUGCAAUUCAUUCAUCAUUUCAUGAUUUCCUUUCAUAACUUUCUGAUUAAUAACAUCUAUUACACCUCCAAUAACUUCUUGCUUAUUAAAAAAGUUUUUUUUUUUUAAUCAUAUUAGAAACAUAGAUUCAACCAAUGAGUUGCUGAAUGAAUGCUUUUCUUUGCUUGUUCAUCCUAGCGUUCCUUUAUGAUUCGUGUAUAAGGCUUGUAUAGUCUUUUAUUGUGGUUAAAUAAUUUCUUGAUGCCCAAACGAGCCUUAUACAUCCUUUCAUACACAUAUCCCAUCAAAGGCCUCUCAUCAUAAUCAACAAUACGUAAUAAGCGCACAAGUGGAGCUAUGAGAUUCAUAACUAUCAAACAAUCAUUCCAAAAUCUGUUAUCCAAGAUGAUAGAAACUACAAUUCUACUUUUAUUAUCCAUUAAAUAUUUAGAGUUCACAAAAAACUUGCUAGUCACCAAAGCUUGCAAGUCAUGUUUAUGAUCAUGAAGGCUCUUUAGUGCAAUGAAUGUAAUAGCAAAGCAAGUUGCAUUAAGUCAAAGAAUAUCCAUCCAUCAUUUCCUUUUUCUCAAUCAACUUAACAAAGCAACAUGAUUAUACACAAAAAUUGUCACCUUUGAUGCGCAUCUUACAAGUUCAACAACAUGGUCCAUCUUACUAGUAUAUUUAAAGAUCAAAUUAAAAAAAUAAGUUGUACAAGGUGACUAAUUGAUUUGUUUAUACUUCUAAGAAAUCAAUCUCUUGGAGGCCACAUAAUUUGUUGCAUUAUCAGUCAUUACAUGAACUACAUUGAGUGAACCAAGCCAUUCAAUCACCUCAUCAAAUAGCAUAAACAAAUUAUUUGCAUCCUUCACAAUAUUUGAAGCAUCAACAUAUUUCACAAACAAUAUUCCUUGAGGAUAAUAAACAAUGUUCUUUGUCUGUUAUCUGUCCAACUAUCACCCAUUAUUAUACACCCAACUUUUACCUAAAUUUUACAAUAAGAGUUCACAAGUAAUUGAACUUCCUUUUUGGCAUCCUUUAAAAGAUUAAACCAUAGUUGAUGGUAAGUUGGACCCUUAUAUCUAAGACCAAUUGCAGACAUAGCAUCCAACAUUGGCUUGAAGUAGAAGGAAUUCGCAAUAUUAAUAGGAAUGCAUGCAUCAUAAAAGAAUCUCUCAACAACCAUAUCUACUUUCCAAAUAUAUUAUUUCGUAGUUAAUACACUCAUGAUGGAAGGUUGAGCCCCUUAAGAAGUCCUUGGUGCAAAAUACUUAUCAAUUGUUGAUUUUUUUUUUCUUUUUCCACUACUAGCUGCCAUAGGAUUUUGCAUUUCUUGAACCUUUUCUCCACAUUCUGGCAUAUCCCUUUCAAAUUGUGACAUAUUAAGACCAUAAGGAUGUUCAUAUUCAUAUGUUUCUUGGGUUGCUUUCUUGGAUUUCACAAACUCCUGCAAAUAAUUUUCCAUUCAAAAUUUACAUUAGGAGGAAUUGAUUUACAUGGACCAAUAUCUUGUUUCACUUCAGCAAGGUAUUGUUUCAUUUUAUGAAUUUCCCUACCUUUUGCAACUUUUUUGCAAUAUAAACAAGCGAGAGCUUUCCUUCCAUUUGUAUAUCUUUCUUUAGAAACAUGCUCUCAUGUAGGGUUGGUCUUGUCUCUAAUUUUUUAAGGAUUUGUAGUUAAAUCUUGACCAGAGGAUGGGGUCAAGUUUGAUUCCAUUUUGAUUUUUUCUAUUAAAUUGUAAACAAAAAUAACAAUUUUAAUCACCAUUCAAUGCAUUCAUCAAUAAAAAUAUAUAUAUUCAACAAGCAUAUUAAUUUAAAGAAUCAAGUCAGUAACAAUUUAAAAAAUCAAAGAAUUAAAGAAUUUAUUAUAGAAAUUUCUUUCAAAAUAAAAAAAUUACUUUCAAAUAAAAAAAUUUAUUAAAAAUUUAAAAAUAAGAUUUUUAUUUAAAAAUUAGAAAAUUUAAGUUUUUUUAAAAUUAUUUAAAAAAUGGAACAUAAUGUUUGAUUCAUUGAUUGUUUCCAAAAAUUUAUUUUAAUUUCUAAUUUUUUUAAUGAUUUUAAUAAUUUAUUUAAAACUCAAAUAAGAUAUUUUAAAAAUCAAUAUAUUUUAAAAAAUGAAAAUAAAGUAAACAAAUAAAUAAAAUAUAAACAAAUGAUUCAAUUAUUCAAAUGAAAUAUCAAUGAAUAUUGAUAUUGUAAUUUAAUAAAUUAGUAUGCAAUAAAAUUAUAAAAUGUUAAAUAAUAAAAAAUUAAAUAAAUUGCAAGAGUCUAAAGUUUCAGCUCAUAGUGGGGGAUUUGGAAUCUAGUGGGGUUAUCGGCAUGCGGAGGCGAUGGUUGCUCCAAUAUGGUGCAACUAUUGGAGACGUGCAAACUAAAGAGGGAGUAAGGAGUGGGAAGGUAAAAAAGGGCUUAUAUACAAAGGAAAACAAUGUCAUUUCGAUGCCAAAUGCAUUAAGACGACGUUGUUUUGAUGGCAAAAAAAAAAAAGGUAUAAGCCAUUUAGUUCGAGGGAAACCAGCUAGUUCACCAAUCUGGCCACUGAAUCCGGUGGUUCGAGGCCAGUCCAACCCUUUGACGGUUCAAAUCACCGAACCAAACCAAAAAAUUGACCUACCAAUAGUCAGACCAAUCGGAUUGGUUGAUCUGGUCUAGUUUUUAAAAUCAUGUUCAUACCUUUAAAGUGUGUUUACAAAAGUAAGAGAAACUCAUACAUAUAUAGUGUUAGAAACAUUUUCCCUAAUUCGAUGUGGAAUAAAUAUCAUAUGUAUUCCCUCAAAAUGUUGAUUCCAAGUAGAUGGACAAAUGAACCAUUUGGUAUUAAAAAGAAAAAAAAAUUACAUGAAUGGUAAUGUGUAUUAAUUUAUUUUUUACUCUUGUUAUAGCACCCCACAUUUAUUCUUAGGGGUAGAACUAUAAAUUAUAAUAAAAUAAAAUAAAUAAAUUUAAUAAGGGUAUAAAGACCUUUUUUGCAUUAAAAGUCCUAGGUAUAAAUUAGAUUUUCUUCAUCUUCUUCAUUCAGAAAACCCUAUUAUACAUAGAUUAGAAAUUCCAAAAUCAACAAAUCUUAACUUUUAAACCAACAUAUCAACCAUAGAAUUUUUUUGUCUAAGCAAUUUCAAACUUAAACAAUAGCUAAUAGUAAUCAAAUUCUAACAUUUAUCAAAGUCCUAAAAAGAGAGUUUAAAUUGUUAGCUCAAGGGUUCUCCUGAUCGUGUUUUGAUGAUAACAAACCAUGGUUAAGUUACUAAUUGGUUUGAAUUAUAAAGAAUUUCAGGUGUUAAUUUGGAAAUUCAUCAAAGAACCCAAUGAAUGCACGAUCAAGACAAUUGGAAGACCUUUAAUUAUAGGAAACAUAUGUAAGAUGAAUGCAUGGGUACACUUAGGAUUUUCAUGCAUCUUUAAAAACUUAGUUUAUGCAUUAAAGUAACAUUUCCAUCUAAAACCGAGUUUUAUCAAAUGAACCUUAGGCAAAUUGUUUAAAAAUUGGCAUAUUAAUUUACCUAAAGAUCUUGCCUAAGUGUUAAAAGUAAAGAGACCAGAAAAAGAUAAGCUUUCGGGCCAAAAAUCAUGAACCAGUUGAGGCACUGGUGAACCGGCUCAACCAAUUAAGGUAUCGAUCGAUCGAUUGACCCUUCUCGGUUGAAGUCUGGUUGAGAGAUGCAAAAAAUCUUUUCUCUCUUCCAGUAGCCUUUCUUUCCCAAUCAAAGGAAUGUAUUCUAGGUCGAGGUUCGGUCAAGGACCGAUCGAGGCCUAACGGUCACUCGCCAUGCAUUUAAUGCUCAACAACUAGUGAACCGGUCGACCCCAAGCUCGACUAGUCGAGAUUGUCUUUUUGGCAUUAUGGCUUCUGAGGCUAGAAACCUAUAAAUUGAGAGCUCCACUUUUUUUAUGAGGAAGAGAAUACCUGCAUUUAUUUGUUUACCUACUUGUUUUUGCCUUAAAAGCUCUCAUUCUUUUCUUAGUGCAUUAAAUCUCCAUUUGCAUAUUCUUUAGUGCACCCUUGUGAUUCUUCUUAACAUUUAAAUUGUAUUUGAGCCCUUGUUGAGCUAGGUUGAGGGUUUCACCUUUUUUUUGGGGGUUUAAACCUUUUGGGGGGGGGGAAAGUGAAAAAAAUUUCUUAAGGCCCUUUUGGGGCCCAAACCCCAGGUGAAAGGGGGUUUAGAGCUUGGGUGAAACCUCCAAUUUAAAGAACCCCCCCCCCCGUUUGGGAAUUUGGGAAAAGGGAAUGUAACAAAGAAAGCCCUAAACCCCUAAAAACAUAAUUUUGGUUUUUUUAACCCUUUUUUUUUUAUUUUUUUUUAAUUUCCGGGGCUAAAAUUUUUGGUUUUGAAAAAAGGUUUUUUAAACCCUAAUUUCCCCUUCCCCCCCCCCCCCCCCCCCCCCUCUUGGGUGUUUUUCUCAAUUAAGAUUAACCUUUAUUUUCUCAAUUGGUAUCAAAGUUAAACUUCUUGUUUAAUACUUAAUCAUCUAAGAGGAUAUGACUAAUCCAUCAAGCUCAUCUCACAUUGAAAGAUUUACAACCAAUAUACCUCAAUUUUUUUAUGGGAACCUAUUAUCCCUAUUGGAAAACUAAAAUGACUUGGUUUUUACAACCAAUUUAGACUUAUGGGAUGUCAUUGAAGAUGACCUAACUUUUCCUUCAAAACUAGUUGAUGGACUCAUGGUUCCAAAACCCAAGCAAGAAUUGGAUGAGCGUGAUAGAAGAAAUUUCCAAUUAAAUUCUAGGAUCGUUUAUACUUUACAAUGUGCUAUGGCUAGAAAUGAAUAUAAUAGAAUUUUUCAUGCAAAUCGGCUAAAGAAAUUUGGAGAUUACUUGACGUAACUCAUAAAGGAAAAAAAUCAAGUUAAAGAGUCAAAAAUCAAUUUACUUGUUCAUGAUUAUGAAUUGUUUUUUAUGAAAGAUAAUGAAACUAUUGUUGACAUGAUUACUAGGUUCACCAACAUUGUCAUUGGUCUUGAAGCUUUGGGAAAGACCUACAAGGAAUCAGAGAAGAUGAUGAAGAUCUUGAGGUCACUUCCAUCAAAGUGGGAUGCAAAGAUCACCGUAAUUCAAGAAGCCAAAGACUUGACCAAACUACCUUUGGAGGAGCUCAUAGGGUCAUUGAUGACAUAUGAGAUCAAUUUGGAAAAGAAACAACAAGAAGGAAAAGACAAAAAGAAGAAGAGCAUAGCUCUCAAAGCUACAACUAAGGAAAAAGAAGAAGUUUAUGAAGAAAAACAAAGUGAAGAAGAUGAAGACUUAGCCCUCAUCACAAGAAAGUGCAACAAGUUCAUGAUGGGUAAAAAGUUUAAAGGAACAAGGUUCACUUCUAGAAGAGACUCCUUUAAAAGGGAAUCUUCAUCCCAUGGUGACAAGGAGAAAUGGUAGGAGAAAAGGGACUUGGUGUGCUUUAAGUGAAAGAAACCGGGACACAUUAAAUAUGAUUAUACUCUUUAGAAAAGUGAAGCCAAGAAGAAAAAGAAGAAGGCAAUGAUGGCCACUUGGAGUGAAAGUGAAGAUGAAUCCUCCGAAGAAGAAAAAGAGAAAGAAGUGGCAAACAUGUGCUUCAUAGCAAUAGAUGAACUUGAUGAGGUAAACUCUAACAUUAGUGAUGAAGAUAUACAUGAUGCUUUUGAAGAAUUGUAGGACGAUUUUAAAAAACUUGGUUUGAAAAAUGUUUCUCUCAAAAAGAAAGUUCAACAACUUGAAAAAGAACUUGGAGAAGUAAAAAAAGAAAAAAUUCAAAUGUUGAAGAUUCUAAAACUUGUCUUGAAAAGGAGAAUGAGAUUUUAAGAAAGAAAAAUGAAUGGUUGACCUCUUCUCUUUCAAUCUUUUUUUGUGGACAAAAAUCUUUUGAAAUGAUUCUAGCUAGCCAAAAAUGUAUUUUUAACAAACAAGGGCUAGGAUUCAAAUUUUUAAGGAAUCAAAAGUAUUUUAAGAACUAUUUUGUAAAGGAAUCCACAAGUGCAAGUCCUUCCACUGCUUGUAACUUUUAUGGAAGAAGAGGACACAUUAGUAGCACAUGCCCUUUAAGAAAUGGUUCUCAAAAGAAUUUAAAUGCAAAAGCUAAAAAGAUUUAGGUUGAAAAAUCCAAGGUCACUAACCCUCAAGGACCCAAGAAGAUAUGGAUACCUAAAUCAAAUUGAGUUGUGUGUUGUAGGGUUCAAAGAAGGAUAAGUGGUUCUUGGAUAGUGGAUGCUUAAGACACAUGAUCAGAGAUGAAUCUAAGUUUUCUUUUCUUACAAAGAAAAAUGGUCACUAACCCUCAAGGAACCAAGAAGAUAUGGAUACCUAAAUCAACUUGAGUUGUGUGUUGUAGGGUUCAAAGAAGGAUAAGUGGUUCCUGGAUAGUGGAUGCUCAAGACGCAUGAUCAGAGAUGAAUCCAAGUUUGCUUUUCUUACAAAGAAAACUGAAGGAUAUAUCACCUUUGGAGACAAUGCAAAAGGAAAAAUCAUUGGUUAGGGCAACAUUGGUAAUGACACAUCUUCUCUUAUUGAAAAUGUUUUAUUAGUAGAUGGUUUAAAACAUAAUCUUUUAAGCAUUAGUUAACUUUGUGACAAAGGUUUUAAAGUGAUUUUUAAAGCAUCUCAUUGCAUUAUAAAGGAUAUUGAAAAUGACAAAACCAUGUUCAUGGGUCAUAGAUGUGAUCAUGUUUACACUAUAAAUAUUUCAAAAUAUGAUGGCCAUGAUAGAUACUUUUUAAGCAUGCAUGAUCAAAGUUGGUUGUGGCAUAGGAGGUUGGGACAUGCUAACAUGGACCUCAUUUCCCAACUCAACAAAGAUGAACUUGUUAGAGGUCUACCCAAAAUAAAUUUUCAAAAAGAUAAAGUUUGUGAAGCUUGUCAAGUGGGAAAGCAAAUAAAAAACUCUUUUAAAAACAAAAACUUCAUUUCCAUAACUAGGCCACUUAAGUUAUUGCAUAUGGAUUUGUUUGGUUCCUCUAGGACACCAAGUCUUGGAGGAAAGUCUUAUGCUUAUGUUAUUAUGGAUGAUUUCUCUAGAUACACAUGGGUUUUGUUUUUAAGUCAAAAGAAUGAAACAUUUUAUGAGUUUUCAAAGUUUUGCAAUAAGGUUCAAAAUGAAAAAGGUUUUACAAUGACUUGUAUGAGAAGUGAUCAUGGGAGAGAAUUUGAAAAUGUUUAUUUUGAAAAUUUUAACAAUGAGCAUGGAAUUUACCACAAUUUUUCGGCUCCUAGAACUCCUCAACAAAACGGGAUAGUUGAAAGGAAAAAUAGAACUAUUCAAGAGAUAGUAAGUAUCAUGCUAAAUGAAAAGAACCGACCAAAAUAUUUUUAGGUCGAAGUGGUUAACACCUCUUGUUAUGUUCUAAAUAGAGUUUUAUUAAGGCUCAUUCUUAAGAAAACUCCCUAUGAGCUUUGGAAAAAAAAGAAGCCCAACAAUAGCUAUUUCAAAGUCUUUGGAUUCAAAUGCUUUAUAUUAAACACCAAAGAUAAUCUUAGAAAAUUUGAUGCAAAAUCGGAUGUUGGAAUUUUCCUUGGUUACUCAACUUCAAUAAAGCUUUUAGAGUUUUCAACAAAAUAACCAUGGUUGUAGAGAAGUCCGUCCAUGAUAUUUUUUAUGAAUCUAACAAUUCUCUCCAAGAAAUAGAGAAUGUUGAUGAUGAUUUAGGUUUGGAGACCUACAUGAGAACAUUACAAAUCGAAGAUAGAAUACAACAAGAAGAGAAUGAAGUGAAUCCCAAGGAAGAAAGGCCACUAUUGACACUACCCCAUCCUCAACAAGUGCAAGGUGAAUCAAGGCAAGACCUUUCUAAAGAAUGGAAGUUUGUCAUCAAUCACCCACAAGAUCAAAUCAUAGGUAAUCCAUCUAGUGGGGUAAGAACUAGAUUCUCUCUUAGAAAUAUUUGCAACAAUGUAGCUAUUAUAUCUCAAAUUCAGCCUAAAAAUAUAAAUGACAUUUUAGAUUAUGAAAAUUAGAUGAUUGUUAUGCAAGAAGAGUUAAAUCAAUUUGAAAGAAGUGAAGUUUGAGAAUUAGUACCAAGACCUUCAAAUCAAAGUUUUAUUGGAACUAGAUGGGUUUUUAGAAAUAAAAUGGAUGAAAAUGACAUAAUUGUUAGAAACAAAGCAAGGUUAGUAGCCCAAGGUUUUAAUUAAGAAGAAGGAAUAGAUUAUGAAGAGACCUUUGCCCUCGUAGCUAGGUUGAAAGCCAUUAGGAUGCUACUUGCCUUUUCAUGUUUUAAAGACUUUAUUUUAUAUCAAAAGGAUGUGAAAAGUGUCUUUUUAAAUGGUUUUAUAAAUGAUGAAGUGUAUGUUGAACAACCACUCAGUUUUGAAAGUUUUAAUUUUCCUAACCAUGUUUUUAAGCUUAAAAAUGCUCUAUACAAUUUGAAACAAGCACCUAGAGCAUGGUAUGGAAGAUUGAGAAAUUUUCUUUUGGAAAAAGGUCUUAUAAUGGGUAAAUUAUUAACACAACUCUUUUCAUAAAAACCAAAUAAAAUGAUAUGCUCUUAGUUCAAAUAUAUGUUGAUGAUAUCAUUUUUUGUGCUACUAGUGUCUCUCUUUGUGAAGAUUUUGCUAAGUGCAUGCAUAGUGAGUUUGAAAUGAGCAUAAUGAGAGAGCUCAACUUAUUUCUUGGACUUCAAGUCAAGCAACUAAAGAAAAAAACCUCCAUCAAUCAAGCAAAGUAUAUAAGAGAUCUUCUCAAAAGGUUCAACAUGGAGAAAACCAAGACAAUGAAGACUCCAAUAAGCUCAUCCAUCAAGCUUAACAAGGAUGAGAAGGGUAAAUCCAUUGACUCUACUAUGUAUAGAGGCAUGAUAGACUCUUUGCUAUACUUGACCACUAGUAGACUUGAUAUUAUGUAUAUUGUAUGCUUGUGUGCUAGAUUUUAAUCUUGUCCUAAAUAAUCUCACUUAAGUGUUGUAAAAAGAAUCCUUAAAUAUUUGAAAGGAACAAUGGACAUAGGCUUAUGGUAUCGUAAGAGUGAUAACUUUGAAUUAAUUGAUUUUUUGGAUGCUGAUUUUGUCAAUUGUAAGGUUGAAAAAAAAAAGCACUAGUGACACUUAUCAUUUCUUAGGACACACUCACUUGUUUUAUGGCAUAGUAAGUAAUAAGCAAAAUUCGAUAGCUUUGUUAAUGAUGAAAUUUGAAUACAUAGCAGUCGGUUUAUAUUGUGCACAAAUUCUUUGGAUGAAACAAACACUUAGUGAUUUUGGUUUAUCUUUUGAGCAUGUACUUAUUAAAUGUGAUAAUACUAGUACCAUAAGUAUAUAAAAAAAAUCUCAUGCAACACUCUAAGACUAAGCAUAUAGAUAUUAGACAUCAUUUUCUUAGAGAUCAUGAACAAAAGGGUGACAUAACACUCGAGUUUGUAAGCACUAAAGAUUAAAUUGUCGAUAUAUUUAACAAAACCUCUAAGUGAAGAACAAUUUGUUGAUAUUAGAAGACAAUUAAGGGUGAUUGCUUUGUGAUCAAAUGUUUGGUUAUGAAUGCUUGAUGUAUAUGCUUAUUUGAUUCAUGUCAUAUGCAUCAUAUAGAACAUCAAAUAGCAUAUACUUAGAAAAUGGUCAAUUUUUUUACCAAAAAAAAAAAAACAAAAAUCAAAAUUCCCCUAGCAUUGGGCAUAAAAAAAAAUUGGGGAAUUCAACUGAAAAAUGUAAAGGAAGAAUUAAAAAAUGAAAAAUGAACAAAAAUGGAAAGUAAAAGGACGUUGACCGCAUUGACCAAGAGGUCGACCAGUUGAUGACCAGUUGACUGGUUCGUUAGGGUUGGGAAUUUUAAGAGCCUCCCGUGUUCUUUUUUCUACACUAUUUUCCUCUAUUAUUCAAGGGUUUUUACCAAUUUUGGCUUGGGAGACUGAUUUUGGUGUGUUUCAGACUUAUUCACCUAAUUUUGAGGGAGACUUGAGGGCUUUGAAGACUAGCGUUUCGAAUUUUGGCCCCAUUUAUUUUUUUUCGAUGCGUCACAACCAGUUUUAGGUGGACUUUGUGCAUUUCUCGUGUGUCAUAGCUAGUUUGGGGUCGUUUUUUGUCCAUUUUCCGUGUGUCUUCUUCUUGCACCGUCUUUUAUAGCUCCCAAACGAGAUUUGUAGCUUCCAAGGCACAGGAUAAGCGCCCAACUGAACCGUCUCAGCCAGACACACGCCAAAAGGCGCAUUUUGACACCACCUUGUUCAAUAUUAUGGAGGAGUACUAGCGGUAUAAGCAGCCUUUUGCUUAAAAACGGGUAGUUAUAGGGCGAAAUAUCAAUUUUCCACAGCUUCAACACUUUGGAUUUGAGAGAUUGUUCACUAAGAUAAGAUGGUUAUCGGUUGUUAUGAUUUUUGAGCCGAUUUUUCUUACACUAGUACAAGUAUUCUACUCAAGGGUGACUUACGGCAUGGGUAGCUUGAUCAUAUCCACUAUGAGAGGAGUUGAGAUUCGCUUAGACCCAGAGACCAUUUGUCUUAUCUUUGAUAUUGCUCUUAUUGGACUCAGAGUAUAUGAGUCCAAGAUGUGGCCCACUAUGUCGGGAUUUGAGCCUAGAGAGGCUAUUCAAACGAUUUAUGGUCUGCCAAAUGCCCAUGGAAUGGGCAAGCCAUCAGCAGAUAGCUUGACAGUCAUCAGUAGAGUGCUACAUCAUAUGCUAUGCUUCAUUUUCCAACCAUAGGGUAGACAUCAAGAUGAGGUCUCCUAUUACGAGGCAUUCCUUACAAAUUCCAUUAUGAAUGGAAGAUGGAUUCAUCUAGGAUAUCUGAUGAUGAUGCACAUGAUUGCAUGUUGUGAGAGCACCACUCGAGUACUCUCCUAUGGCCGCUUCAUUUCCCGAGUAUUCAAGGAUGUCGGCGUUGACCUUAGUAGAGAAAUGGAUUUUGAGGCCCCCAGUACAUAUGAUACAUAUGAUGAUCAGUCCAUGGGGUGGAUGAAAUAUGAGAAGGCUCCAAAUGACUCUUGGAUCAGAAAAGUAGAGAGAGCACAACCAUAGGGACAUGGAAAAACACACCCUGGAGUUGAGAAUGAGGCCUAGAUUAGGGAGGUGGAGGGUGGAGUGGACCCUCAGAGUGGCCAUCAAUAGAGAGGGCUUGAGCUUGACAUUUCCCCACACCAGACAGAGAUUCCUUCACAGACCAGGGGUGUUCAGUUUGAGUCUACCUUCUUUGAGCUGAUGAUGAUUGAGCUGGCUUUUACAAAGUGACCAUCUAUACUGAGAUGUCACGACCUUAGGCACCUCCUGCUCCUGACCAUGCUCAUUGGAUGGAUUUAUCAACUUAAAGUAGCUCACUAGGUACUCAUAUUGAGAAGCUUACAGUGGUUAAUGACACUCACUUCUACUUCUUGGAGGAUCGUAUGGAUCAGUAUCAGACAAAGUUCACUUCUCAGCUUGAGCAUCUACAGCAAAGGAUUGAGUUUAUUGAGGAUCGCAUGAAGCAUUGCAUGGGGAGAUGAUGGCCUACUUGCAUUAUGUGUUUCCGCAUCCACCUCCUCAGCCUUGAUUGGUUAGAGACCUUCUUUGUUCAUUUUUUAUGUCGCAAAAUGGGAAGAUAUUUUAGGAUCUAGGAGGCUAGAUAUAGGAGACUCAUACAUGCAUAUCAUUUUUGUUGAAUCAUACAUUACUUAUCUUUAUUUACGUUAGUUUGAUUGGACAUAUGAUGUAUAGACUGAUACAUUUGACUUAUGAUAUAUAAUAUGCCUAUAUAUUUGAUAACUUACAUUGUUUCUUGUUGCAAUACUCUCUAACAUGUCUUAAUCCUUUUGUUUUUAAUUCUUAAAUUUUAACUGUUGAUCCAUGAUUGGUUUGAGGAGGAAAUUUUUUUCCUCUUAGAUAACCAAGGUUUUUCAUCAUAAAAAAAUGGGAGAUUGUUAGCCCAAGGGUACUCCUAAUCGAGUUUUGAUGAUAACAAAUCAUGGUUAAGUUGCUAAUUGAUUUGAAUUAUAAAGCAUUUCAGGUGUUAAUUUGAAAAUGCAUGAACGGACCCAAUGGAUGUAUGACAAAGACAAUUAGAAGACCUUUAAUAAUAGGAAACAUAUGUAAGAUGAAUGCAUAGGUAAACUUAGGAUUUUCAUGUAUCUUUAAAAACUCAGUUUAUGCAUUAAAGUAACAUUUCCAUCUAAACUCAAGUUUUAUCAAAUGAACCUUAGGCAAAUCAUUUCAAAAUUGGCAUAUUAAUUUACCUAAAGACCUUGCCUAAGUGUUAGAAGCAAAGAGACCAGAAAAAUAUAGGUUUUUGGGCCAAAAAUGGUGAACCGAUCGAGGCACUGGUGAACUGGCUCAACCAAUUAAGAUACUAGUCAACUGGUUGACCUUUCUUGAUUGAGGUCCAAUCGAGAAAUGCAAAAAAACUCUUCUCUCUCUUCCAAUAGCCUUUCUUUCUCAGUCAAGGGAAUGUAUUCCAGGUCAAGGUCCGAUCGAGGCUUAAUGGUCACUUUCCAUGCAAUUAAUGUCCAAUGGACAAUUAACCAGUUGACCGGUCGAGGCUGUUGUUUUGGAAUUUUGGCUCCCAAGGCUAGAAACUAAUAAAUUGAAAGUUCCACUUCAUUUAUGAGGAAGAGAACACUUGUAUUUAUUUUUCUACCUACUUGUUCUUGCCUUAAAAGCUCUCAUUCUUUUCUUGAUGCAUUAAAUCUUCAUUUACAUAUUCUUUAGUGCACCCUUGUGAUUCUUCCUAGCAUUUAAAUUGUAUUUGAGCCCUUGUUGAGCUAGGUUGAGAGUUUCAAACUUGUUAUUUGAGUGUUAGAACCUUCAAGUGAGUAGAGACUUGAAGAGAAUUGUGUAAGAGCUCAUUGGAGCCAAAAUCCAAGUGUAAAGGUGAUUAAAAGCUUGGUUGAAGCUUCAAGUAUAGUGAAACCCUCACUUGGUUAGGAGCUUGAGGAAAAUGGAUACAAAUAAGGAAGUGUUGAACCACUAUAAAACUUAAGUUUGCUUUCUCUAGCUUUAUCUCUUUAUAUUUGUGAUUCUUAUGCUUAAAUUUAUUGUGUUUGGAAAAAAAAAUUCAUACCCCAAUUCACCCUCCUCUUGGGUGUUUUUCUAUAUUAAGAUUAGCUUUUAUUUUCUCAUAAACAAAUGUUCUAAUCAAGCCAAAUUUCUCAUCCUAACCAUCACUCCUUGCCUGAAUUGAGGGCACCUGAAAAAUUAUCAACAAAGGGGUUUGAACUCAAAACCCAAUAAGGAACAUUAAUGUACAAUUCCAUGGAUCAAAUAGUUUCGAUCAUGCUUACAAAUAAGAGAUAUAAGGUUGAGUUCAAAUAUGCUAAUACAUUUUAAUAUGUUCAACCAAACAUUUUCAUAUAUAUCAAAACUAUUUAACAUCAAAUCCAAAUCAAACACAUUUCAAAUAUUUUCACUCUGCUUAUCAUAUAACAAAUGGUGCCCAAUUAAGUGAGACUUCACAAAGAAGUCGUUAGUUUUAAAUUUGUUCCAUUUAAGGUGAACAAAACCAAAGGUCAACAAUCAUAAUAUGUUGACUAGAGCCAUAAACUUAACCAUUAUAACCCAUUGCAUAGCGCCACAUAAUAUCAACUAUUAUAACCCACUGACUAGGGUCGGAAAUGUCAACAAUUAUAACUCGUUGACUAGAGUCAUAGAAACUAGAGACAAACACUUCAUUUCAUUAAUUCAAACUUGCAAAACAAAAUACCAUAGCUCCACAAUUUUUAUCUUUCAUAAACAAAGAAAAUGCUCAAACAUAUUUUUCAUGCAAAACAUAUAUUUAAUCUAUGCAUAAAAAUAAAAAUAAAAAUUUUCAUAAAUCAAAAUAACAUUUAAAAAGAAAUACUUUCUUUUAUAAAAUCUGUAUUAAUUUCCUUUACCUCAUAGCAUCACUCAAAAACCUUGAAGUAUUUAAUCUUGAAGAGUUUUGCCCCAAAGAACCCAUUUCAAACAUAAAAAAAAUGACACCACUAUUACUAUUAACUAUUUAUCUAAAUUUAAGGGUGUGAAAAUCCUAAUAAUUUUAUGUUAUGUCAUCUAUAUUAUUUUUAACUUCUUAAUCAAUAAAAAUUUAAUAAAUGAGUUUCUAAAUUCUUAUAAAAGUUGGGUUCUUUCCAAAAUUUAUUCCCAAGAUUCUAUUAAUUUAUUAUUAUUAUUUUUAAAACUAAAUUUAAAAAAAAAAAUUUCUAUUUAUUAUAGUAAACUAUUAUUAUUACUAAUAUUUCAUUUAUUAGUUUAAAACUAAAUAUUAUUAUUUUUAUUAAUUUUCACAUUCAAUACAUAACCAAGGCAUUACCCUCUAUAUUCAUUUAUUAUUAUAAUACUUUUUUUUCAACAUCUAACUUCCUUUCCCGUGCACACGCUUUUUCCUUCUUUUUUUCUUAACCCUACCCUACACUGCCACUCCACGUCCCCCCAUGUCUUUUAUUUAUUUAUUAAUUUUAUUAUUAUUAUUUUUUUCCUUCUUGACAUCCUAUAAUCCAUUUGUUUUCUUUUUCAAAAAAUCUGGUGCUCAAUGAUUUAUUUUUCUUUCUUAUAUUUUUCUUUUCCUCAAUCUAAAGAUAACUGAACAAUUUUAUUUAUUUUGUUUAAACCUACAAUUUAUUUUCUUCUAUUAUAUUUAUUUAUUUGAUCUAUUUAAUUAAAUAUUCAGAAUUUUCCUAUUUUCAUCAAUAAAUAAAUCUACAUUCAUAAAUUUUUAAUAUUUUGAUCUAAAAAUAUUAAACAAACAAACCUUAAUUUAGAUUAAAACCUUCUAAAGAAGUUUUAAACGGAUCAAAGCUAAUUAAUGAAAUUAAAAUAAUAAUUUAAGGGUUAAAAUUUUACCCGAAAAAUAUGGAUUUUAAACUCUAAACUUUCAAACCUUUAAUCCUAUGUUAAGAUAAGAAAAAUAUAAUUUAUACGUAGGGUUUUUAAAAGCGAAAAUACUUUUAAACUCUUAUUAAAUUAAUUUAAUUAAUUUUUUUUAAUUAUGGUUUUACCCUGGGUUUGGAGUAUUACAAUUUUUUUAUUAAAAAAAAAAUACUUAAGAUAUUUUUAUUCAUUUAAAAUUUUUAUUUAGAAAUUUAAACCAAUAGAGGUUGGCUUUACAAAUUUUGGCCCAGAUAUCUUGAAGAACUUUAUGUGAAAGGUGUAGAAUAUUCGAACCCUUCCUCAAGGGAACGUGAAUCAUAAUUUUGUUGCUGGUUUUAUAUUAAAAUGGGAUAAAUCUAGGAGUCAAUCUUCAACCAAUCAUACAAAAAAGAUGAAGAAACUAGAAUGAACCAGCCAAGCCCUGACGUCAGUUCCUUUGCCCUCCAAUACUAUCCAGACACUACUAUAAGAGUGUCACUCCACCACUCAACUCGAAACAUCCCUUUCUUUCUCUCUUUGCAGUAACUGCUAGUUAGUGAUGGAGCAAACUGAGCUGGUCUUCAUCCCAUUUCCUAUCAUCGGCCACCUUGCGCCUGCACUGGAGAUUGCAAAGCUGCUUACUCAGCGAGACCCCCGAUUCUCAGUCACGAUCUUCAUCAUAAAGUUACCGUUUGGGUCCAUUGAUGGUAUGGACGCGGACUCUGAUUCCGUACGGUUCGUCACACUUCCUCGGGUAGAGGUCAGCUCCGGAACGACCCCGUCUGGUCUCUUCCUCUCUGAAUUCGUCAAAGCUCACAUACCACUCGUCAGAGACGCUGUCCACGAGCUCACUCGCUCCAACCCAAUUCGGCUCGCUGGGUUCGUUGUUGAUAUGUUCUGCACCCACAUGAUUGAUGUGGCCGAUGAGUUUGGGGUGCCUUCCUAUCUCUUCUUCACUUCCAGCGCUGCUUUUCUUGGCUUCCUGUUGCAUCUGCAGUUCCUCCAUGAUUAUGAGGGCUUGGAUAUUAAUGAGUUCAAGGACUCGGAUGCUGAGUUGGAGGUUCCGAGUUUUGCUAACUCAGUUCCGGGUAAGGCCUUCCCUUCUUUGUUGACUGACAAGGAAAGCGGAGGGACCGAGAUGUUUCUUUUUCAAACGAGGAGAUUCAGACAAGUCAAGGGUAUUCUGGUAAAUACAUUUAUUGAGCUUGAAUCACAUGCUAUUCAAUCACUUUCUUGCAGUACAGUACCCGUAGUGUAUCCCGUUGGACCCAUACUCAACACCCGAAUGGGAUCUGAUGGGGGUCAACAAGAUGCUAGCCCCAUCAUGAACUGGCUUGAUGAUCAGCCUCCAUCGUCCGUGGUUUUCCUGUGCUUCGGGAGCAUGGGAAGCUUUGGUGCGGAUCAAAUCAAGGAGAUAGCACAUGCGUUAGAGCACAGUGGGCAUCGCUUCUUGUGGUCCCUUCGCCA
rnacentral:lncRNA from 1 species